rnacentral:lncRNA from 1 species
UUACGCUCUAAAAUGGCUAGGUAUAUAUAUAAAUCAAUCGCACCAAUCAAUAUCACACAAUCAUAAUAUUUAUUUAUUAUAAUCUGGUGUCACAAAGCACACAAACACACACACAGUUGCCAAGUAGGAGAGUACAUAUUACUAUAGAAAACAAACAGCUUGGUAACUAGGACCACUUAUUCAGUACAUAUACAUUUCAUAACUCUCAUUUCAUAGUUUAGAAAUGAGUGUUAUCUUCUUUUGGAGGGUGGUGAGGAUGUGGUUUGGGUAAGUUGGUAGGAAGUAUAGGAUGAGGUUUAGAACCUUGAUGAGGAAAUUCUUGAGUAGACGGUGGAUGUUUUGGAUGAUGAUGACGAGGAACUUCUUGAGUAGACGGUGGAUGGUUUGGAUGAUGAUGAGGUUGAGAAGCAAAGCCUUGAGGGAUGAGAAUAAGAGAUGCAAGGAAAAACACAAGCAAGUAUGAGGAAAAAGAAGUCAUCUUAAUCUUAAUUAGUGUGAUUUUAGUAUUGGUGCAUAAAACAUAAGAAAUAAUAUAAUGUUUUAUACUAGUUAGAUUAGAGACAUUGGUGAGUGGGAGGUGCAAUUAUUGAUCAAAUACGUCAGGCUAUUGCCAUAUGCUUACGGAUUAACCUACACGUCACAAAGCAUAUCAAAUUAACUUUUUAAAAGCCUAAUUUAUCGGAAUUAUUGAUUCUGGAUUAGGAUUAAAAAAUCUGCAAUUUUUUAAUUAGGUUUUUCUUGUGGAGGUAGAUGUGUGUCUGUUAACCUGCAUAUAUUAUAUAUAGAGGUUGAAGUUUAAAUUUAGAACAUCCCAUUUAUUUAUUUUGUAAAAAGUAAUAUUUCUAUAAAAGUGUAAAUAACAAAUAAAUACAUUUUUGAAAUAAACGAGAAAGAAGAAACUUAACAAGAACAAAUAAUGUUAUUUUAUAAAAAUUUCUAUGAGUAUUAGUCAAAGUGAGAUAUGUUUAAUUAGUGUUUUUCUUAUGUUGGGCUAGGUUUGGUUAGUAGAAUAAAAACUGCAAAUCAAAACAAAUCAUGUUGUUGAGUAAGAAAAUGAUAUGAAUACAUCCGAAUCAAAGUGUUGUUUUUAAAAUUACAGUGAGUAAGAAACUAAGCUAUGAUAGUGUUGUUUUUAAAAUGCACUACAGUGAGUUGAAGAAAGUGCGAGUGUGUGUUUCUGUUGCAAAAACAUAAAAGUAUUUGUAUAUUUAUUAUUUUAUUUAUUUUGAUAGCAGAGAAAUAUUUAUUCACAAUGAGACCCAUCAGUACAUAAAAUAAAAACCCCGCUCAAACCAAAGUACUCGAAAAUUAAAUUGUUGUUGUUGGCUAUCAGGUAUGUUUCAUCGAGUUAGAAUCCUCUUCAUUUAGUGUACUCUUCAAUCUCCAUUUAUUCUAUUUAGAUUAUCCACAAUGGAGCACUUUAUUUGGGUGUUUAAACGGACUCCGGCUGUACACGUCAUUUGUUUUAUAAUUAAUACUAAAUAAGCAAUCAAUCUCUCCAAUCCAGCACCACAAAAUAAUUACUAAUUGGGUCCCUGCAAAACACUAUAUAAUUUAAUUUUAACAAUAAUUUAUAUAUUCAUUCAUAAUUAUAUAAUUUAAAAAUAUUGAAGUAAUUUAAUUAUAAAUAAUAAAAAAGUUAAAACUUGAAAAAACAAUAUAAAAUAAAUGAUGGUAAAUUAUUUGUUGUUUUGUUAAAAUCCAAUCAUUGUAUGCUUGUUUUUUUUUUUUUUUUUCCAUUCAAAUCGGUAAAUUAUUUUUGUUUUAAAAAAAGUUUUUGUUCAAAAUUUAACGUUGAUCGAUUAAAUAUUACUCUUACAACUUAUAAUUUACUUUUCAAUAUUGAAAUAAUACAACAAUUGAAUUGAGAAAAAAAAUAUAAUUAAUUGUAUAUGUGGGACCCAUGAGUAAUAAGAGAGAGUGCCUAUAAAAGCAUUUAUCUUUAUAAGUGACGUAUUAAUUUGUUUUACAAUGGGGUGCUUAUUUAGCGUGAUGCUAGAAAAAGGACUCCUAUUGUAGAUGGUCUAAAAAUUGUAGUCUUCACAAUUAGAACACGUAAACAAAAGACUUUUUGACUUUAGAAUACCGCUUUUAACUUUAAGUUUUUUUUUUUUUUUUUUUGUCAAGUAGCCUAGUGAUUAGAGCUCACACAAUUUAAUUGUGAAGAAGUGGAGUGUUCGAGGUUCGAACCCCAGCUCCUGCAUAUAAUAUGCAAUAUCCCUACCAACUGAGCUAAGCUAAGUUUUUAAAUUUAACUUUUAGAUUAAACUAAAAAAAUACAUGUGAUCACGCGUUGUUGGUUAAAAUACUAGGAAAUUUCACCCAAAAAAAAUAUUAAGGUAAUGUAAUCAUUAUAAUAUCACGAGUAAUAAUUUAAUCAUUGUCAAAAAAGAGUAAAGUAUUUAAAAAAAGAAUGAGGUAAAGUAUGAUUUUAGUCUCUGAAAUUAUUAACUUUUGCGUCAUUGCCAUAAAAAAAAAUUGGCACUUCUGUUCUUACACAACUUUCUUGCAUGCAAUUUUAGUCAUUACUAAAACAAUUUUUUAAAUUAUUCUUAAACUUUUUAAAAUCUUAAAUGAUUUUGUUCAAGUAUGAUUAGAAUAAUAUAAAAAAUAUUUUCAAAAACUUAGAUUUUUUAAUAUGGGAUUAAUAAAAUAUAAAUUUAUAAUAUAAAAAAAAAAUCAAUAUAAGGUACUGAAAGUUUGGAAUAAUACAACGUGCUAUGAAAGUUUUAUAGGGAGAUUAAAGUGCCAUAAUUUAUUAGGACGAAAAAAAAAAUCGGUAAUUUUGUAGGGACCAAAAAUUUAAUAAACCAAAAUAUAAAACUUCAAGCGAAAUUAUUCAAAUAUAUCAUUUUCUUUCACUUUCUCAAAAUAAAAACAUUUUCUUUCACAUUUACAAAUAAAAUAUUAAUAAAUAUAUACUUCCAUUUAUAUGUAAAAAUAUUAUAUUAUUAUAGAACUACUACGUCGUUCAUUCUGGAUAGCUUCGUGCCAGCUCAUUUUGACAAUAUGUUUUAUGUUGAGUAUUCCUUCAUGAGGGGAUUGAGAAAUGAAAAUUGUAAAUGUUCCAUGCACAUUAUAUCCGUAAAUAUGAAGUUAGGGUUUAAUUGGAAAAAAGUGGGAAAGGAUAAAAUUCCUAUGAGUUGAGGAAAGUAAAUUAAGUUGUUACUAGGUCAUGCAUGUAUCCGUAAUUCUAGAAACGAUAUUGAGUAAUAGUGCUUGCAUGUUUCAUUUUGAAUUGUAUUGACGAAUUUUAAGUUUAUUGUGUGUUUUGUUAAUCAUUCAUGUGUUUCGUUAAUUUAUGGUUUAAGUUAUGAUUUGUGCAUAAAAAUCCCAUAUUCCCACCCUAACUUUCGAUAGUACUGAACCCACUUAGGUUGAUUUGGUGGAUAUGUUUUAGAUCCUUAAUGAAUGAAUGUGGGUUCGAUGCCCAAUGCCAAUAUAGACUCUUAAUAAAUCUUCGAUGCCCUAAGCCUUUGGUUUCGAUUACGGGGCACGUGCUUUCCAUUUUUCACCAUUUUGACUUUCAAACAUUUGGUUUAUUUAAAAUGACCAGUUAAUCGUAGGAAGACCUCAAACUAAUUAUUAUUAAUUUCACAUGACCAUUUAAUUAUUUGAAGAUUUUUUUUUUUUUUUGGUAGAUCAUUUGAAGAUUUUUUAAUAGUCUAUAUUUUGGAUGAGAAAGGUAAUAAAUAUAUGGUCAAUAUCGCCAUAAUUCUUAACUUGGAUGAAUAGAGUUCCAUCUUUAAUAUCUUAGUGCUAAUCCUUUUUUUUUUAAGAAGCUAAAUUAUGCAACCUAAAUUGGCAUUGGAGAGAAUCAAACAUGAAACUUUUAGGAGGAGCACACUCUUAGUAAUAAUUUUUUUAUUAUCAUUAGAACCAAUAAUUUACACUUAGAAGAGAAAAAUGAGCUGGUGAACUCUUCGUUCGAAAAAAACAUAAAUGACAUUGUUUGAAAAUUCGUAAGUGUGAUAAUAUUAUGAUAUAAAAUUGAAGUUAUAUGCGGUAGGUCUGUAAGUAUAAUAUCAUAUUCUUAAAUUAAAGGUCAUGGUGAUAAAGAAAAAUACAACUAUUGGAAUCCAGGACAAUAACUAAAUAGUAACUAUAAAAUAUUUUAGCAAAAUAUAUAUUCCAUAUUUCUUGUUGCUAGUGUAAGAACUCACUCUUUCAUGCUUGGUGUAAUUGUAAUAUCUUGAGUAUGAAACUCAUGCUAUCAUAGAUGUAAAUGAGUGUACAAGAAGUAUUUAUAGGAAAUAUGCAGAUUACAGUUAGCCUAAUUACAAGCUAAAACGAACGUGCUUAAGUAAGCUAACUAGUUAACUUGUAUCUCAAGUAAACUAGGAGCCUUUACUUUAUUAUGACCUUCUUUCUCUAAUAUCCCCUCACAAGCUGGUGAAUGGUAAAUAUCUAACAUUCCAAGCUUGAAUAAAAGAAUGUUGAAUGGUUGAGGAAGAAGAGGUUUAGUACAGAAGUCUGCAAGUUGGCCAUAUGAAGAGACAGGAAGAAGCUUCAUGAUGUCUGCUUGUAGCUUUUCUCUAACCAAGUGACAAUCAAUCUCAAGGUGCUUGGUUCUUUCAUGAAAUACUCGGUUGGCUGCAAUGUGCAAAGCACUUUGGUUAUCACAGUAAAGCACUUUGGCUGCAAUACUGGGUUUCCUUAAGAAGAUAAAGAAGACAUUGAAAUUCACAAGUAGCUUCGCCUAAAGCACGAUAUUCAACUUCUGAAGAAGAUCUGGAGACAGUCAACUGUUUCUUAGUCCUCCAAGAGAUCAGUGAUGGGCCAAGAAAGAAGCAUUGGCCUGAGAUGGAUCUUCUUGAAUCCAAACAACCAGCCCAGUCUGCAUCUGAGUAUCCUGAUAAAUGUAAAGAUGAAUCUCUAGGGAACAUCAAACCCUGCGCAGGACAUUUCUUCAGGUACCUUAAGAUUCUAGUGGCAGCAGUGAAAUGUUGUUCAGUGGGAGAAGUGAGAAACUGGCUCAAUUGUUGAGUAGCAAAAGUGAUGUAUGGCCUUGUAUUAGUGAGAUAUAUGAGCCUGCCAAUCAAUCUUCUAUAGGAGGGCACAUCAUCAUAAGGAGCACUAGAAUCAUUGUGUAGUUUGCAUGAUGGAUCAGAAGGAACGGAGACUGGUUUGUAAGCAAGAUAGCCAGUAUGUGAUAACUGCUAGAAAGUGUUAAAUCCAUGAUGUAUUUUAAGCACUUUUUGUUACUUGUUUCACAAGUUAUUUGAGGAAAAGCCAUGAAAAAGUAAGAAAAUGCCUUAUUAGGCUUUUUAUAUCUUACUUAACCCAUUUGUGCAGAAAAGAAGUGAUCAAGACUUGAACAAAUGAAAGAAACACAAAAAGGAGCAAAAACCAGCAAUUUGUCGCCAUGGCCAGAACCUGUCGCCAGGGCCACAUCCUGUCGCCAUAGCGGGAAACGGGAAAUGACAAAACAUAACCUAUUUCUUUGUGCCUAAAUGUCGUUGUCGCGAAAAAUGUUCUGCCUGGCAAGAAAAGGCGGUUUGGGUUAAGUGAUGAUGUGGCAGAAACCCACUGGCAAAGAAAGUUGAUGUCGUCGUGGCGACAAAUGUCCUGCUGGGCCAGAAUGUCAAAUUGUGCAUAAAGUAUAAAAACCCAUUUCAUUCAUUUCAGACAUGAUCUUUUUACAUUUAUAGAGGGAGAAUAGGGUGAAAUUCUUAUGUUUUCAUAGAGAAAGGAUGUUUGAGUGUGGAUUCGUCAAGAUUCUUGGAGAAAUCAAGUUCUUGGCAUGGAUCUUCAAAUUUCUUUCCACUUUUGUAAUGUUCUCAUGACAGUGAUGAACAAAAUCUCCUUUGUUGGGAUUAGAGGUACUUGAUUAAGUUGAUAAUGUAAACUUUUGAUCUUUCAAUAUAUGAUUCUAGCAAUUUACAUGAUAUUGAAGUUAUUCUUGCAAUUCAUUUCCUAUCUUUGAUUUAAUUGUUAUUGAAAAGUAAUUUUGAAUCUAUGUUUAGAAUAUUCAUCUAUCAAAACAAUGGAUUGUUUAAUAGUUAGGGGAAUCAACGAUUGAACAAUACAAUUGAUUUCACAAGAUUAUUUGGACACGAAUAGUCUUGUUGAACGAUACGUGAUAAUAUCGGUAAAACGCUAGAAUCCAUAUAUGUGAUUAUUAUGUUAUGUUUGACGCUUAACCAAGGAACUCUAAUUCCAACGUUUUUACGCCUUAUUACUCUCUGUUUUUAUCUUCGCAAUUUAGUUUCCAUCGUUUUAAACAAACAACCAAUCAAACUAUAGCCUAGAGUAUCACAGAAGUCCUUGUGGAGACGAUAACAAAAAUACUUACUUUUGAUACUACAUCAGUAUCUAUAAGUAAAUCAAUGCAAUAUUUUCUCUGACAUAGAGAUAUGCCUUGAGAAGAAUCAGAAACCUCUAAACCAAGAAAAUACUUCAAUUAACCAAGAUAAUAAAUCACCAGCAAUUAUCACAUCAUCUACAUAAACAAGUAAUGAUGUGAAAGAAGUAGCAGUCUUUUUGGUGAAUAAGGAAUGAUCACUGAUAGACUGUGUAUAGUUGUGAUGUAGAAGUAGAGAGGUGAGCUUCUCAUACCACUUUCUACUUGCUUGUUUCAAUCCAUACAGUGAUUUUACUAGUUUGCAAACCUGAUUUGGUUUGCAAGUAGUGAUACCUUGAGGAACAAUCAUGUAAACAUCUUCCUGCAAAUCUCCAUCUAAAAAUUCAUUAUUAACAUCCAGCUGAUGAAUGUGCCAAUGAUUGAUGGAUUCCAAAGCAAUAACAGUUCUGACAGUUGUAAAUUUGGCAACUUGAGAGUAAGUAUCAAAGUAAUCCAAUCCUUCAAUUUGAUUAUAACCUUUGGCAACCAAUCUAGCUUUGUAUCUCUCUACUGAGCCUUCUGCAUGAUAUUUGAUUUUGAAAAUCCAUUUACAACCAAUAGGCUUGACAUUUGGUAUUAAAUCAACUAGUUUCCAUGUCCCAGUAUUUUCAAGAGCAAUGAUCUAAGCUUGCAUAACCUGAUUCCAACAACUGAAUUUGCUUGCCUCAGCAUAUGUAGUGGGCUCAGUCUGGGAGUCAAGAGACAAAGAAUAAGCAAAAUGAGAAGGUGACAAAUUGGUAAAAGAAAUGUAAUAAUGAAUAGGAUAUUAGACAUCAGAAGAAAGAGAAGCAGAAGCAAUAGUGAAAUUACAAACACAAUCUUGUAAGUGUGUAGGUGGGUUAGUAUUCCUGGACGACCUUCUCAAUGGAGGUGGAUCAAUAGGUGAUGUGGUGGGUGAAGGGGAGUGAUUAAUAUCAAUAGGAGGUGAGUCAGUAUCGAUAAAAGGAGGUGGAAAUGGAGGUGAAGGAAGAAUAGUAGGGUUGCUUGUUGAACAAGCAUCAGAAGGAAAAUAAUUCUAAUCAGUAGUAAUUGAUGAUGAGGAUGGAGGAUAAGGCGGUAUAUGCUCAUGAAAACUGACAUGUGUAGAGAUAUGAAUUUCUAUAGUGUGGAUAUCUAACAAAACAAAACCUUUGAAACCAAUGAAGUAUCCUAGAAACACAAACUUUCUGGCUCUAGCAGCUAGUUUGGUUAUAUGGGAAUGAAGGGAAGUGGAGAAGCACAAGGAACCAAAAACUUUAAAUGAAUCAAUGUCAGGAAAUUUAUCAUGAAGAAGUUUGUAAGGUGAUUUGUUAUGAAGUGUAGGGGAAGUAACCCUGUUGAUGAUAAAAGUGGCAUGUAGGAGAGCAUAAGACCAAUAAGAUGCAGGAAGUUUAGAUUGAUAUAGAAGGGCUCUGCCUACAUUAAGGAUAUGUUGGUACUUUCUCUUAACCCUAACAUGUUGUUGAGGGGUCUCAACACAAGACUUAUGAUGAAAAAUACCCUUAGAAGCAUAAAAUGAAUUGAGCAAAAACUCAGGACCAUUAUCACUUCUGACAAUUUUAGGAGUAAUAUGAUAUUGGUUUUCUAUAAGAGUGAUGAAGUUUUUAACAUGUUGUGAAACUUUAGACUUAUUUUUAAGUAAAACAAUCCAGACAAAUAUACUAUAAUCAUCAAGUAUAGUGAGAAAAUAUCUAUGAUUAUGGACAAAAGUAAUGGACAAAGGGCCCCAAAUAUAAAAAUGCAAUAGUUCAAACUUGCUACAAGCAACAUACAAACUAUUUGUAAAAGGUAACUUCUUUUGUCUAACAAAAUGGCAUAUAUCACAAGUGGCUUGAUGAUCAAAAGAUAAUGAAGGAUAAAGUUUGGACAUAUGAGAGAGUCUCUUAUGAGAAACAUGCCAUAACUUAAAGUGCCAUAAAGUAGAAGAAGGAAUGGUCAUGUUUUUAUUGGUGGAAACAUGAUAAAUAAAAGAAUUAUUGUGUAAAGGAAAAGCAGAAAAAUCUAAAACAAGUCUAUAGAGACCUUCAAACUGUUCACCCAAACCAAUCAUCUUAUGGGAGUCAAGAUCCUGUAACAAACACUUGUUGUCAUGAAAGGUGACAAAGCAUUGUAAAGAAUCACAUAGUUUAGAAAUGGAAAUUAAGUUGAAGUUGAAUGAAGGUGAAUAUAGAACAUUGUCAAGGUAAAAAUGAGGUGUAAAGUGUAUGGUGCCAACAUAUUCAGCUAAAAUAGAUGAACCAUUAGGUAAAUUGAUAGGUUUAGGUGAAAUUUUGUGAAAGGAGUUGAACCAAUUUGAAGAAGAAACAAUCUGUUCAUUUGCACCAGAAUCUAACAAUCAUAUAUCAGAUUUUGAAGAUAUGGAACAAGUAAAUAUGGAAGAAGAUAUACCUGAUUGUAUAGUGGAGAUAGAAUUAGAAGCAGGGGAAGUAUGAACAUGAUUGACACUAGUUUGAGGUGAAGCUACAGAUGAAGCAUGAAGCAAAUUCACUUGUUGUAACAGGCUAAGAAUUCGAUCAUACUUCUCUUGAGAAAUAUUAGAACUAGAGGAUGAAGAAGCAUCAUUGCAACUUCUUGAUUGAGCCUCAAUUUCUUCAAAGCUACUUAAGGCAUUCACAGAAGAAUUAUGCUUAUGAAAGUUUGGAUUUGGAUGUCCAUGCUUUUGAUCACAAUAUUCAAUAGUGUGAUUGUUCUUUCCACAAAAUGAACAAUGUCUAGGAGGCUUGGAUCCACUAAAGUAUCCUCUUCCUCUUCCUUGUGGCUUGCGUGAAUCAACAACAUUGAUAAUGGAUGAAGGUUCACCAAUGGAGGAAGAAAGUGAAUGAUUGUUACUUUCCUCUUGGAUAACCACAAAAUAUACUUUGUUGAUAGAAGGAAGUGGAUCAAUCAUCAGUACUUGAGUUUUGAUAACUUUGAAUUGAUCAUUCAAACUAGUCAAAAACUAGAUUACUUGAUCUUUAAGUCUGCAAUUAUGUGCCUCUCUCAUAGCUGCACAACAACAGGGAUGAGGAUAAGUGCAAGGUGGCAUUGGACGGUGUGAAUUCAACUCUUCCCAAAGAGUUUUCAUUUCAGUAAAGUAAUCCAAAACUAACUUAGAACCUUGCUUCAAAUUGUUGAUCUUAGAACGAAGCGUAGCAAUACGAAUGUGAUCUACCUUGGAAAAACGUUCUUUUAGAUCUAACCAAGCAUCAAUGGUGUUUUCAUGGAAAACCAGAGUUUGUUCAAUUUGAGGAGUAACUGAAUUGAUAAUCCAUGACUGAAUUAGGUGAUUGCAAUGUUCCCAGGCACUGCGAUUGAAAUCUUCCUCAUCUGGAAGUUCCAUGGAUCCAUCGACAAACUUCAAUUUGUUCUUCGCACCAAAAGCGAGAAUCAUGGAACGACUCCAUGCGAGGUAGUUAGAACCAUCCAAGAGUUAAGUGACAAUAACUUAAUUCGGUCCUUCAAUUGAUUGCACGUAAAAAAAUUAUUCAGUGCCAGGUUGAUUCUGACGAGGCAUGAUGAACAAAGAAGCAAAUGACGAAGAAGAGAAGAAAAACUUGCUGCAAAACGCAAGAACAACAAGAGAUUCACAAAGGAAGAAGAAAUUCGUGAGGAAUCAAUGGAGAAAUGUGAAGUUUUCAGCAAAAAACGAAGAAGGUGAAGAAAAGGAUCUUAACUUUUGUAAUAAACUUCCACCAUGGAAAUGAGAGAAAAAAGCUCCGAUACCAUGUUAUGGGAAGCAAAUAAUGAAAUGAAUCUCAUUUCUCAUAGAUGUAAAUGAGUGUUUCUCAUAGAUGUAAAUGAGUGUACAAGAAGUAUUUGUAGGCAAUAUGCAUAUUACAAUUAGCCUAAUUACAAGCUAAAAUGAACAUGCUUAAGUAAGCUAAACUAGUUAACUUGUGUAUCAAGUAAACUAGGAGCCUUUACUUUAUUAUGACCUUCUUUAUAUAAUACUAUAUGAUACACAUUUGCGAUUACGGCACUUAUACAAUAUAAGCCGAGUUCUUGGUGGGCAAUCAUUAUUAGUUAUACAAACAACAUAUCCUGCAGUGAAAGAAUAUAAUAAACAAAUGUUAUAAAAAUGAAAUAAAGAUUAUAUAUGAACUACAAACUAAAGAAUGAAAUUUUAAAAGGAUGGAAAAAAACAUUACCCUUAACAUUAUUUGCAAGAAAAAAUAGGAAGAUAAAUAAAAUUAUAGCAUACACAAACAUAUGAGUCAUAUCUUUGUCUCUAUACAUACAACAAAUAUAAUUUAUUUGAUCACUUUAUAGUGUAUAAUCUUUACAUUCAACAAAUACAAUUUAAUUGAUUACUUUAUAGGGUAUAAACCUCACGCUGUGUUGAGAAAAAUAUAAUUAUUUUUACCUCUUAAGAACUUUUAAAAGUCUCUCCCUAAAUUUAGAAUUAUUAUUAAGUGUCUCUUAAGAAGAUGAAUGUGUAAUAUUAUUCAUUUACCACACUUAAUAAAGGCAUAAAAUAAAAAACUUGCUAAUCAUUACAAUUUAAUAUUUUGGUAGUUAACCUUAUUACUUUUGAUGAUUGAAAGGGGAACUUUAAAAAAUAAUAAUGCAUAAAUUAAUCGUAUUGUAGUAUUUUUAUAUAUAAAAUCAUUUAAUCAUAUGGAAAAGUAUAAAAUUAUGAUUAUACAAAUCCAACGAGAUAAAAAUCGUUAUUUUUCGUUGUUGGUAUAGAUAGAAUUUCGAAUAAAAUCAAAUAAGAAUUCAAAACAAGUGAUAAACAGGGUUCUAAAUCAUAUAAUAUUGGCUUUGAUACCACAUGUGAGAAGAUAUUGAAUAUUAUACGAGAUAGAACAUACUUACUUGUUGGUAGCAAUGUCAUGGAUGAGUCUUCCUUUGCCUUUCACGGUGCUCCAGUUCUCGAUGUGGUAAACCACUGAUGAGCAGAAACAUCAGAGUGAUGGAAAAUGGAACCUAGCCUUUCUAUUUAUUAUUGUGCAAUCCUAGUUACCACCCAUCAUGGAUCCUAGUGUUUGGACCUACAAUUUAUUUCUACACAAAUCAUAUUAAGUGCCCAAAUCACAUUAUAUAUUGAUCACUUUUAUUAGAGCCUAAGCAUCAUCAAAUAGAUCAUAACAUCAGUCCACUUUUAUUAAACCAAAACGAAUAAUUGAUUGCAACCCACAAAAUAUUAGAAGAAAUUCUAACAUUCUCCAACACAUGUAAAAUCAAUUGUGUAUUUUUAAUUAAAAAAAUUGAAAACGACUCUCGGACUGAUAAUAAACUUCCUAACAUGGCCACUAAAUGAUCCCAUGAUGCAACACUUUAGUAAUACUUCAUCCAAAAUAUAAAAAAAAUUGAAUGAUAUCGAAUCAUGGCGGUAGUUAUAUCCUUAUUGAUAGAACACCUUCCAUGGUUACAAAUAUCACAAAUUUCGUCGACUAGUCAUUUGUGUAGAGUGUAGCAAGAAAUGAUAUGUCAACGUGAUCAUCGACCAUAUUUUCCUUUUUAUUUUCGGUCCUCAAUUUCUCUCUAAUGUCUUAAAGCCAGAGAAAUUAUGUGAUUCCUCUCAAAUGCCUUAAAGCCAAAGAAAUUAUGUGGUUCACACAAAACAACAUUGUGUCAACUAUAUAAAAUAGUGUUGAUCAUUGAUGCACGAUCGGACUAAUGGCAAGUGUACCAAUCAUUUACCAAGUAAUAAAGUGAUGAGUAAAGUAUCGUAUCCACAGGGAUUGUCCUUUCGCCCAAACAAUUCGCGUUACUUAUUAAGUUGACGAUACAAAAGUUAAGGGUUAAAAAGACUUGCAAUUUUUAUCUGUUUGCAACGGAGCAAGUUUACCUGUUUUGGUUGCAGAAAAGUAAGCAACGGUUAGGAUUCUUCGAAUCCCCUAUGUAUAUUCAUUGUUGGAUUAUAAGUAAAAUAUAUGUCGCGUUAAUUUAUCUUAGGUAGACUAUACGAGUGAUGAGGCCAUUGGAAUGUUCCUAACUGGAUAAGGCAUCACCUGACCCAAUGGGAUUUAAUACUGAGUAUCUAAUUAGGCUUUUACCACUGAUGGCUAACUGCACCUGUUGAUCGCACGGUGAUCCUUACGUGCGGGGUCUUGGUAAUUCAAAGGUAAUUGAAACAUAAACUUUAUAUUGGCUUCCCAAGGCGAUAAAACACGCGAAUAUUACAAAUAUUCAAGAAAUAGACGUCACGUCUUCAAUAAUUCUCAAAACAUGCAUAAAAAUUUCUCAAAAACAUCGCAGCGGAUAAAUAGCAUACAUAUCCAUGUAGCCAUGUCAUAUGCAUGAUAAAUACACCACCAAAUAAAUCAGCAGUCUUAACAUAUGAGUAAAAGUCAGAACAAUAUAUAAAAUAGUCAACACCAAAGAAAAAGCAAGACCGACACCCUAAAUCAGAGCCUAAUACUAAGACUCCAAAGCAGAUAAACGGGGGAAGUGAUGAGUCAUUUAUUAUAUAUUUUUAUAUGUUAUUUAGUUUAGUUUUAAUUAGAUUUAAGUUUAUUUUAUAUUAGUAUUAUUUCCUUUUCGAGCUAUUUUACUACAAUUGCAUAUUGUUAUAUUUCAUAAACGAAUAUUUGAUGGAUUGAGUCUUGGAGCAAAAGAAAGGGGUUUUGGAGCUGAUUCGGUACGAAAAUAUGAAGAUUCGGAGACAAAAAUAUAUCUCCCUAAAGUCAGAAGCUUGGCACGGCCGUGCCACCUCCCAGAACAACUUUUGCUGCUUUUGCUUAGAGUAGCUAGCCAUCAGAAAUAUUCAUCUUUUCUUGGAAUGCAAUAUGUGACAAUUGUCUUUCUAAUAAAAGUUCAUUUACUUUCUUGUUUUUUACUUUUAUGCUUUCUCUCUUCUUCUCCUUGUCUACGAUGAACAUUAGUGAGUAGACUUCUUCUUGUCUUGGGAUUGUUGGAUAAGUCUAAAUGACAUAAUCCUAAUCAAACCAAGCUCUAAGCCUUAAUCUUAUGUAACCCUAAUUUCUUAUCUAAAUUCACCGCUUUAACAUGGAUCAACCAUUAUCUAACUGUGGAAACGAAAGUGGAGGUGUUAUACCUUGAUUUUGGACCUAAAAAUACUCGUUCAAAUUUCUUUUCUAACACUGAUAUUUGUCAAUUCGCUGUUGUUUUACUCUGAACCUUUACUCUCUUUUCAUCUGCAUAUUUUACUGUCUCUGUCUCAAAGUACGUUCAAGCAUGAUUUUCUUGCAUAAAACUAUCCAAAGUGUUUUUCUUGCAUUACAAGUCAUUUGAAAACUCUCUGAAUCAUUGCAUUACUUUUCUUACAUUUUAUUUCAAAAAUCAUACAAAAAGGGUAUUUUGGUCAUUUCCUGCAGUGGAACCCAUUUUAGUCCCUGUGUUUGUCUCUGAGUCUUUUCAACCUGUCUGUACAAAUCAUUGUUGAGUCUUUGUUUAAAAAAAAACCAUUUCAAAAAAUCGCAUCUGAGUCAGUUUGAGUCAGUUUAGUCCCUAGGGGCAUUUUGGUCUUUUCCUAUCAAAAUUUCGGCAGAGAGGUAUUUUGAAAUACCUCAUUUUUGUAAUUGGUUCAUUUUAGUCCUUUUGUUGAUUUUAUUUUAGGUUUCACUUUACUUUUUUUUCCAAUUUACCAAUUUUAAUUCAAUUUUAUUUUUAAUUGCAUUCUGGUCCCUCAAACAAGUUUCCAGAAUUGCACUUUAGUCCAAAACUUUUUAAAAUUGCAUUUUUAGUCCAUUAUUAUUAAUUGAAGUUUAGUCCUCAAUUUUACUUUUUUGCAGAAAGGCCCCUAAGUCCAAAACAGGUGUCAUCAUCUCAUUAAUCCAGAAUCACACAUGGCAGCCUAUAAAAGGUACACAGUGCCACACAGACCCACAGAUCACACGCCACAUCACAAACAGAUUCAGAUUUUCUCUCUCUUUUCUAUUAGAUCAAAACUCAGAGAACACCAAGAACACAAGAACAUUCAUAAAACCCUAAAUCUCCAUAAUCACAAUGGAAUACCAAAUUCAGUGAAUUUUUCUUGCAAUUCUCAGAGAUUCAUCACUGAAUCUUCAUCAUCGAAUUGGUUUCCUUCGCAAUUCAAGGUGCGAAUUCGCCAUUGGCAAACUCAAGCAUCGAUCACGAAGGAAUCAGUGAGAAGAAGAAGAGAAAGAAGACGAAGAAGAUUGAACCAGCGAAGAAGAAGAAGAACCGAUUUAUUUUCGGAUUCAAAUCCAAAAAAUCAACAAACAGAAUCAAGUUCAAGUGUUUCCGGAGAUCUUCGCUCAAAACCUCCAAUCGAAAUCACAGGUAAACACUCAAACUUCCUCUUUCUUGCUCAAAAACAGCAACGAGGACAAAUCAAUGUAGAUCUAUGAAGUUUCAAAGAGUUUCAUUCAAAAAAACUAAAAACCUAAAAAAUAUUUUCAAAACCGUAAUAAAAAAAUGUAGAUCUACAAAGAUUUAAGCCUUGCAUGCAAAAACCAAUGCCAGAUUCGUGCUUAGAAUAAGAAAACGAAGAGAUUGAUGCAUGAUUUGUGUUUUUCUGGUGAGGAUCUAGGUUACCGGAACCUGGAGAUCUCGCCGGAGAAGAUGAAGUUUCCAGCGGAUCUAUGAAGAUUCCGGCCGAACUUCAUCAUCUUCGGCCGCUCAAUCCAGAAGCCGACGGAGGGAGAGAGGAGAGAGGCGAGAGCUUCUCUCACUAGGUGAGAGUUAGAGAGAGAAAGAAAUUAGAGGAAUGAUUGAACCGGCGCUAACAUGCUUUUGUAGACCCCUAGACCGGACCGGUUCAAGACCGGUCCAAUCCCUUGCAAUCCUGGGCGUUGGAUCUAGGGUUUCCCUCCCUGGAUCAAUCCAACGCUCCCUGUGUGUUCGGACCUUAGAUUUUGGGCUUGGGCCUCCUCCUGCGCAGAUUCUUUGUUUUUUUGUUAAUUUCUUGCUAUUUGCACCCUACCUCUUGCUAUGUGAACCUCCUGUUGUCUAAAUUUUUCUUGCAAAAAUUCCUAAAAAUUCCUAUAUGUUUCUUGAUGUAUUUUAAUACUUUUGUGAUGUUUUUUUACAUGUUAAAAAAUGAUAAAAAUAUAUGUAAUAUUUUCUUGUUGAUUUGUUCAUUUUUUUUAUUAAACUUGUGAAUUUUCUUGCCAUAAUUUGUUCAUGAGGUCUUGACAUGAUAUGAGUGAUUAAUAUACAAUUUCAUGUUGAAUAUGCUGCUGAUUGUGUGAUUGUUCUACUGUUUUAAUGUGAUUUGUUAAUUUCUUUUGUUACAAGUAACGUGUAUAUUUUGCAUUUUGGUUAUUGUUGUUAUUUUUACCGUUUCGCCUCGUAAUUCUUUGCUUGUUUUCUUACCAUUUUACACCUUGUUUUACUAACCAUUUCAUUUCAUGUUUCAUCCAUCUCAUGAGCAUCUUGCCAUUGUCAUCUCAAUUUCUCAUAGUUUAGGCAUUUUUACCUUUUAAAUUCUAUGUUAAAAUGUCAUGUAAUAUUUUAGGUAGUUUAAGUUUCCUUUUAAUUUCUUGCAAGACCAUAGAAUGUAAACUAGGGCAAACGUAACGGACAAUGGACUCUCUAUAGUGAUGUACACACGUUGUAUGCUUACCGCUUUAGAUGUAUGCUUAGGAAACGCGAUACUUAGAAAAAUACUAAUUUUUUUCAAAAACAAGCAAAUUCCAUCACUUGAAAUUUUUUCCAAAUAAACCUUGGAGUCAAAACUCCAUUGAAUUUUCUUUUCUUAAUCAAACUCAAAUGAACUCUAAUUCCAGCUUACACCUUUUUUUUUUAAUAAUAAUUGAACCAACUAUUCACCAUUUUUUCUCUCAUGCCUUUACGGCCUCUUUCUCUUCUUCAAAACCAUUUUCCAACACUUAAAAUCAAUUGAAACACACAAAAACAUUUUUUGAAAGAGAACUACAUGGAAUUUUGAUCCCUUAAAAGGGUAUGUAGGCAAGAGGUCAAAACCUCUCCAAGUCCAAUAAAAUCAAACGUCAAACAUUUUCUCCCUCCAUUCUUAACCUAAAUAGACAACUUCUUUUUUAUAAAUAGCAUUAAAAAUAAAGCGUAGACAUAAAACUAGGAAAACGGUUCCUAUAGAGUACUAUAGUCAUUGCGGGUGCCUAACACCUUCCCGUAACGAAAACGACCCCCGAACUUAGAAUUUCUAAGGGUUUUCUCAAUUUUGCCCUUCCCAAGAAAAAAUAGAGAAUAUCAAAUAUUGAAAGGUUCCAGCCUAAUUAAUGACUUGAUACCCCGAAAUCGUGAUAACAUGAGGGUUUGAUAAUUGUUUAUCCAUCAUCUCAAAUAUCAAUUCAUAAAACGAAAGUGGAGCUUUGAUAUUCGAACAAGUGAAUUUAUACAAGGGUUUCAAAGGCAGCGAAAUAGUCUUUGAAAUCUUUGAGACAUAUAGUUUCGAUCUUCAAGGAAACUAAUAAUGAUCAAGUCAGCGAAAUAGGCUUGGUUGUUAGAGGAACCAAAAUCUAAUAGUAAUCAAGUCAGCGAAAUAGGCUUGGUUGCUAGAGGAACAAAAGAGAAAUUGUCUUGAGAAAUUAGGUCUAACAUAAAGUUAUAAGCUUAUAGUUUGGUUUGUGAAGGACUUGUCAUUUAGAGGAACCAAUAAUCCCAAGGCUUUUAUCUUUUCUUUUAUUAUUUUCUUUUAAUUAAAAAUACAAACUUUUCUACCUUCUAAACCUUCAGUCUAAUCAUUAUUUAAAGUUAAUUGAAUUCCUAACUCCCUGUCGGAACGAUACUUUAUUUUUACUACUUCGGUAAGACCGUGCACUUGCGGUUUUAUCCCAUCAGGAAGCUCCUGCUAUCCUCAUGCAACUCACCAAACAAGCAACAAGCUUCUCUUUCACACCGUCUACACCAUAUUUAAAUAUACUGAGGCGGUCACCCGAACGACCACUAGGGGGUUAGUCUACAAUCCACAAUUAAUGCAUAAUCAAACAUAAGCAUUCAAGGAUUUCAUGCAUAACACAUACACAUACUCAACAUUCUUAGAAUAUUAACUCCACAUGGAUAUUAUCCCUCAUUCCUUACACAUCAUAUUGUUACAAUUCUAUCAUAGCACAUCAAGCAUAUUCCUCCAAUAAUCAAAUCGUCAACAAAGUACAUCACUUAACAGCAUCAAUCCAUAUAAGAAUUACUCACCUUAUUCCUCAUUUAACAUAGUUAACUCAACAUAAUACCAUUCAUCAUUUAAAAAGUAUAAACAAGGAAAUUACCGUCACCAAAGACAUUAUCAAAUCACAUAUAAUUCACACUUCAUUAUUUUCACCAAAAUAAACAUCAUCAAUUAAAAUCACCAAGUGUACAAGUAUGGCACAACAUCAUCAAGUACACAAUUCACCAAGUUAACUGAUGCACAUAUUCAACUAAUUCACAUAAUUCACCAAUGCACAUAAGCAAGUAUGACACCUGUCAAGUUAUGCAAUGCGCCUAGACAGGACUUCUAUAUGCAUGUGGUACCAAGUCAACACCGAGGUCGUCACCUCAAGAUACAUAUGUAUCAUAAUCAUUGCCAAUAUAAAUGCAAAGCAAUCAGUCUCAUUUUUAUCAUAUUGCAAAGCCAAUUCAUUAUCAACAAAAAAACUAAGUCUGAUCCAUCAUUGCAUAGGUUAAAUACUCUUCACUUCCUAAUACUCAUGUUUUGAGUUUUGGGUUGACUGAAAAAUACUUAAGUUGAAUUUUCGUAAAAUUUUAUCAAGACAUACUUGGAGUAUUGUCAUCAUAACCCAAAAUAUAGACAUCAUUUUCAAGCCAAACCAAAGUCAUGGGAAAGCUAACACAUAUCUAAAACUUUCAUGUUUAAACCUAAAGCCAAUUCAAAACAUAAAUGUGUGAAAAAGACACAAGAAUGCGAAACAAGGAAUGAUGUCACUGAGUAGCUCGCUUCGAGCGAGUUUCCUCCAGACAGAACUCGCUCCAAGCUAGCUUCAAGCGAGUCCCCCCUAUACUUACGAGUUUUACACCACUUUUCACCAAAAAUCCUCAAUUUUGACCUCCCUUAACCCAAAACUCGAUCCCAAAUCUUAAACACUUGAUUACAAACAUCGAAGGGCAUUCAAAACAACAACAACAUCAGAUUACAACACAGAUUCAUCUCAAAAUCAUCAUCUAGUUCAUUUUCACCAAAAACGACCAAAACUCAACACACACAACAACAACACACCCAACAUGAAUAAAAUCAUGGAAUCUCUAACACCCAUAGCAUAAUUCAUCACCAUUAUCAUAACACAACGUCAUUCAAGACAUAAUUCUACAAUUCCAUCAACAAACAACAACAACUUCAUUUUCACCCAAUUAAGCAAAAAUCAAUUAAGUGACUUAACGACACACUUUUCUCAUACAAAAUCAACAACAACAACAAGUUUAGCAUAAAUUUUUCACACACAAACUUAUCAUCAAAGAAGGAGCACGAAAAUCAUCAUUAAAAUUCACAAAAAUCACAUUUCACAAAUAAGCACUUAUGAAACUAAGUAGAAAAAGUGAUUUGGCUUCACUUUUUCUCCUUAAGUCUCUAGCCUCUUCUUCCUCUCCAAGCUCUUCUUCUCCAAAAACCCUUUUCUCCUCUUCUCUAGCUAUUUCUCUCUCUACCUCCCUCAAUAUUUUGUGAAAAUGAGUGAAUGAGUAUAAAAGACCUAAUUUCUCUUAAGACUAGAGUUUAUAUAGGCUCUUCACAAAUGAACUUAACCCUCAAUUGUCUUAAUGGGAUUAAAGUUCGUACUAACUAAUUCACCAAGUUUCUACUCAUUUACGGAUAAAAAUAACGAAUAAUUUCUGUCUCUUAUUUAAUUACCCAAACUCACUAGUAACUUAGUAAAAAUAUUUAUUGUCACCCAAAACAUUAAAAAUAAUUCUCAUAACCAAAAAACUAUUUUACCCAGAGUUUGAAAUUACUAAAAUACCCUCAUUAAGUCAAAAUCUACUAAUCCUGGAUAAAAUACACAUGGAGACAAUUAAUCACAUACAAGCACAUAUAAACACACAUAAUAAAUAAUUAAAAUAAUUUCUAGCGAAAAUUGAGCUGUUACAAGGUUCCCUUAGGUCUGUACAUCUAUGAAUCUUAGGACACACAUAGCACACUCUCUCUACACUUUCUUAGUAGUUCUACAAACGGGCAGCCCUAAUCUACGUCUACCUUACUAAGGGUUUCAAUAGAAUGGUUAUAUUAGGUUGUAGCUCUAAGUCGGACAGCUAGGUGAUUGUUUCCCUAAUUACUAACAAGUUAAUUCAUAGGUUCAGUAAGGCACCACCCGAUUUAAUGAGAUUUAACACUGAGUACCUACACCUACGAUCAACAAUUCUUAUGGCAUCUUUCGCUAAUUAAUAAUCACGUACUUCCUAGACAGAUAGUUAUAAGUAAAAGGAUAUAACUAUCAAGAUAUAAGCAUCCGGUUAGUGAUAGUAAUAUUAGGCCCUAUCGCAACCUAGGUACCUAGUCUAGGGUUGCCCUCUCACAGAAAUAAAACUACAUCCUAAUAAAAUGGAUUAGUCCGAAAAAUAAUGUAUUCAAUUUUUUUAAAAGUUGAAAAUAUCCUUAAGACUGUAUUUUUUAUAUUAUAUUUCCUUUAAGAUAGUGUUUCACUAUAUAUAAAAAAAGUCAUGCUAAAUAACUACAAAAAGAAAUGAAAAAUAAAUUCAGCAUUGAAAUAAUUAACUUUUAGAUUUGUUAGAUGUUAAAAGCACAAUUUCCAAUACUAUAUUUUUAUGUUGGGUUUUCUUAACAUGUACCCUUAAGGGCACAAACUAAUUUUUCCCAUAAAAAAAAUGUUUAAAUGUUGUUCACGCCACAAAUUUGUUGUACUAUUUUUCACUUAUUGUCUGCUUCAAUUUGAGUUUGAUGUAUGAUAGUGUUGUUUUUAGGGUUAAUAAUGCUUACCCCUGUGAUAUAGGUUAUUUUCGAUUCUCCCCUCUGUAAUUUUUUUAUUUAUUUACCCCUGUAAUUUUUUUGUUUUGGAAUACCCCCUAAUAGGUCAUAAAAAAAAACCAACUUUUUUUUUGGGUUAAUGAUGUUUUACCCCCUGUAAUAUUAGCUCAUUUCCAGUUUUCAACCCUCAAAAAAAUUUUGUUUAGUUUUCGUCCUUAUAAUUUGAGGUUUUUUUUUGUUUUGGACCUUCAUGGCAAAUUUUGCACCCUCUAAUUUGUGAAAAAUUCGGUUUACACCCCUGUAAUUUAAGAAAAUUUUGGUUUAGCUCCUACAAAAUCGUCUAUUUUGUACUGUCAAAAUUCAUGAAGGUUCAAACCUAGAAAUCUUCAAAUUACAAGGACAAAAACAAAACUAAAAAAUUUACGUGGUGAAAAAUUGGAAAUGAUCUUUAUUACGUGGGAUAAAGCACUAUUAACCCUAUUUUUUUAUUUUUAUUUUUGCAAAAAUUUUCGUUUUUCUAUGACCUAUUAGGAGGUAUUUCAAAACAAAUUUACAGGAGAAAAACCGGAAAUGACCUAUAUUACAUGGAUAAAGUAUCAUUAACCCUUAUUUUAAAAAUGCACUACAGUGAGUUGAACAAACUGCAAGUGUGUGUGCUUUUGUUGCAAAAAAAAAAAAAAAAGUAUUUGUUUAUUUAUUUAUUUUGAUAGUAGAGAAAUAUUUAUUCCCAACGAGACCCAUCAAUACAGAAAAUAAAGACCCCGCUCAAACCAAAGUACUUGAAAUUAAAUUUUUGUUCGUGGCUAUUAGGUAUGUUUCAUCGAGUUAGAAUCCACUUCAUUUAGUGUACUCUUCAAUCUCCAUUUCUUUUUAUUUGAAGAGAUAAAGAAAUAAUGAAUUUUGAAAAAAAUACAAAUUAUUAAUAAUGGUGGGACUCAUUUAAUAAUAUGACCUAUUAUCUACUAUUUUGUGUCUAUCUCUCACAGAAUGAUAUUUUCUGUUUAUUUGAAACAAAUGGAGAUGAUCAUCUUCCACGAUACAAAUGGGUAAACAAAUUUAUUUAGCUAUCAAAUGAGAAAAAUAUGUUUGCACAACUUAAACUCAGCGGUAACUACAAACUUAUAUGCUUUAACUUGUCUUGAUAUGGAUAAUAUAUGUUUUAUCUUGUCUCAUAAGUCAUAGCUCAACUGACAAAAAUGCUGAAAUUAAUAGGCCGGAUGUCUUGAUCGGUGUUCGAACCCUGAUACCUCCACUUUAUGUGUGUGAGUUUAUAAUGACUUUUUCAUCUCGUCUAUCUACCAAAAAAGAAUAUAUGCUUUAACUUUUGUUGAUUCAAUUUAAUUCCUUAAGGUAAUCAUUAUAAUAUUACGAAUGAAGUAUUUAAUAAAGCAAAUUCUAUAGUAUACCAAAAAAUUUAAGGGUAUUGGUACAACAAAUCUUUAAAUUAAUAGUUAAAUGAAUUACGUUUUUUAGGAAAAAAUUAUUUUCUAUCACCUAUAAUUAUAAUAAUUAAAUCUUAUUUACCAAAAUCUUCAACGCAAUAAAAUUUAAUUUUUCUGAAUUUUUAUUACUCAUAAUAGAGAAUUUUGAUUAUUUUUAUAAUAAAAUGUAAAAAAAUUUAGGAUGAUUUUUAUAAUUAAUAAAAUGAUAUUUUCUCUUAUGAAAUUAUAUUUUUUAAAAUAUAUAUGUCAACAAACAGCUAUUUUUUUCAUAAAAAAUGAUAGUUAAUUUUAAAAAAAAAUUAAGUAGGUGUACCGUAUAAAUUCUCAAUUAAUAAUUGUCAAAAGAGAAUACAACAACAACAACAACCAAGCCUUAUUCCACUAAUUGGAGUCGGCUACAUAGGUAAAGUAUGAUUUUAGUCUCUAUGAAAUUAUUAAAUUUUACGUUUCAUCACCAUAAAAAAGGGGCACUUAUUGUUCUUACACGACUUUCCUCCAUGCAAUUUUAGUCCUUACUAAAAUCAAUUUUUUUAAUUAUUCAUAAGCUUUCUAAAUUCUUAAAUGAUUUUAUUCAAGUGUGUUUAGAAUAUUUUAAUAAAACAUUUAAAAAUUUAGAUUUUUUAAUAUGGGAUGAAUAAAAUAUAAAUUUAUAAUAUAAAAAAAUUAAGAUAAGGUACUGGAAGUUUGGACUAAUAGAACGUACUAUGAAAAUUUUAUAAGAAUAUCAAAGUUCCUUUUUUUUAUUGUGAUGAAAAGAAAGAUCGGAAAUUUUAAAGGUACGAAAAAUAAAAAAACCGAAAUAUGAUCAAAUUUCAAGCGAAAUUAUUCAAAUAUAACAUUUUCUUUCACAUUUAAAUUGUAAAUGUCACAUGCACAUCAGGUGUUUGAUAUUUUUGAGUGAUAUAAAAUGAAGUUAGGGUUUAAUUGAAAAAAAGUGGGAAAGGAUAAAUUCCUAUGAGGUGAGGAAAGUAAGUUAAUUGCUAUCCAUGCAUGUAUUAUUUUGAAUUGUGUUGAGGAAUUAUAAGUUCAUUGUGUAUUUUGUUAAUUCUUCGUGUGUUUGGUAUGUUUGUGGUUGAAGUUGUGAUUGAUGCAUGAAACAUUUGGUUUAUUUAAAAUGACCCGUCCAUUAUUUGAAGUUUUUUUAAGAGUCUAUGUUUUCGUUGAGAAAGGUGAUAAAUAUAUGGUCAAUAUUGCGAAUAAUCCUAACUCGGAUGAAUAGAGUUCCAUCUUUAAUAUAUUGUCAAUGAUCCUUUUAUUAAUUAUCAAUAGAACCAAUAAUUUACACCUAUAAGAAAGAAAUGAACUAGUGAACUCUUUGUUCAAAAGAAACAUAAAUGGCAUUGUUUGAAAAUUCAUAAGUGUGACAAACUUUUUUUAUAACAGCAGCCAAUAUAUAAUAAUACUUUUUUUUAUAACUUUUUUUAUAAGUGCAAAUUGCUGUCAAACAAACCAAGUAGUAACUAUAAAAUAUUUUAGCAAAAUAUAUAUUCGUUAUUUCUUUUUGCUAGUGUAAGAAAUCACUUUUCCAUGCAUGGUGUAACUGUAAUAUCUUGAGCAUGGGACUCAUAUUAUCUGUAGGAUAGAAAAACUGAUUCACAUUUGCCAUCAAUGCACCUAUAACCUUGAACUAGAGUAUUUGGUGGGCAAUCAUUAUCAGUUAUACAAACGAUAUCUCCUGUAGAGAAAGAAUAUAAUAAACUAAUGUUAUAAAAAUGAAGUAAAGAUUAUAUAUGAACUACAAACUAAAGAAGAAAAUUUGAAAAGGUUGAAAAAAAAACAUUACCCUCAACAUUAUUUGCAACAAGGAAUAGGAAAAUAAAUAAAAUUAUAGUAUACACAAGUUUAUGAGCCAUAUCUUUUCUCUUUACAUACAACAAAUAUAAUUUAUUUGAUCACUUUAUAGGGUACAAACCUCAUGUUGUGUUAAGAAAAAUGUAAAUAUUUUUACCUCUUAAUAACUUUUAAAAGUCACUCCCUAAAUUUAAAAUUAUUAUUAAGUGUCUCUUAAGAAGAUCAAUGUGUUAUAUUUGUCAAUUUACCAUACUUAAUAUAUGUGCACCGUAAAAAACUUGCUAAUCAUUAGAAUUUAAUAUUUUGGUAAUUAAAUUUAUUACUUUUGAUGAUCGAAAGGGGAAAUUUUUGAAAAUAAUAAUGCAUAAGUUAUUAGUAUAACCUUAUUGUAGGAUUUUUUUAGUACUUAUAAUUGCAUGAAUUCAUCAACAUUCUCAUUCAGAUAAAGUCUUUCAUUGUUAUGUAUAUCUGAUGAGCGGAUCACGCAAGUCUACCAAAUCAUUUUCCAAGUAAUAAACUGUUGGAAUAAUAGUCAAAAUUAGUUAAAAAUAUUUUUUUUGUCACCGAAGAGAUUACCACGCUGAGUCGUGGACUAGGUCGCUCUCUCUAAGACGUUUAGUGGAAAUGCCCAAAAUUAUGCAAGCAGACUAUCAACCAUGACGUCCCCAGGAUAAAACAGUCCAGCUAUAGGAUCUGUUCUAUGAAUACACCUUCAAAUAUGGUGUUAGCUAAGACCACUCUCAUAUGGUAUUGAUAUAUACCACACUAUUAUGAUACUAAGACCAUUCUUAUAUGGUUCUAAGACCAUUCUAAUAUGGUGUUUCCACCACUCUAACCUUUAACAUCUCCAAUGGCGUAAAACAUAAAAAAUGAACUAUAUUCUUAAGAUCUUUCUUAUUUUCCGAAGGGACACUUUAUCUCGAAAGAGACUAUGAUCUUAAGAAUACUCUUAUUUUUUAAGGGACGAAUUUUAUCGAAGGGACUAUGUUCUUAAGACCAUUCUUAAUUCCGAAGGGACAUUUUAAACCGAAGGGACUAUGGCCUUAAGAACACUCUUUAAAUCCGAAGGGACAGAAAGAGAGGGAGACAAAAAGAAUAGCUCGUCAACACAAGCUAAAACAGGGAUAACAAAGAAAAGUUCUUUGAAAACUCAAGAGAACUUUUGGGGUAAUUACAAGUGAGAAAUGAGAGUUCUAUUUAUAGGUAAGGAGCCAGAGAUAAGUUACAAAUCCAAUGCCUAGGAUUAGUUGACCGCUACAAAAUCAAUGACAUAAUUUCUCCUCAUAAAUGAGCACUCAAUGAGAUAGUUGACAUGAGAAUAUUUUAAUUCAAAUUAACAUACAUAGUGGAUCAAACUUGAGACCUUUAGAAGUAGCACGCUCUUAGUAAUAAUCAUUAGAACUAAUAAUUUACACUUACAAGAAAGAAAUGAACUGGUGAACUCUUCAUUCAAAAGAAAAAUAAAUGUCAUUGUUUGAAAAUUCAUAAGCGUGACAAUAUUAUGAUAUAAAAUUGAAGUAAUAUGUGUUAGCUCUUUAAAUAUAGGGAACUUCUACGGUACAUCCGCAAAUUAAGGUGUACCGGUACUCAUGCUUUAAAAAAAUUUAAAUUAACUAUUAUUUUUAUAGAAUAUAGUGCUAUUUGUUGAUAUUUAUAUUUUAAAAAAUGUCAUUUUAUAGGAAAAAAAACAUCAUUUCAUUGUUUAUAAAAAUCAUACUAUUUUUUUUUACAUUUUAUUGUAAAAAAUAAUCAAAAUUCUCUAUUAUGAGUACUAAAAAUUUAGAAUAAUUUAAUUUUAUUUCGUCGACGUUUUUGGUAAAUAAGAUUUAAUUAUAGAUGAUAGAAAAUAAAAAUUUUCUUCAAAAAAUAACACAUUUAACUAUUAAUUUAUUGAUUUGAUGUACCAAUACACUCAAAAUUUUGAGUGUACCAUAGAACUUGCCUUAAAUAUAAUGUUAUAUUUUUAAAUUAAAGGACAUGGUGAUAAAAUAAGGAAAAUGCUAGUUGUCCCAUAUAUAAGGAAAAUGCUAGUUGUCCCAUAUAUUUGUUUCACGAUAUCAUCGCGAAGCACGUGGUAACUGGCAAACCAGUUGUGUUGUUUAUUUUUGCCUGUUUCUCUCUCCAAUUGUUAUUUUGGAGUUCGUUGGUUGAUUUAUGGAGUUCGGUGGCCGAUUUUUACAGUAGAAAAUAAAACAGAAACGUAUUUUCAGGCUUAGAUUUGUUCUAGUUUUAUUGAAGAUUCUUUUACUAUAAAUAUAGACAUUGUAUCAGAGUAAACCAUCACUACAAGAAUUUUUCAUUUUACUGGCAGAACUAAACCCUCACUAAUGCAAAACAUCCCUCAGUAAUGCCCAUUACUGGCGGAUUGAUGUCCCUCAGUAAUACUGGAGUCAAUAUUGUUACUGACGGAUUUUUUCCUGAGUAAUGGGGAGAUAGUCUUGACAAAGCUUUACUGAGGGAUUAUUCCGUCCGUCAGAAAUUACUGAUAGAAUAAUCCGCCAGUAAUUACUGACGGAAUAAUCCCUCACUAAUGUUCCAACCUAAUCCGUCCAAGUAUUAUUGACGGAUUUAUCCGCCAGCAAUGUUUAUGCAUAUCUACAUUACUGACAGAAAUUUCCCUCAGUAAAAUACUUCAUACUUUUUUUGUUGAUCCCUUCCCACAUUUUUAUUUUAAUUAAAGAAUUAUAAUCAAUUAAACAUAACUAAAUUAAAGUGUAAUUUAUUAAGACACAAACUAAUUAAACGACAUAUCAUCAAAAUAUUCGUACAAUGCAUAAAUAGUUUUCGUACAAAAUUAUAAAUAUUUCAAUAAUAUUCGUACAAUCUAGAGAAUUAACAGAAUAAACUAAUUAUCAUAAUAUUUGGGCAAAUUCAAUCCCAAUCUCCCUCUGGAUGAUCUCUCGCUCAUAUUUUAUCCUCUCCGGGUAUUUUGGAGAUUUUCUUGCGCAGUAUGAUCCAUAUAAUUAAAGUUUCCACAAAAGUAUCAUACUGACUUUCAAAAGUUUCAAUAAAUGCUCUCAUGGUGGUAUGCACGUAUAUUCAAAAUUCAAAAAUAUAAGUAAGUUAUCUUAUGCCAAACAUUAUUAAGGUUAAGCUUGUGAAAGAAACACACAACUCACGUAAAAAAUAAGAAUCACAUGGUACCUGUUCCAUUGAUGGCAUGGUAUGUCCGGCCUUCUUCCACAACAACUCUGCAUAACUCUGUCGUGUCCAUGUAAAAAACACGGACACAUCACUAAACAAUCUGCAAUUUUGCACUUGUUAACAAAUAGGUUGAUCUUCAAACACUUUUUCCUAGUAUCCCAAGCUAUACUUUCCAAACUUCCUCUCACUAUAUCAUUGUCUCAGUCUUCUUCACAACCUUAUCCCUUCAUGCAACAUAUUAGCAUUAUAGCAAUCUGCAACACUUUAUUCUGCUGACACACAAUCUGCAUCACUUAACCAUGUAUGAGAAAAAAUGACAUCUUUAAAGAAACUUGUUAAAAUGAUGGAACAAUUCACAAAUAGUCUUAAGAAUAAAAUCCAAAAGGGGUCAUGAACUUAACUAUAUAUAAGUAUAAAAAGUUCAUUUACAUGUGAAUAUGUGAUGGAACAAGUGUAACACUUCCUUUCCUACGUAUAUACCAGAUAAGCAUAUUAAACAAAAGGCCCCAGAAACAAUAAGAGUUAGUGAAAGAAAAACCAAUUAUAAGACAAAUAGAGAACUACAAAGACAUCUUCUGAUUAAACUAGUUAUGUCUGUACAGAAACUCAGAAACAAAUCAUAUAUGAUCCCAAAUUCACUUGAUUUUCUUUUUCUUUUUCCUUAUGGGUUAAGAAUUGAACCAUUCAUUUGAUUCCAAGUUCUUGAAUUCUCUAAUCUCUGAUCCCGAAUUCACUUAGUUUAUUUAAAAAUGAAGGAAAUAAGAUGGGUAUAAAUAAGUAAAACAACUUUGAGUAACCCAUUUAAACAAAUCCUUACAGAUCCAAUAGUAACAUCUCAUAUCUACAAAUAACAAACAAAUUAAAUAAAAUGGAAACUUUAAAUAACACAAAAUCAAAUGAAAAAUGAAAACUUUUAAGUAACCCAAAUCAAGUAAAAAUCAAAACUUUAAGGGAGAAUUAGGUGAAUCAAAGGUGCCCAUGAACCUGGUUUAGUGAUAACAACUAAUAAAAUUUAAAUUAAUUAAGGGUAAGAUGAUUUGUUACUCACCCGAAUCUUCUUCAACAUUCUCCUCGAUGCCUCUGAAAAAUUGGUCAAUCAAUGGAAAAAGCUUAACAAACGAAAUAUCAAAAUCGAACUAAAAUAAAAAUAAAAAUUCCAUAAAUUUGGAGCUUUUUUACAAUACCUUUUAGAACUUGAAAUCUUGGAGUCAAAACUAAGAGAAGCAAGUAAUGAUCCUUCUUAUAAGUGUUCUUCAAGGUAGGAGAGAAGCUUUUGAGUUAGCAAUGGGUUGGGGGAGUUCGGGUAGCCGACGGAGAAUGAGAGAGAGAGACGAACAUGAGAUGAAUUUAUCUUCUUUUGUUACAAUUUUAAUGUCUAAGUACCUUUCGUUUACUUGCGGAAAUGAAAGGGUAUUGGCGGAUAUUAGAACAUUAUUGACGGAUUUAAAUCGGCCAGUAAUACAAACAUUACUGUUAUUGAGGAAAAAAAUCCGCCACUAAUUCAAUGCAGAUUGGUUAUUGACAUUAUUGACGGAUUUUUCUGCCAAUAAUACUAACAUAAUUAUUAUUUAUUUUUUUGCGUGUAAUUUUCUGAAUUAUUGAAGGUUUUUUCUGCUAGUAAUGUUAUUGAGGGUUUUUCUUGUGUUACUGAGGAUUUAGAUCGCCAGUAAUUACUGAGGGUUAAAAUCCGUCAGUAAUGAGAUUUUCAAUUGGUUAGUAAUUAAGGGUAUUCUUGUAGUUCAUGAGAUAGAGGGGGCUGAAAGAAGGGUCUAGUAAGACAACAACAAAAAUAGGGUUUGUCUCUUGACAACAGACACUAGGGUUUGAGGGUUGAUUCAUCUUGGGAAACACUAUUAUGAUUGAGUCUCUAGGUUACGGGAAGAGAUUGAGACUUUGGGUAGAAUUAGGCGGGAGAUCCUUAUUCUUGUAAUCCAUUGAUAUCUCUUUUGUAAGGUUACUCAUCAUUAUAGUGAAACGGAGGGCUGCUCUCCCCAGACUAGGUCAAUUUGGACCGAACUGGAUCAACAAAUUCUUUUGUGUUCUCUCUUCUUUUCUCUCUCGCUGUUUUAUACUUUUGGUUUGUUUUUAUAAUUGUUUCAUACACUUUAUUUUGGUUGCAUGAUAAUCACUUACUCCACACAUCAAAUUUAUUAUUGGUGUGAUUUUUCUUCAAAUUCACAAGAGAUUGAUGGCCCAUUAUUCUAGUUAUUCUAUUGAAGAUGACACUGAUAGAGGUGAUGGUUUCUAUUCUCAAAUACUUUAGAGCAUGUGAAAGAUAUUUUGAUUUUGUUUUUUAUUAAAGAAAUAACCUAUAAAUAUAAAUUGUGGCUGUAUGAUUAAAAAAAGUAGCCGCUGUAAGCACUUUCGUGAGACUUCGUGAGGAUAUCUUUCGCAUUAUAUAACACGGCUCGACAAAAUAAAAUACAAUAUUUGGAAUCCAAGACAAUGAUUAAAUGGCAACUAUAAAAUAUUUUAGUAAAAUAUAUAUUUCAUAUUUAUUUUUGCUAGCGUAAGAACUCACUCUUCAAUGCAUGGUGUAAUUGUAAUAUCUUGAGUAUGAGACUCAUCCCAUUCAUAUAACACUCUAUGUGAUUUACAUUUGCCAUCAAUGCACCUAUACCUUAGAUUCCGAGUAUUUGGUGGGCAAUCAUUAACAGUUUUGCAAAGAAUAUACCCUAUAGUGAAAGAAUAUAUAUAAUAAACUAAUGUUAUAAAAAUGAAUUAAGAUUAUAUAUGAACUACAAAUGAAAGAAGGAAAUUUGAAAAGGAUGGAAAAAAAACAUUACCCUCAACAUUAUUUGCAACAAGAAAUAGAAAAAUAAAUAAAAUUAUAGCAUACACAAGCUUAUGAGUCAUAUCUUUCUCUUUACAUACAACAAAUAUAAUUUAUUUGAUCACUUUAUAGGGUAUAAAUUUAACCUCAUGUUUAAGAAAAAUGUAACUAUUUUUACGUCCUAAUAACUUUUAAAAAGCAUUCCCUAAAUUUAAAAUUAUUAUUAAGUGUCUCUUAAGAAGAUCAAUGUGUUAUAUUUGUCCAUUUAUCACACUUAAUAAAGGCGCACCAUAAAAAACUUGCUAAUCAUUAGAAUUUAAUAUUUCGGUAAUUAACCUUAUUGUUUAACCUUACUGUAGAGUUUUUUAUAUAUAAAAAUCAGUUAAUCAUUUGGAAUAGUAUAUAAUUUUAUAAUUGAAUGAAUUCAUCAACAUUCUCAUUCACAUAAAGUCCUUGAUUGGCAUGUACAUACAAAAUAAAUUAGAAUUGAAGACUGAUUAUUCGCGUGAUACAUGAGGGAGAAAUACAACGGACUUCUAGGGUUUCCCCUUGCACUAUCGCCCUACUGAAUUCUGAUUAAUUUGUUCCUUGCUAACUCUCAAGUGGUUUCAUAUGCCGUUGAACCAAAGUAUUAAUGAUAACAUUGUAUAAAAGAACAGUUGGAUACUUUAAUGUAUCUUUAAAUAUGCAAAACCAUAAAAUUAAAUUCUGAUUUAAAGGUCGAGUUUUGGCUCUGAUACAUCAUGCUCUGACCAUAAAAGAAAUCAUUUUGAUGCUAAAGAGAACAAAAGCCUUGAGGAAUGAGAAUCAGAGAUGCAAGGAAAAACACAAGCAAGUAUGAGGAAAAAGAAGUCAUCUUAAUCUUAAUUAGUGUGAUUUUAGUAUUGGAGCAUAAAACAUAGGGGAUAAUAUCAUGUUUUAUACUAGUUAGAUUAGAGACAUUGGUGAGUGGGAGGUGCAAUUAUUGAUGAAAUACGUCAGGCUAUUGCAUAUGCUUACGGAUUAACCUGCACGUCACAAAGCAAAUCAAACUUUUUAAAAGCCUAAUAUAUCGGAAUUAUUGAUUGUGGAUUAGGAUUAAAAAAUCUGCAAUUUUUCAAUUAGGUUUUACACAAUACAAGUGGAGGUCGAGGUCUGCCCAUUAACUUAGUUCGGUUGGGUCCUCGUGAGUUUAACUCGGUUAGUUUGAACAAUGCAUAAUAUAUGUAAAGUUUGGAGUUCAAACCCUGACGACCACAAAAAAACUUAGCUCAAUUGGUAGGGAAUAACAUAUACAGAGAAUGUGCGCAGUUCAAACUUCAGACAUCCCAUUGUUUAUUUUUUAAAGAUUAAUUUUUAACAACUUGACUAACUAGAAAAACUGGAGGUGGAUUCAGCAAUUUUUUCAUGUGUUUUCAAUUUUAUCCAACAUUACAAUUUCAUUUUUAUUUAACAAUGUUUCCAACGACAUAAACCAAUUUUAAAACGUGGGCAAAAAGUAAUCUUAUUACGUUAGAAAUGUAAAAUACUAAUAUUUUAUCAUUCUCUAAAAGUUCAAGUAGCACAUAAAUACAUUUUUGAAAUAAAAGUUGUUGACCUUCUACAUAGAGUUCAGAAGAUCAUGCAUAACAAUAGGGGUGUUCAAAACCGAACCAACCCAAUAGAAAAACCGCAAACCGAACCAACCCAAACCGAAACUGCAAAAAACCGCACUUGGUUCGGAUGAGUUCGGAUGACUUUUAGACUGAACCGCGCGGUUCGGUUCGGUUUGCGAUUUGCAUCUCAGCAACCAAACCAAACCAAACUAAACCGCAAAAAUACUCAAUGUUAUUAAACUAAGUAAGUACUGUACUAGCCCAAUACCAAAGUGAACCCAAGCCCAAGCCCAACCCUAUCCAGCUAUUUUUUGGUUCUUAAAUAUUAUUUUGGUACUGUAAUGUUAUUUUAGAUAAAUAACUUUCAUUGGUAUUGUAAUGCUAUUUUUGAACUUCAAGUUAAAAAAUAAAAAAAUAAAAAAAAAUAAAAAAAAAAAAAACUUCAAGUUCUUUUUUUGAAUAAUUAAAAUUGCUUGGUACUAGUUGGCAAUAUUAGAGUUAAUGUAAUUUUUUUAUUUAUCUCGCGAUUAACCGCAUCAACUGAACCAAUCCAAACCGCAUUGGUUUGGUUUGGUUUGGUUCGGAUGACUUUUUAAAAAUCAACCGAACCAAACCAAACCGCAUGCUUUUUUCUCUCGCGGUUUGGAUGAUUAUUAUGCUUGAAACCGAACCAAACCGCACCGCAAACACUCCUACAUAACAAUGUCAUGUCUCCUUGGUCCAUGAAUGUUGUGUUUACGAUGAUUGAUUUUGUUAUCCAAAAAGGUUUGGCGGCGCAGCUUGUUGCCCGCUUGCCUUUGAUUAAAGUGUAAAUAAUUAAUGGUUUAUAUAUUUGAGAAUAAUUUUGGAACAAGAAACUUAUCAAGAGAAAAAUAUAUGUCAUUUUAUAAAAGUUUAUAUGAGUAUUAGUUUAAGUGACAUAAGUUUAAUUAUUGUUUUUCUUAUGUUGCGGUUUGAUUUGGUUAAUAAAAUAAAAACCGCAAAUCAAAACAAACCAUGCAGUGGAGUAAGAAAAUAAUCUUAAUACAUCUGAACUAAAUGCAUUUUUUACAAUUUCGGUUUUGAUUGAUUCAGUUGGCAGCUUUUCUAUUAGGUUGAUUGGUUUUUAACACCCUAAUCAAUAUCAAAAACGAAGUUUUUGAACUAGCCUUAUCCACCGGCUAACUUGUCUUUACACACGAUUAAAAAACCCACACUUAUCUUUGCAACUAUAGAGCAUAUUCUUUCGAUCAAUCAAACUAGUCCAGAGAAAGCAAUCAUAUUGCAUGAAAGCAUUUACGGGAUUCUUUUAUAAAAGAAUGAAGACAAUCAAGGACACUUCUAGAUAAAAGGACAAUUAAGAAAUAAAUUAUUAUUUGAAUUCUCUUUAAAAUUAUAUCCACUUAUGCAUCUAGUUUAAUAUGAGUCGUUGAUUUCUCGUAUGGACCACUAAGGAAGGUUACAAAUCCCACAAAUUAGAAGGUCUAUAAACCUUCACUAACCAACAAGAUAUAAGCGUGACAAAAAUCAUGCACAUCAGUUUAUAGUGAUUUGAUUAGACAAAAACUAAAAUCGUCACAAAAUUAUUUUAAAUCUCAUAAAAUGGAUCUCUGAUUUUUAAUUUUUUUCAGAUGGAUCGUGGCAGAGUCAUUGAUGGGCUCCACCACUGCCAAUUGGGCAUUAAACAAAUUAUCUUUAACGAUUUUAAGACCCAUGAAGGGCUCUUCCACUACCUAGAAGCCGCCCUACCUCCUUAAUUAUGAGAUAAGAGCUUAUACCAUAAACCUUCUUAAUCUACCUUAAGCUUCCAAUACCAUUUUCGUAAAAUUGAAAAAUUAACUUUCAUUUCUCUCUGAACACAUAAACCUCUUUUACUUCUAUCUAAACAAAUAGUGCACCCCAAUGAACUCUACGAGCUUCCUCACUCGCCUCCUCAAAGAAAUUUUAUAAAAAGGUAAUCAAUUUAAAAAAACUAUCUGAGGGAGUCUUGAAGAAGGAAAUAUAGUAAAUCGAAAGAGACAAUGGACAUUUAAGAAGAACAAGACGACUAUCCAUAGAUAGAUUACAACUUUUCUAUCCAAAGAGACAUUUCUUACCCAAACUUGGAAGGUGAAUGUAUUUAAAGGGAGCCCUCUUGAUUUUGCAAUUAAGAACUAUAGAUACAUCUUCUAACCAGAUAGGAGAUAUAUUAACACCAAAUAAUAGACGGUUAUGGAAGUUAAUUAACUUUAAGGCCUAAAAUUUUUUAUUUAUUUUUGACAAAUGGCCUAAUUUUUUUUUAAAAAGGACAAUCUUGGCUUGUCGUAGCAAUUCCAUAACUUAUUAAAAAAUAACCAUAACUUAUCAUAGCAAUUUCGCAACAAAUCUACGACAACAUAACUUAGACUUGUCGUAGCAAUUCCAUAGCAAAUCUACAGCAGAAAUUUAACAAAAUUUUCUUUAGUGGAUCCUAGCAAUUAGGACCUUUUAACCUUAUUAAAAAAAACAUUUAAAUCACUCCCAAUCAAUUAAUAAGAAACUUUAGUUGAACACCACAAAAAAUACAAAAUAGUAUUGAUAACAAAUUAGGUCUCAUACAAUGCUAAUUUAUGAAGCUAUUUCAAACAAACUAACAUGCACUUAUGGUAGUCCUCGCACAUCACAACGUGCAGAAAAGUUUACCACAUCCCAUUUCUCUAUUUUAACAGGUUGCACAUUUUUCUGGAACAAAGUUUAAAACAUUAGAAAAUAAAUAUUAUAGAUGAAACAUACCAGUAAAUUAAAAUUGGAGCUCAGAUUUGACAUAAAUACCUUGUUAUUGAAGUUCCAUCUCCCAUUCCUGGGAUUGAAGUCUUCGCCAUUCCCAUACUUCAACUGUAAGUCAAAAUAAAUAAACAGGAACAAAAAAAAUUCUUCAAAAAGUAAUUUCGAAAAUCUUUCUUAGGUGAGUGCUUGAGAAUGUUUCCAGGAACAACACCUGUCUUCUUCAGAGUAAACUUACAAUGCCAACAUUUUCAUUAAUAACAACGUCCAUCAUGAAGAACAGCAACUACAAAUAACAGUUUCCAAACCUUAAAAAUGGAUACACAUCAACAGAAAUGGGAUAGAAAAAUCAACAAUUCAAUAAACAUACACAUUGAUAUAUCACUAUCAAGCUGUUUUGAAUAAAUGCCCCCACUCAAGGACUGACAGGCCCUUUGGCCCCCGACUAAGGGGCUACUGUUUCGAUACAUAAAAAAGUCUCACAUUGCUAAAGAACGUGGUAAGAGUAACAACAAUAUUCAUCUCUUCAACUCACAAACACCUAUUUCAAUGACUCAACAAACACCUCUUACAAUGAAUAAAACCUCCUUAAAGGCUUUAGCAAUGAAGAAGGCAUAACACCAAGUAAUGUGUUCUGAGUGCCUCUUGUACUCACCUUAAUACAUUUCAUUAUAGAGUCAAAAAUGUAUUAAAUUUUUUUAAAAGUUGAAAAUAUCCUUAAGACUGUAUUUUUAUAUUAUAUUUCCUUUAAGACAAUGUUUGACUAUAUAUAAUAAAAAAAUGUCAUGCUAACUUGUGCCUUAAACACAAAAGUUAAGAUUUAAAAAAGGAAAUGAAAAAUAAAUUCAGCAUUGAAAAAAUUAACUUUUAAACUUCUUAGAUGUUAAAAGCACAAUUUCAAUACAAUAUUUUUAUGUUCAAUAUUAUAUUUUUAUGUCUAGUUUUCUUAACAUGUGCCCUUAAUUAGCUUUUCGCAUAAAAAAAUGUUAAAAUGUUAUUCUUGCCACAAAUUUGUUGGAUUGUUUUUAACUUAUUGUCUGCUUCAAUUUGAGUAUGAUGUAAGCUAUGAUAGUGUUGUUUUUAAAAUGCACUACAGUGAGUUGAACAAAGUGCCAGUGUGUGUGUGUUUUUGUUUCAAAAACAGAAAAGUAGUUGUUUAUUUAUUUAUUUUGAUAGCAGAGAAAUAUAUAUUCACAAUGAGAUCCAUCAGUAUAAAAAAUAAAGACCCUGCUCAAACCAAAGUACUCGAAAAUUGAAUUGUUGUUAGUAAGCUAUCAGGUGCGUUUCAUCGAGUUAGAAUCCUCUUCAUCUAGUGUACUCUUCCAUCUCCAUUUCUUCUAUUUGGAGAAAUAAAGACACAAUGAAGUUUGAAAAAAAUAUAAAUAAAUUAAUAGUGGCAGGAACCACUUAAUAGUAUGACCCACUAUCUACUUUUUUGUAUAUAUCUCUCCGCAAAUGAUAUUCUCUAUUUAUUUGAAACAAAUGGAGAAGAUGCUUACUCGAAUUUCAUCUUCCACGAUACAAAUGGGUAAACAGUUCUAUCUAGCUAUCAAAUGAGUAAAAAACAUUUGCAUAACUUAAAUUCAGCUGUAUCUACAACUUUUAUAUGGAUAAUAUAUGUUUUACUUUUGAUGAUUCAAUAUUUUUCCUAGUAUUUAAGAUCGGAAAGAGUAUUAAAAAUUGUAGUCUUCAUAAUUAGAACACGGAAACAUAGACUUUUUGACUUUUGGGGAUCGCUUUUAACUUUAAGUUUUAGAUUAAACUAACAAAAUACACUUGAUCACACGUUGUUGAUUAAUAUACGAAGGUAAUUUCACCAAAAAAUAUACUAAGGUAAUGAUUAUAACAUUACACGUAAAGUAUUUAAUCAUUGUCAAAAAAGAGUCAAGUAUUUAAAAAAAAAGGGUAAAGUAUGAUUUUAGUCUCUAUGAAAUUAUUAACUUUUGCGUUUCAUAACAUAAAAAAAGGGGAGCUUUUUGUUCUUAUACAACUUUCCUCCAUGCGAUUUUAGUCCUUACUAAAAUCAAUUUUUCAAUAUUAUUCUCAAACUUUCUAAACUCUUAAAUGAUUUUGUUCAAGUAUGUUUAGAUUUUUUAAUAUGGGAUAAAUACAAUAUAAAUUUAUAAUAUAAAAAAAUCAAGAUAAGGUACUGGAAGUUUGGAAUAAUAAAACAUGAUAUGAAAAUUUUAUAGGGAGCUCAUAGUGCCAUUUUAUUUAGUGUGAUGAAAAAUAAAAAUUGGUAAUUUCGUAGGGGCAAAAAAUAUAAUAAAAUGAAAUAUCAAAUUUCACUCGAAAUUAUUCAAAUAUAAAAUUUUCUAUCACAUUUACAAAUAAAAUAUUAAUAAAUAUAUACUUUCAUUUACAUGUAAAAAUAUUAUAUUACUAUAGAACUAUUACGUCGUUCAUUAAGGAUAGCUUCGUGCCAACUCAUUUUAACAAUAUGUUUUAUGUUGAGUAUUCCUUCAUGAGGGGAUUGAGAAAUGAAAUUUGUAAAUGUCAGAUGCACAUUAGGUGUUUGAUGUUUUUGAGUGAUAUAAAUAUGAAGUUAGGGUUUAAUUGGAAAAAGGUGGGAAAGGAUAAAUUCCUAUGAGUUGAGGAAAGUAAAUAAAUUGCUAAUUCAUGCAUGUAUCGUUAAUUCUAGAAAAGAUCUGAAGUAAUAGUUUCUCAAAGUUUCAACCAGAGAAGAAAGAGAAAAAAUGAAGUGAAAAAGAUUAUUGAUUAGUUCAACUGAAUUCUGUUACAAUGAAUGUAGAAGUUGGUUAUGACAGCUAUGUCUAACUAACUUCUAUCUAUCUAAAUGUAAAAGAAAUACAAAUGAAAUUACAUGUAAAUAAGGUAAUUUCCACCCACAAGCUGGAGGUUGGUAGAUAUCCACCAUCCCAAGCUUGGUGAUGCAUUCAUAGAAUUGCCUUGGCCCUGCUGCUUUUGUGAACACAUCUGCAGUUUGAUUACGAGAAGAAAUAGGUAACAGUCUCAUUACUCCUGCUUGCACUUUCUCACGUACCAAGUGACAGUCUAUGUCCAGAUGUUUUGUGCGUUCUGAUGUAGUAUUUUUGCAUCAAACAAUUGUAAGUAUUUGUAUCGUCUCCACAGGGACUGGUGCGAUAUUCUAAGCCGUUCAACAAUUCAUACUAUUCUGAGCUAGGGUUUCGAAGUUGUUUUUGUUCAUAAACUAUAGAACUAAAGAAAGGUAAAUGGGACGAAAGUUAACAGGGAAAUGAUUAUGUUGGGAUUAAACUUCAUCAACCUAUUCAUACGUAUUCUCGGAUUAGUGUUGCAGAUCUUAAUUAUCAAUUGAUAUUAUCACAUAUCGCUCGACAACAUCAUUCGUGUCCAAAUGAUGUCGUGAAUUCUAUUGAGUCGUUCAAUCGUUGAUUUCCCAAACUACUAAACGAUCCACUAGUCGAUUGUAUCGUUGUAUAGUUGAUUUCCCAAACUAUUCAAUGAUGCAAAAGCUUUAAGUUCCAAUAGUCAAAGUGAUUACCAAAACCUAAUUCAAUGUCUAGAACAAGAGAUUUGAUAGAAGAUUAUUCUAACCUAGAUUCAAAAGGUAUUUUUCAAUCACGAUUCAAAUCCAUAAGAUCAAAAUGGAAAACAAGAAUAACCUCAACAUCAAAAGAUAACUAAGAACAAACAACAUCAUAAUCAAAGGGAAUACAUACUAAUAGAGUUGAUUACAUUCAAUCCCAACAAAAAGAGUUUAGCUACACAUUGUCAUGGUAACCUUACAAGGAGAAAAGAAGAGAUGAAAUGAGCAAGCCAUGAUGUCUCAAUGAUCUUGGAGAUUCCUUCAAUCCUUGUGCUCCUUGCUCCUUAAGUUCUCUCAGGUUUUCCCCUGCUUUUUCUCUCCCUAAAGUGGUCUAUGAUAUGAUAUGAUAAUAAUAUCAGAUAUCCCUGCUGAUCUGAGUGAAUGGCCUUUAUAUAGUUUUGAUCUGACUCAACUCGCCUCGCGAGUAGGUGUUCUCGCCAUGGCGAGUUGAGCUUUCUUCCCCUAUAGGUUUCUGCCACGUCAGCUUGAAGAGGUUAGGCCGCCUUAGCUCGCCUCACGAGUAGUUUUGCUCGCCAUGGCGAGCUCUUGGAUUUCCUUGCUCGCCUUUCACUCGCCAUGGCGAGUUGGAAGCAAGUGAGAGAUGGACUUUCUGCCUCAGCUCGCCAUGAAGUCGCCUUGGGCUCGCCUGGCGAGUUGACCUUUUCAUUUCUUCAUGUUUUCUUGCUUUUUAAGUAUCCAGGAAUGCAUUUUCCUACACAAACAGUUGGCAUUAGAUGUAAAAAGCAUAAUUGAAUGAUUCUUCAAUAUUUCUGAGCUUUUUCACUAGAUAACUUGCGAACCAAGUAAUCAAAGUGCCUAAAAUGUAUGUCCUAUUUAACUGUUUUCUGACACUUAUCACGUUCAUGAAACACAGGAUUAGCUGAAAUAUGCAAUGCACUCUGGUUAUCACAGUACAAAACAGGCAAACGAGAAGGAGCUUGAUGGAAGUCAGAUAAGAGAAAGCACAUCCAUUGAAGCUCUCUUGUUGCUGAAGCUAGUGCCUUAUACUCAGCUUCUGCUGAAGAACAUGAAACUGUAGGCUGUUUCUUGGAUUUCCAGGACACUAGAGAACUUCCAAUGAAGAAACAAUAGCCAGAUAUGGAUCUUCUGGUAUCCACAUACCCUCCCCAAUCAGCAUCACUGAAACCAAAAAUUUGUAAAUCUGCAGAUUGGGGAAAGAAAAGGCCACAACCAGGAGAUCUUUUAAGGUAUCUAAGCACUCUAAGAGCAGCUUUAUGAUGUGUUUCAGUGGGGCAUGAUGUAACACCCCGUUUCCCAAAAUCAAUUUAAUUAUAAUUAUAAAAUCAGAGUUCCACAUUAAACGGCAUGUCACACUACAAAAUAUAAAUUCUUAAAUAGAUUAAAACUAUUUAACAACAUCCUUCAUUAAACUGCAGCGGAAAAUUCUUUAAAUUAAACUCCAUUAUCCAAAAUAAUCUUGGCAUUAAGCCACAACAUAAAAUAUUUCAUCGUUCAUAGGGCUACAACAACAUUAACCAAAAUUUGAUACAUAGAAUGAAUUUAAACAAUGAAAUCCCAUCCCACGUAUCAGAGCCCUAGACACUUGAGCCACCACCAACUACUCAGGAUCACCUGCAAGUUACCCAUAGGAAGGGCAACAUUUUCAAGCAGAAGGGGUGAGAUUCACAACAAAAUAUAGAUAAAGAAUACAUCAAUUGAAUCUAACACCCUAUCAUAAUUCAUCCACAUAUUAUUAAUUUCAUAACAUCAUUUUUGCAUAUUAUUAAUAAUAUUAAUUCAUACACCUCUCAACAAUAUAUGCAACUUAUCACCACUCCACUAAGACUCCUCUAAACUCCCAUGCAUGUGGUACCAUAAAUCAGGGCCGUGACCCACACCGCUGUCGAAUGGUUAAAGCAUUCUCAACAGGACAUAAGUCCUCACCACUACACCACUUUGAGUAACUAGUACUCCACCACUUUGAACGACUAAGCAUUCCAGAGCCGAAGCUCUCCCACUGUUAUGUUAAUGCAACUAAUCCCCAUAGAGUAUAUCUACAUACCAACCAACCUAGACAUAUACAUAUAUAUGAUUCACCAACCAACUUACACCUUUAAGGGAAUUUAAUUAUAUACAACAUACACCAGUCAGCAUCCAUUCAUCAAAACCAACUAAGCAUCUAGGGAAAUAUAUAUCAGCAUACAAGCCAUGCAAUAAUUCAACAAAAUACACAAUCCAAACAACAACAGAAAUUAACCAACCAAAUACUGGGCAGCUCGCCUCGCGAGCUCAUCUACUCGCUAUGGCGAGCUCAGAAAAACGGGUACUCGCCAUGGCGAGUUGGAGGCGAACUCGAGGCGAACAGAAAUAUGGUGCUCUCGGGAAAAAUGACAUUUUUCUCACUCAAACCUCAAUUCUAAGCUCCCUAAUCAUCUUUUACACUUAAAACUUGCUCUAGUCCUCUUAAAAAUCAUCUAGGUACACGAAACUACCCAAAAUACGGCUUAUAACAAUUUUUUCAAAAUCCAGAUUUUCACAAGGCUACUCGCCAUGGCGAGCUGUAUCACUCGCGAGGCGAGCCAUGAAGUUGUUCACUCGCUAUGGCGAGCAAUGGCUACUCGCGAGGCGAGCGAUGAACUCCUGUACGGGCAGAAUGCAGGUUUUUCCCAAAAAUCCCAUUUUUCCUCAAAUCACUCCCCAAAUUAGUUUACAGAUAUGCAAUGAAAGGUUUUAUGCACCCAGAACCCAUUUCUACCCUCAAUUCUAUGAUUCCUACACCCAAAACUCCUUUAUCAACAAAACCUAAUUUCUCCCAAAUCCUCACAUAAACCUGUUAGAACACAAUCAACAUUCAGAAUCUAUAUAAUUGCGGUAAACCUCACCCUUACCUUAGAUUUGCAGAAAAAAUACAGCAGCAAAUGAUUCCUAAGCUUCUCUCCCUUGCACUAGCUUUUCUCCCAAAACUUGUAUGUUUUCACGUAAAACGUUUUCUCUGUUUUUUUCUCUGAUCAUCUUGACUUUUUAUGUAGUCUCCUGAACCAAAUCCGGUCCCAGCACAACACUUUCUCCUGACUCAAACCAACACAACGGAGUCCUGCACCUUCGACCAUACAAAGCUUCGAAGGGUGCCAUUCCUAUACUCGAAUGAUAACUGUUGUUGUAGGUGAACUCUAUCAAUGGUAGGUGACUAUCCCAAGCUCCACCCUGUUCAAGCACACACACUCUCAACAAGUCCUCCAAUGAUUGGAUCGUCCUCUCCGACUGACCAUCUGUUUGAGGAUGAUAAGCCGAACUCAGCCUCAACUUCGAACCCAAAGCGUCCUGUAAACUCUUCCAGAACCUAGAAGUGAACCUCGGAUCCCUAUCCGACACAAUACUCGAAGGAACUCCAUGUAGCUUUACCACACUAUGUAUAUAAAUCUCAGCCAACUGAGCUACUGGAUAACUGAUGUUGAUAGGAAUAAAAUGUGCCGACUUCGUCAACCUAUCAACCACCACCCAAAUCGAAUCAUGUCCCCUCGGAGUGUUUGGUAAACUCGUCACAAAAUCCAUAGAAAUGCUAUCCCAUUUCCACUCCGGUACAUCCAAUGGUGUCAACAAUCCUGCAGGUUUCUGGUGUUCAACCUUAGACUUCUGACAAGUUAAACAUGCAUACACAAAAUGAGCAACAUCUCGCUUCAACCCAGACCACCAAAACAGCUUUUUCAAAUCAUGAUACAUCUUCGUAGCUCCCGGAUGAAUGCUUAAGCUACUCUUAUGACUUUCCUCUAGGAUUAACUUUUUCAUUUCUUCAUUAUCAGGAAUACAAAUUCUACCUCUGAAUCUCAACACACCCUGUUCAUCAACCUUGAAGUCACUAUCUUCAACGCCAUUACCAGCAACCAUCAGAUCAACCAACUUGACAUCCACUUGCUGUGCUUCUCGGAUACUACUCAGAAAAUCACUGUUAAUCUUUAGCAUCCCCAACUGUACACUUUGAGGCGACAACUCACAAACCAAACUCAUGUCUCUAAACUGUUCCAAUAAAUCAAAUUCUUUCAUCAUCAUAGCAGACAUAUGGAGUGUCUUCCUACUCAAUGCAUCCGCGACUACAUUAGCUUUGCCUAUUAAAUUGAUUUUGGGAAACGGGGUGUUACACAUGACAUAAAUUGGCUUAAUUGUUGAGUGGCAAAUGCAAUGUCUGGUCUAGUAGUUGUCAGAUACAAUAAUCUGCCAACUAACCUCCGAUAAGCAGUAAUGUCAGUGUAGGGAGGUCCUCCAUCUUGAUAUAGGCGCAAAGAAGGAUCAAGUGGAGUACUAGCAGGUUUACAUGAGAUGAGGCCAGCAUCUCCUAAAAGCUCAAGACAAUAUUUCCUGUGGCACAAAGAAAUACCUUUAGAAGUGCGCGCAACUUCCAAACCAAGAAAAAAUUUGAGGGGUCCCAAAUUCUUAAUACAAAAAGCAUUAUGGAGAGCAGCUUUAAGAUCAUCAAAAAAAUCCAAAGAGGUACCAGCUAAAAUAAUGUCAUCCACAUAAACAAGGAUAACAGUGAAGGGCGUGGAAGUGGAUUUGAUGAAUAGGGUAUGAUCUGAAGCUGCUUGUGUAAAUCCCUGUGUGAAGAGAAACUUAGUUAGCUUUUCAAACCAUUGCCUACUAGCCUGUUUCAGUCCAUACAAUGAUUUCUUGAGUUUACAAACUUGCCCUGACUUUGGAGAAAUCACACCUUGAGGUAUUCUCAUGUAAACAGACUCAUUGAGGUCUUCAUGUAGAAAGGCAUUGUUAACAUCUAACUGAUGUAGAUGCCAACCAUGAAUAGAUGCCAAUGCUAAUAGAACUCUAACAGUGGACAACUUAGCAACUGGGGAAAAAGUUUCAAAAUAAUCCAAGCCUUCAGUUUGAGUGAAACCUUGUGCCACAAGUCUUGCUUUAAAUCUUUCAAUAGUUCCAUCAGCAUGCCUCUUAAUUUUAUAAACCCAUUUGCUUCCAAUAGUGACAACAUUGGGAGGUAAAUCAACAAACUCCCAAGUAUUGUUUUCAUUAAGAGCUCUUAUCUCAUUAUCCAUAGCUGCUACCCAUCUAGAAUAUUUGCUAGCAGCUUGAAAAUUAGCAGGUUCCACUUCUGAUGUGAGGGAUAGUGCAUAAGCUUGAUGUUGAGGAGAUAAUUGUGAAUAUGCUACAUAAUUGGCUAUAGGAUAUGUUUUAGAGGAACAUAUGUAAUCUUGUAAAUGUGAAGGAGGAUUACUAACUCUGUGGGAUCUUCUAACAGGCUCAGCAUGAGCUAUUGCAUCAUUGGGACCAGGCACUGCAUCAAGUUGCUCAGCUUCUGAUGCAGUGUCAGCUUCGGGGGUGGAUACAAAAUCAUCAGACACUUCAUGUGCAUUAGUUUGCAUAGAGAAAGAAGGAACUGUAGUCUCUAAGUAAAUGUGUGUAUUAGGAAUAGCAUGCACAGUAGAAGAGUGAAAAGGGAACUCCAGAUCAAAGAACUUCACAUUCCUAGAAAUCAAUAUCUCAGUGGAAUGUACAUCAACUAAAAUGAAACCUUUCAUUUCUGUCUUGUACCCUAAAAAGGCACAUUUUCUUGCUCUAGGGUCAAAUUUGUGUCUGUUAGUAGGUAAAGUAGAAGCAUAACUCAGACAACCAAAGACUUUCAAUUGAGUGAGAUCAGGUGCAUGUCCAUACAAAACUUCAUAUGAGGAUUUAUUGUGUAAAACUUUAGUGGGAAUUCUAUUUAGUAAAAAAACUGCAUGUAAAACAGCAUAUGACCAGAAUUUCUUUGGUAACUUAGAUUGAAACAUCAGAGCCCUGCUAAUGUUCAAAAUAUGUUGGUGUCUCCUCUCAACCCUACCAUUCUGUUCUGGUGUAUAAACACAACUCUUUUGAUGUAAAAUUCCUUUGGCAUCAUAAAAAUCUUUCAAAAAAAAACUCAGGACCAUUGUCACUUCUAAUGGUCUUCACUUUCUUUUCAAAUUGAUUUUCCACCAUAUGAACAAAACUCUUCGCUUUAUCAGAAGCUUCAGAUUUAAAUUUUAACAUAACUACCCAAACAUUUCUUUGGCAUUAUUUUUACUGACAGGAAAAGGUAAUUUCUUCUGUCUAGCCAUUUGACAAACAUCACAGGCUGUAUGUAAACUAACAGGAAUGUAGCUAUACAUUUUAUUCAUGCAUUGCAUUCUAUCAUGAGAUAGAUGCCCUAACCUAAGAUGCCAUAAAAUUCCAGGAGGAAUGACAUUCUUAGGUAAGCUAUCAGAAGCAGAAAUACUUGAAAUUUUGGCUGCUUUAUUCUUGGUCUUUUCAGCCUUCGAGUAAUAAAGUCCAUUCAUCUCUUUAGCCAAACCAAUCCUCCUCAAAUCCUUCUUUUCCUGUAUAAUGCACUGAUCAGACUCAAAACCCAUAAUACAAUCUUGUUCCUUACAUAACUUGGAAACAGAUAUAAGAUUCACAGCAAAAUCAAGCAAAUACAGCACAUCAUCAAUUUGCAAGUGCUCAUUAAUGUUAUACCCUGAUUUUGGACCUAAAAAUACUCGUUCAAAUUUCUUUUCUAACACUGAUACUUGUCAGUUCGCUGUUAUUUUACUCUGAAUCUUUACUCUCUUUUUAAAAUAUAUUUUACUGCCUCUGUCUGUCUUUUCUUGCAUUACAAGUCAUUUAAGAACUCUCUGAAACGUCGCGUUACUUUUCUUGCAUUUUAUUUCAAAAAUCAUACAAAAGGGUAUUUUGGUCAUUUCCUGCAGUGGAACCCAUUUUAGUCCCUGUGUUUGCCUCUGAGUCUUUUCAACCUGUCUGUACGAAUCAUUGUUGAGUCUUCGUUUAAAAAUCAUUUCAAAAAUUGCAUCUGAGUCAGUUUGAGUCAGUUUAGUCCCUAGGGGCAUUUUGGUCUUUUCCUGUCAAAAUUUCGGCAGGGAGGUAUUUUAAAAUACCUCAUGUCAGUAGUUGGUUCGUUUUAGUCCUUUUGUUAAUUUUAUUUUUGGUUUCGCUUUACGUUUCGUCAAAUUUACUUUUUAGUCCAAUUUUUUUUUUAAUCACGUUUUGGUCCAAAACUUCUUAAAAUUACUUUUUAGUCCUUUUCCUUAUUAUUGCAGUUUAGUCCUCAAUUUCACUGUUUUGCAGAAAGGUCCUUAAAUCACAAAUUUCCCAAGGCCGAGCCAACCAAGUUCACAAACAGGUGGCAUUGCCCCAUUGGUCCAGGAAUACACAUGGCAGGCUAUAAAUAACACACAGUGUCAGAAAUUCCAGGGGGAUCCAAAAGAAAAUCAGAAUCAAUCACAAUCAGUCUCAAACAGAAUCUUUUUCUCUCUCUCAUCCAUAACAGAAUCAAAAACAGAAAAAUCUCAGAAAAAAAGAGGAAGAACACCAAGAACACAUCAUCACCAAAAUCAACAGAUCUAAACCGGAUCUGCUCAGAAUCAACUCCAAUCACCACAAAAUCAACAAAUCCGAACCGGAUUCACUCAAAACCACCGCGAAUCAUCACAUCAACACCAAAACGUACCGGAUUUUUGAGCAAAAAACAACCACAAACGGAGUUGAAACGCGCGCGCACGGAGGGGGAAAAAGGGAGAUUCGAAGUUAUCCGAAGAUUUUUCUCCGUUCUACGAUAGAGGUAACGCAUUUCUCUCCUCUUUUUCUUCAUUUUCGCGCGCGCAUAUAGUGUAGAAAAAGUGUGAAAAAGUUUGUUACGGAUAUGUAUUUGUAGAUCUAGGCUUGUACGUUCGGAUUUUAGAAAUUCAGAGACCGGAUUCGGACUCUAUAGAGAAAAGGAUAUCUAGAUCCGUAGUUUUUUUUUUUUUUUUUUUGCGAAAAGUGUGAAAAAAAUUUCAAAGUAAAAAUGUAGAUCUAGUCCGAAUCGCUCCGUUCUCGCUAAAACUAACGCGGGAUUUGUGUAGAGGAGGUGGUGACGGAACUUUUGAUGUAAAAAUUUCGAAAAAAAAAAAGAAAAACGCUCCGACGCGGCGGCGCUACGGCCGGCCACCGCGCCGGAGCAACUCCCACCACCACCACUUAGCUCUCGCCGGCGGCGAGUUUCUAGAGAGAAGGGAGAGCAUUUUUGUGAUUUUGAGUUUUAGAGAGAGAAGGAGAAGGGGUUUAUGUGUUUUUUGUGUGAAAAUUCCUUUAUAUACUCCCUCCGUUCCCACGCGCGCGCGUGCAUGUUUCUGUGGUGUUCCCUCGCUCUGUGAACCAUCGGAUCUGGAUUGUUCCAAGAUCUGAUGGCUGCUGUGUGUUUUGAUCUUGAAUCAUGUGUGUGAUCUUCUGUGUGAAAUAUGUUAUAUCUUCUGUUUGAACCGUUAGAUCUUUGAUCUAACGGUCAUUGUGCUUCCUGCAAUUUUACACUAUCUUUUUUGUGUUUUUUAAACCCUUGGAUCUUUGAUCCAGUGGCUGUGAUGAGAUCUUGGGAGUUAGAUCUGGACCUCUGGAUUCAUCCAACGGUCCAGAUUAUAACCUGCUGAGUUUUUUUUUAAUUGCUUUUUUUGUUGUGUUUUUAAAUACUUUUUUACACUUUCUUGGCAUUUUAUGCUCCUAAAAAUUUUCUAAAAAUGUUUCCCUAUCAUUUUAAUUUUUUCUCUAAAUGUUAGAAUUUACUUGCUUAUAUUUUUCUAUUUUCUUCAUUUGUUCUUUUUAAUUCUUGCUCAUUAAAUUCCUAUAUGUUCUUGGUGCAUUUUUUGACAUUUUGUGAUAUUUUUUUAUUUUUUUUUUUACAUGUUAAAUAAUGUGUAGAAAAUAUCCCUAGGAAUAUGGUAUGAUGCUUUGCUUGUGUGUUUUUAUGAUCCUCACAUUGUAGCUUAAAAUCAAAUCUCUUUUAAAAAUGGUUAUGAUGAGGGAAUUAUAAGCCAUAUGCAUGUCUAAGUGUCAUAACCAAUUUUAGGUAUAUUUUGCCAUUUUAUUUCAUUUCAUUACUUUUUUUUUUCUCUUGCUAUUCUAUUCAAUUUUGUUUACCUUUCUACUAUUUUUAUGCCUUAUGAUACUAACCAUUUCAUCUCACAUUUCAUUCAUCCCAUAGUUUUGGCAUCAUUUUUUUAUUCAUUUCUAUAUCAAUUGGGUUUGUAAUAAUUUUAGAUAGAUUAGUUCUUUUUUAAAUUCCUUGCAAGACCAUAGCAUGUAUUUAGGACUCAAUGUAAAGGACUAUGGACACUAUAAGGGAUGUACACCGACACAAGCACUGACACGCACACACGCUGCAUGCUUACCGUUUAGAUGUAUGCUUAGGAAAUGCGAUUUUUAGACAAAUGUCAAUUUUCAAAAAAAUAAUAAACCAAUUCCAUCACUCAAAUUUUUCCAAACAAAUCUUGGAGUCAAAACUCCAUUGAAUUUCUUCUUUUAUUUUCUUAAACAAAUCCAAAUGAAUCCUAAUUUCUACUUAGACUUUUUUAAUAACAAUUGAACCAACCAUUCACCAUUUUUCUCUCUUAUGCCUUUAAGGCCUCUUUCUCUUCUUCAAAACCAUUUUCCAACAAAAACUAAAAUCAACCAAACACACAAAAAAACAUUUUUCGAGAGAGAACUACAUGGAGUUUGAUCCCUUAAAUGGGUAUGUAGGCAUGAGGUCAAAACCUCUCCAAGUCCACUAAAAUAAAACCUCAAACACUUUCUCCCCCCCAUUCUUAACAUAGGUAAAUUUCCUUUUUCAUAAGUAGCAUUAAAAAUAAAGCGUAGACAUAAACUAAGAAAACGGCUCCUAUAGAGUACUAUAGUCACCGCGGGUGCCUAACACCUUCCCGUAGUGAAAACGACCCCCGAACUUAGAAUCUAAGGGUUUUUUCUCAAUUUUGCCCUUCCCAAGAAAAAAUAGAGAAUAUCAAAGAUUGAAAGGUUCAAGCCUAAUUAAUGACUUGACACCCGAAAAUCGCGAUAACAGAAAUGGCGACUUCACUGGGGACACUUUUUAGCGGGUCACGCCUAGUUUUCCUUAGUUUAUAUUUACACUUUGUUUUAUUGCUUACAUAUGUGAAUACUUGUUUAUCUUUAUUUGACGUGUGGGGUGAGAAUAUCAAAAGUCCUAUACCCGGGCUGAGUGAACUUAUGAAUAGGUAGAGAUAUAAUCGACAAUUCGAUCCGAGGGUUGCCUCGUGUAUUGGGUUAUGCGAUCAAUCUCACAUAGCUGAGGCAUUUUGGAAGUAAUAUUGUCGGCGUGUGUUGUCAUGCUUAGGCACUUUGCUUUCAAUUGUUCGACGAUGCUAUGGACCGUAGUUACCAAACCCAUCCCUGGCCUUUUUAGGACGUAGUGCGGUGGCUAAACCGAGUGUUGUCUCGAGUUUUAGUCGUCACGCGAUACUACACUCAAACUAGACCUUCUUGCGAAUAAACAUGGAACGGACGUUGUCCCGUGCUACCAUGAUAUACGUAAGAGAGGUUGCAGUUUGGGAACUUGAUUAGAACCUUGGUUACUAUUAUCCUAAACUUUAGUUUACCGGGCACCGUGUCCGCCCGUGGCUCCUCGACUUUAAUCUCAACCCUCCAUGUUUUCUCUGUAAUUGAAAAAAAAAAAAAAAAACAAUCAUGCAUACAUGCAUUCAUGCAUAAAUUUUUCUCAUGCAUUCAUCGAAGGAUUGGACAAAUUAAAAACUUUGUAAACAUUACAGGUAUGAAGAAGACUAAAUCCUACAAGUUCAAGGAGGUUGAUUUGGUUGGUUUGAGAGAAUUGGCACUCAAGGUUAAGAAUCAAACAGGUUUCCGACUCCGGUAUGUUGGUUUGCUUACUAUUCUCCGGACUAAUGUUGAAGAGAAGCUCGUGCACACUCUAGUGCAAUUCUAUGACCCGAGAUUCCGCUGCUUCACUUUCCCGGAUUUCCAGUUGGUCCCUACUCUUGAGGCUUAUUCCCACUUAUUGGAUUCACCUAUAGCCGAGAAGACGCCUUUCACCGGUCCCGGGACUUCUCUUACUCCUUUGGUUAUUGCUAAGGAUCUCUAUCUCAAGACUUCCGAUGUCUCCAAGCAUCUUACUACUAAGUCUCACAUCCGAGGGUUCACUUCAAAGUAUCUACUUGAGCAAGCUAAUCUCAAAACUACUUGUCAGGACGCACUCGAGGCUAUUCUUGCAUUGCUUGUCUAUGGGCUCAUUCUCUUCCCGAAUCUCGACAACUUUGUGGACAUGAAUGCUAUUGAGAUCUUCCAUUCCAGGAAUCCGGUUCCUACUUUGCUAGCUGACGUAUAAUGUUUACAAAAUUUCUAAUUUGUCUAAAACCCUUCGAUGACAAAAAGAGUCGUUUCUGCAUUUGCAUUUGUACAUAUCAUGCACCAUAUGCAUCAUUCAUCGGUCACAAAAGGUUUCCAAGUGCUCACUGCCUCCUGGUUCUUCUGCCAUAGUUUGAAAGGUGGCUCGUGCUUGGAAAGUCUACGAACCUGACAGAAUAUAUCAGACUAGACUAUACAGAAAGGAGAAUUUGGUAGCUAUGGAAGAGGAAAAUGCUCAGCUCCGUACCGAAUUAGCUUCUCUGAGGGAAGAAUUGGCUAAGGCCAAUAAUACCAUGACUGCUCUGCUAGCCGCCCAGGAACAAUCAGCCACGGCUAUCCCUAUAGCUACAAGUGUGAUCCCAACUGCAUCUACUGAUGCCCGCUUCGUUAUGCCAGCUCCACAGACUGAGAAGCAAGUCAGAGGUUUCCUCGGGCGUUUGAAUUACAUCUCCCGAUUCAUAUCUCACAUGACCGCAACCUGCGGGCCGAUCUUCAAGCUACUCAGAAAGAAUCAGCCUAUUGUAUGGAAUGAUGAAUGCCAAGAAGCUUUUGAUAGCAUCAAGAAUUACCUGCUGAAACCACCUAUCCUUGUUCCACCCGUGGAAGGAAGGCCCUUGAUUAUGUAUUUGGCAGUAUUUGAUGAAUCCAUGGGAUGCGUACUUGGUCAACAAGAUGAGACUGGAAAGAAAGAACAUGUUAUCUACUAUCUAAGCAAGAAGUUCACCGAUUGUGAAACUCGGUAUACAAUGCUUGAGAAGACUUGUUGUGCUUUGGCCUGGGCCGCUAAACGCCUGCGUCAUUAUUUGGUGAAUCAUACAACUUGGUUGAUAUCCAGAAUGGAUCCGAUAAAGUAUAUCUUUGAGAAAGCUGCUGUUACUGGGAAGAUUGCACGCUGGCAGAUGCUUUUGUCUGAAUAUGAUAUUGUGUUCAAAACUCAAAAGACAGUCAAAGGUAGCAUUCUUGCCGAUCAUCUUGCUUACCAACCUCUUGAUGAUUAUCAACCAAUUGAGUUCGAUUUCCCCGAUGAAGAGAUCAUGUAUUUGAAAUCAAAAGACUGCGAAGAACCGUUGAUUGAUGAAGGUCCAGAUCCCAAUAGCAAGUGGGGUUUAGUCUUUGAUGGUGCUGUCAAUGCUUAUGGUAAAGGAAUUGGGGCAGUCAUUGUAUCCCCACAGGGGCAUCACAUCCCUUUUACCGCCAGAAUUCUGUUCGAAUGUACAAACAAUAUGGCUGAGUAUGAAGCAUGUAUCUUUGGGAUCGAGGAAGCAAUUGACAUGAGAAUCAAACACCUCGACAUCUAUGGAGAUUCUGCGCUCGUCAUCAAUCAGAUAAAGGGUGAAUGGGAAACCCACCAUGCUAAGUUGAUUCCUUAUCGUGAUUAUGCGAGACGUUUGCUGACAUAUUUUACAAAGGUUGAGCUGCACCAUAUUCCUCGUGAUGAGAACCAAAUGGCUGAUGCUCUUGCUACUCUAUCCUCCAUGUUUCGAGUAAACCAUUGGAAUGAUGUGCCAAUAAUCAAAGUGUAACGCCUUGAAAGACCUUCACAUGUGUUUGCUAUUGGGGAUGUGAUCGAUCGGGCUGGUGAAAAUGUGGUUGACUAUAAACCCUGGUACUACGACAUCAAACAGUUCUUGCUAAGCCGUGAGUAUCCGUCGGGUGCUUCCAACCAAGAUAAGAAGACCCUGAGAAGAUUGACCAGUAGAUUCCUGUUAGACGGAGAUAUUCUGUACAAGAGAAACUAUGACAUGGUAUUGUUAAGAUGUGUUGAUGAACAUGAAGCAGAGCAGUUAAUGCAUGAUGUACAUGACGGUACCUUCGGGACCCAUGCUACAGGGCAUACUAUGUCAAGGAAGUUGUUACGGGCAGGUUACUACUGGAUGACCAUGGAGCAUGAUUGCUACCAGCACGCCAGAAAGUGCCAAAAAUGUCAAAUCUAUGCUGAUAAGAUUCAUGUGCCUCCGCACGCUCUCAAUGUUAUUUCAUCCCCAUGGCCGUUUUCAAUGUGGGGCAUCGACAUGAUUGGGAGAAUUGAACCGAAGGCUUCAAAUGGUCAUCGUUUCAUCUUAGUGGCAAUUGACUACUUCACCAAGUGGGUUGAAGCAGCAUCUUAUACCAAUGUGACCAAGCAAGUGGUAGCUAAGUUCAUCAAGAACAACAUCAUCUGUCGAUAUGGUGUUCCCAGCAAGAUUAUUACCGACAAUGGUACCAACCUGAACAACAAUGUGGUGCAAGCUCUUUGUGAAGAAUUCAAAAUUGAACAUCAUAACUCUUCUCCUUAUAGACCUCAGAUGAAUGGUGCAGUUGAGGCCGCCAACAAGAAUAUCAAGAGAAUUGUCCAGAAGAUGGUAACCACUUACAAGGACUGGCAUGAGAUGUUACCCUAUGCUCUGCAUGGCUACCGUACUACAGUGCGCAGUUCAACCGGGGCAACCCCUUUCUCUCUUGUAUAUGGUAUGGAAGCAGUUCUUCCUUUGGAAGUGGAGAUCCCAUCUCUCCGUGUGAUCAUGGAAGCAAAGUUAUCUGAGACUGAAUGGUGCCAAAGCCGGUAUGAUCAGUUGAAUUUGAUUGAGGAAAAACGUAUGGAUGCCAUGGCUCGUGGACAGUCAUAUCAAGCAAGAAUGAAGACUGCUUUUGACAAGAAGGUCCAUCCUCGAGAAUUCAAGGUAGGAGAACUUGUAUUGAAAAGGAGGAUAAGCCAGCAACCUGACCCAAGGGGCAAGUGGACGCCUAACUAUGAAGGUCCUUAUGUUGUCAAGAAGGCCUUCUCUGGUGGUGCUUUAAUCCUUACACACAUGGAUGGUGUAGAACUUCCAAAUCCUGUGAAUGCUGAUAUAGUCAAGAAAUACUUUGCCUAGAAAUAUGAAAAGAACAGCGUGGUAGGUUGAAAACCCGAAAGGGCGGCCUAGGCAAAAAUGCGCUUCCCGGUGGAUCGAAAACCCGAAAGGGCGGUCCAGGCAAAAAUAAGGGACAAAAAAUAUAUGAAAAAGCUCGCUGAGAUUGUACACAACUCAGGCAAGAAUGAGCGUCUCGAUGAGCCGAAAACCCGGAAGGGCGGUUCAUGCAAAAAAUGAGAUUGAAACAAGAGGCAAGUAACUAUAUCUGGCCAACCACCAUCCCCCUUGGGGCAUCUGCAGCUGUUAAUGACUAUCUUCAUCAAAAGCUCCUACGCUUGCGAAUUCAAAGUUUCUAGGAAAUGUAAUGAUUGCUGCGUUCAAUGUACCACCAACCAAUAAAAAUUACCAUUUUCCAAGCUUCGUAAAUCCGUGGAGUCACGCCUUCGGCUGACCACCACUCUUAUACAUCAAUUUGAGCCUGUGCUUUUGUUUGAAACUCUGCUUUCUUUUACUUUCUAAGUUAUGUACAAAAACAUUUUCCUUCUAUUUUUAAUAAUGACAAAUGCUCGAAACAAACAUCUUGAAAAUUGAAAAAGUUUUUUGAAAAGCAAACCUGAGCAACAGGGUACAUUCAAACGAACAUGCAUGAGCGAGUGUAUGUUGGUGCCUAUUUCAAUAUAUGUUACAAGCAGAUUCUCCUCCAGGAUAGUCUGUGGUCAAUGGCAAGAAUGAAAAAAUAGAAUGAAAAUGCAUGAAAAUGAAUAGGCUCGCUAAGUUGAAAACCCGGAAGGGCGGCUUAGGCAAGAAUGAGCACCCCGCUGGAUUGACAACCCGAAAGGGCAGUUCAGGCAAAAAUGGGGCAUUGAAAAGAAUUUAUUUCCCCGGUGGAUCGAAAACCCGAAAGGGCGAUCCAGGCAAAAAUGGGAUGCAAAAAAAAAUAAAAAAUGAAUGAAAUUGAGACAAUAACAUGCAAAAAGCAUUGACCACAGAUGCGACAUCCACGAUACAUCCGGCACUGAAAUGCCCAGCAAUGACGGCAUUAUUCCCAGUAGAGUCUCCCGAGAUUCUAUCCCCAGCAAGUUGCAUAGCUACCUGCCCUCAGCCAUGGUCCCGAUACGUCUCCCAACGACGUCAUCUCCAAAGAGGAUUUCCAAGAAUGUGUAAUAUAGCACGAGCCACUGCGUGCCCAACACUCCAGUGUCUUGUCUGUCUCUGCGGAACUGUGUCUACAAAUCGCCAACAGUCAUGCAUUACAAGCAUUCAUACAUGCAUAAUCAUGCAUAUUACGUGCCCAUGCAUUUAAUGAAACUGUUAUAUCAUUCAUGCAUGUUGCAUUUCCAAUAUCAACAUCAGUCUCAAUUCAAUACUCAUGUCAGGUUCUCUGUCAAAACCUUGUGAGCCAAUAAUAUCGGUCAAUUUCCACCUUUCAAAUCAAAUCGACGUCAAGUCAAUCUCAAUCUAUAUUUUGUCAAAAAAAAAAAAAACAAUCCCUAGUGAAUAUGUUUCCGUUUGGUCAAGUGGCUAGUUCAAGUCCAAGAACAGCUUGUACCUAUCAAUUUGCUUAUGUUAUCGGUCGAGUUACCAGUUCGAAUCCAAGAACAGCUCGUACCUGUCUAUGUGUCCAUGAUUUUGGUCAAGUGCCCAGCUCAAUCCAAGAGCAGCUUGUACCUAUCAAUAUGUUUCUGUUUGGUCAAGUGGCUAGUUCAAGUCCAAGAACAGCUUGUACCUAUCAAUUUGCUUAUGUUAUCGGUCGAGUUACCAGUUCGAAUCCAAGAACAGCUCGUACCUGUCUAUGUGUCUAUGAUUUUGGUCGAGUGCCCAGCUCAAUCCAAGAGCAGCUUAUACCUAUCAAUAUGUUUCUGUUUGGUCAAGUAACCAGUUCGCAUCCAAGAGCGACUUGCACCCGUUUACUUUUCAAUGUUAUCAGUCGAGUUACCAGUUCAAAUCCAAGAACAGCUCGUACCUGUCUAUGUGUCUAUGAUUUUGGUCAAGUGGCUAGUUCAAGUCCAAGAACAGCUUGUACCUGUCUAUCUGUUUCUGUUCGGUCAAGUGGCUAGCUCCAUCCAAGAGCAGCUUGCACCUGUCUAUUUGUCUUUGUCUCCGGUGGAGUAACCAGUUCGCAUCCAAGAACAAGCUCGCACCUGUCUAUUUGCCUUGCUUUCAGUCGAGUGACUAGUUCGAAUCAAGAACAACUCGUACCUGUCCAUCUUUUCCAUGUCCUCGGUCGAGUGACCAGUUCGAAUCCAAGAAAAACUCGCACCUGUUUGUCUGCUUUUAUUCCCGGUCAAGUGCCCAGCUCAAUCCAAGAGCAGCUUGUACCCGUCAAUUUGUUCCUAGUCUCCUAUCUACCCUGUUAUCUGUUAUCUUGUCAAUGUCUACCAAUCCCGCAAUGGAUACGACAUCUUUUGUUAAUUCCAGCCUUCGUUUGUCUCGCACUCAUAAUCCAAAUGUUGCAUGGCAUUCAUGAUAUUUGAGAAUGUACAAGCGUAUUUUUACGUCCAAACACAGUGCAAAUGUUAAUAUUUAAGUAUCUUCGUCCCGUCAAGUCAAAGACUCCGUCUCUUGACCCUCUAGACAAAGAAACUUAAAUAGGGGCAGCUGUUAUACCCUGAUUUUGGACCUAAAAAUACUCGUUCAAAUUUCUUUUCUAACACUGAUACUUGUCAGUUCGCUGUUAUUUUACUCUGAAUCUUUACUCUCUUUUUAAAAUAUAUUUUACUGCCUCUGUCUGUCUUUUCUUGCAUUACAAGUCAUUUAAGAACUCUCUGAAACGUCGCGUUACUUUUCUUGCAUUUUAUUUCAAAAAUCAUACAAAAGGGUAUUUUGGUCAUUUCCUGCAGUGGAACCCAUUUUAGUCCCUGUGUUUGCCUCUGAGUCUUUUCAACCUGUCUGUACGAAUCAUUGUUGAGUCUUCGUUUAAAAAUCAUUUCAAAAAUUGCAUCUGAGUCAGUUUGAGUCAGUUUAGUCCCUAGGGGCAUUUUGGUCUUUUCCUGUCAAAAUUUCGGCAGGGAGGUAUUUUAAAAUACCUCAUGUCAGUAGUUGGUUCGUUUUAGUCCUUUUGUUAAUUUUAUUUUUGGUUUCGCUUUACGUUUCGUCAAAUUUACUUUUUAGUCCAAUUUUAUUUUUAAUCACGUUUUGGUCCAAAACUUCUUAAAAUUACUUUUUAGUCCUUUUCCUUAUUAUUGCAGUUUAGUCCUCAAUUUCACUGUUUUGCAGAAAGGUCCUGAAAUCACAAAUUGCCCAAGGCCGAGCCAACCAAGUUCACAAACAGGUGGCAUUGCCCCAUUGGUCCAGGAAUACACAUGGCAGGCUAUAAAUAACAUACAGUGUCAGAAAUUCCAGGGGGAUCCAAAAGAAAAUCAGAAUCAAUCACAAUCAGUCUCAAACAGAAUCUUUUUCUCUCUCUCAUCCAUAACAGAAUCAAAAACAGAAAAAUCUCAGAAAAAAAGAGGAAGAACACCAAGAACACAUCAUCACCAAAAUCAACAGAUCUAAACCGGAUCUGCUCAGAAUCAACUCCAAUCACCACAAAAUCAACAAAUCCGAACCGGAUUCACUCAAAACCACCGCGAAUCAUCACAUCAACACCAAAACGUACCAGAUUUUUGAGCAAAAAACAACCACAAACGGAGUUGAAACGCGCGCGCACGGAGGGGGAAAAAGGGAGAUUCGAAGUUUUCCGAAGAUUUUUCUCCGUUCUACGAUAGAGGUAACGCAUUUCUCUCCUCUUUUUCUUCAUUUUCGCGCGCGCAUAUAGUGUAGAAAAAGUGUGAAAAAGUUUGUUACGGAUAUGUAUUUGUAGAUCUAGGCUUGUACGUUCGGAUUUUAGAAAUUCCGAGACCGGAUUCGGACUCUAUAGAGAAAAGGAUAUCUAGAUCCGUAGUUUUUUUUUUUUUUUUGCGAAAAGUGUGAAAAAAAUUUCAAAGUAAAAACGUAGAUCUAGUCCGAAUCGCUCCGUUCUCGCUAAAACUAACGCCGGAUUUGUGUAGAGGAGGUGGUGACGGAACUUUUGAUGUAAAAAUUUCGAAAAAAAAAAAAAGAAAAACGCUACGGCCGGCCACCGCGCCGGAGCAACUCCCACCACCACCACUUAGCUCUCGCCGGCGGCGAGUUUCUAGAGAGAAGGGAGAGCAUUUUUGUGAUUUUGAGUUUUAGAGAGAGAAGGAGAAGGGGUUUAUGUGUUUUUUGUGUGAAAAUUCCUUUAUAUACUCCCUCCGUUCCCACGCGCGCGCGUGCAUGUUUCUGUGGUGUUCCCUCGCUCUGUGAACCAUCAGAUCUGGAUUGUUCCAAGAUCUGAUGGCUGCUGUGUGUUUUGAUCUUGAAUCAUGUGUGUGAUCUUCUGUGUGAAAUAUGGUAUAUCUUCUGUUUGAACCGUUAGAUCUUUGAUCUAACGGUCAUUGUGCUUCCUGCAAUUUUACACUAUCUUUUUUGUGUUUUUUAAACCCUUGGAUCUUUGAUCCAGUGGCUGUGAUGAGAUCUUGGGAGUUAGAUCUGGACCUCUGGAUUCAUCCAACGGUCCAGAUUAUAACCUGCUGAGUUUUUUUUUAAUUGCUUUUUUUGUUGUGUUUUUAAAUACUUUUUUACACUUUCUUGGCAUUUUAUGCUCCUAAAAAUUUUCUAAAAAUGUUUCCCUAUCAUUUUAAUUUUUUCUCUAAAUGUUAGAAUUUACUUGCUUAUAUUUUUCUAUUUUCUUCAUUUGUUCUUUUUAAUUCUUGCUCAUUAAAUUCCUAUAUGUUCUUGGUGCAUUUUUUGACAUUUUGUGAUUUUUUUUUUUUUUUUACAUGUUAAAUAAUGUGUAGAAAAUAUCCCUAGGAAUAUGGUAUGAUGCUUUGCUUGUGUGUUUUUAUGAUCCUCACAUUGUAGCUUAAAAUCAAAUCUCUUUUAAAAAUGGUUAUGAUGAGGGAAUUAUAAGUCAUAUGCAUGUCUAAGUGUCAUAACCAAUUUUAGGUAUAUUUUGCCAUUUUAUUUCAUUUCAUUACUUUUUUUUUUCUCUUGCUAUUCUAUUCAAUUUUGUUUACCUUUCUACUAUUUUUAUGCCUUAUGAUACUAACCAUUUCAUCUCACAUUUCAUUCAUCCCAUACUUUUGGCAUCAUUUUUUUAUUCAUUUCUAUAUCAAUUGGGUUUGUAAUAAUUUUAGAUAGAUUAGUUCUUUUUUAAAUUCCUUUCAAGACCAUAGCAUGUAUUUAGGACUCAAUGUAAAGGACUAUGGACACUAUAAGGGAUGUACACCGACACAAGCACUGACACGCACACACGCUGCAUGCUUACCAUUUAGAUGUAUGCUUAGGAAACGCGAUUUUUAGACAAAUGUCAAUUUUCAAAAAAAUAAUAAACCAAUUCCAUCACUCAAAUUUUUCCAAACAAAUCUCGGAGUCAAAACUCCAUGGAAUUUCUUCUUUUAUUUUGUUAAACAAAUCCAAAUGAAUCCUAAUUUCUACUUAGACUUUUUUAAUAACAAUUGAACCAACCAUUCACCAUUUUUCUCUCUUAUGCCUUUAAGGCCUCUUUCUCUUCUUCAAAACCAUUUUCCAACAAAAACUAAAAUCAACCAAACACACAAAAUAACAUUUUUUGAGAGAGAACUACAUGGAGUUUGAUCCCUUAAAUGGGUAUGUAGGCAUGAGGUCAAAACCUCUCCAAGUCCACUAAAAUAAAACCUCAAACACUUUCUCCCCCCCAUUCUUAACAUAAGUAAAUUUCCUUUUUCAUAAGUAGCAUUAAAAAUAAAGCGUAGACAUAAACUAAGAAAACGGCUCCUAUAGAGUACUAUAGUCACCGCGGGUGCCUAACACCUUCCCGUAGUGAAAACGACCCCCGAACUUAGAAUCUAAGGGUUUUUUCUCAAUUUUGCCCUUCCCAAGAAAAAAUAGAGAAUAUCAAAGAUUGAAAGGUUCAAGCCUAAUUAAUGACUUGACACCCGAAAAUCGCGAUAACAAUUAAGUUGCACUUUCCCUUUACAAAAGGCUUGCACUAUAUUGUUAUUAGGUAGUUUAACACUAAUAGGAUCAAUUUCUUUGUAGGUAAUAAACCAAUUGAUGUCAUAACAAGUGUUGUGUGUAGCACCAGUAUCUACUAUCCAACUAGUAUCAUCAUAAUUCUUGGAGUGUUCAUAGAAAUUACCUCCUAUGUUAGCAACAGAACUGCUUGCCUUCAUCAUGUUGGCUUUUGCAUCAAUAGCAUUCUUUUCAAGUAAUGCCAUUAGAUUCUGAUACUGAUCUCUGGUUAACAUCAUUCCACCAUCAUCAUUCUUAGCAACAUUACUAGUACCUUUAGCAUCAUAUUUCUCAGACUCUACCAUGUUUGCAGAAGCAGAACUUGAGCCAUAAGAAUUUCCUCCUCCUCUACCCCAAUUAGGAGGAAAGCCAUGCUUCUUAUAACAAGUCUCCAUGGUGUGAUUUGACCUUCCACAGAAAUUACAAACUCUUCCAUUGCCUCUUCCUCUUCCUUGGAAACCAGCAUUUCCUCUUCCUCUUCCAAAUUGCCUCUGUGCAUCUACAGCAUUCACCAAUCUAGCACUGGUAUCCUCUACAACAGAAGCAGGUGCAACAAUUAUACCAUAUUGAGCCUUCCUUUCUUGCUGCAUAAUCAUAGAGAAAACUCUAUUGAUUUGAGGCAAUGGAUCCAUUAAUAAAACUUGAGAUGUAACACUUUGAUAUUCUUCAUUCAACCCAAUCAGAAAUUGAAUGAUUCUAUCCUCUAAUCUGAAACCUUUUGCAUUACGCAUAGCCAAACAACUGCAAGGAAUUGGACAGGUGCAGUGAGGCAUAGGCCUAUACUGAUCCAAUUCUUCCCAUAAGCCUCUUAAUUCAGUGAAGUAUUCAGUAACUUUCUUGCUUCCUUGCUUCAGAUUGGAAAUUUCUUGCUGCAAUUGAGCCACUCUAAUACGAUCUCCUCUCAUGAAACGAUCUUUGAGAUCAUUCCACAUAUCCAUAGCAUUCUCAAUGAAAACAACACUUUGCGCAAUUGAUGGCGAAAUCGAAUUAAUUAUCCAAGUAUGAACAAGAUUAUUGCACCUUUCCCAAGCAGCACGAUUGAGAUCGUGUUCAUCUGGAACUUCAAUAGAUCCAUCAACAAACUUGAAUUUGUUUUUCAUCGCCAAAGCUCUACGCAUCUUCAUUGACCAAGAAUGAUAAUUGUCACCAUUCAAUUGCGGUGUUACACUCACCGUGCUGGAAUUUUCUGAAGGAUGAACGAAAUACGGAUCCAAACUUUGAUCCUGAUUGUUGUUGUUGUUCCUCACCAUGAUUAAUCGAAACAAAUCAAAAACUGAAAGAAAAAUUCAAUUGGAACAGAAGAAACUGAUUCAAAGAUGAAUCAAUCGAAACAACGAAGAAAAGAAGAAAUUUGUAAAGAAAAAUACAGAACGAAUCGAAGAAGAUGAACGAGAUUGAAUCAAGAAUUGUUCAUCUUCAUGCAGCGGAAACAGAGCAGAACUGAUUCUGCUCUGAUACCAUCUCAAAGUUUCAACCAGAGAAGAAAGAGAAAAAUGAAGUGAAAAAGAUUAUUGAUUAGUUCAACUGAAUUCUGUUACAAUGAGGGUAUAUGUAGAAGUUGGUUAUGACAGCUAUGUCUAACUAACUUCUAUCUAUCUAAAUGUAAAAGAAAUACAAAUGAAAUUACAUGUAAAUAAGGUAAUUUCCACAUUAAGCAAACUAAGAAUUCUAGCUGCUAUUUACGUGCUAUCUUAUUUCUCAACAUCUUCUUCUAAUAUAGUUGUUGCAUGUUUGUUUUAUUUUAAAUUGUGUUGAUGAAUUAUAAGUUCAUUAUGUGUUUUGUUAAUUUUUCAUGUGUUUGGUAUCUUUAUGGUAUAAGUUGUGAUUGAUGUAUGAAACUUCCUUUUUCCCUAACUUAUGAUAGUAAUGUUGGGAUUCAAAAUGGAAUUGGUUGACAUGUGUUUGGAUGAGAAAGUAAUAAAUAUAUGGUCAAUAUUACGAUAAAUCCUAACUCAGAUGAGUAGGGUUCCAUCUUUAAUAUCUUAUCAAUAAUAAUCCUUUUAUUGAUUAUCAAUGGAACCAAUAAUUUACACUUAUAAGAAAGAAAUGAACUAGUGAACUCUUAGUUCGAAAGAAACAUAAAUGACAUUGUUUGAAAAUUCAUUACCGUGACAAUCUAAUGAUAUAAAAUUGAAGUUAUAUGUGGUAGGUCUUUAAAUAUAAUUUCAUAUUCUUAAGUUAAAGAUCAUGGUGAUAAAAAAAAUACAUAUAUAUAUAAAUAUACAAUUAUUAGGAUUCACGACCAUAAAUAAAUGGUAACUAUAAAAGAUUUUAGCAAAAUAUAUAUUUGUUAUUUCUUAUUGCAAGUGUAAGAACUCAGUCUUCCAUGCAUGGUGUCAUUGUAAUAUUCUGAGUAUGAGACUCAUACUAUCCGUAGGACACAAAAGACAGAUUACAUUUGCCAUUAAUGCACCUAUACCUUUGAACUAGCGUAUUUGGUGGGCAAUCAUUAUCAGUUAUACAAAAAAUAUCAUCUGUAGUGAAAGAAUAUAAUAAACUAAUGUUAUAAAAAUGAAUAAUAAUUAUAUAUGAACUACAAACUAAAGAAGGUAAUUUGAAAAGGAUGAAAAAAAAAAAAAAAAAAAAAACAUUACCCUCAAUAUUAUUUGCGAUAAGAAAUAGGAAAAUAAAUAAAGUUAUAGCAUACACAAGCUUAUGAGCCAUAUCUUUCACUCUUUACAUACAACAAAUAUAAUUGAUUUGAUCACUUUAUAGUGUAUAAUCCUUACAUACAACAAAUAUAAUUUAUUUGAUCACUUUAUUGGGUAUAAACCUCAUGUUGGGUUAAGAAAAUUUUAAAUAUUUUUUCCGCUUAAUAACUUUUAAAAGUUACUCCCUAAAUUUAAAAUUAUUAUUAAUUGUCUCUUAAGAAGAUCAAUGUGUUAUAUUUGUCCAUUUACAACACUUAAUAAAUGCGCACCAUAAAAAUCUUUCUAAUCAUUAGAAUUUAAUAUUUUGGUAAUUAACCUUAUUACUUUUGAUGAUUGAAAAAAGACAUUUAAAAACAUAAAAAUGCAUAAGUUAAUCGUUUAACCUUACUGUAGGAUUUUUUUUAUAUAUAAAAUCAUUUAAUUAUAUGGAAUAGUAUAAAAUUUUAUAAUUGCAUGAAUUCAUCAACAUUCUCAUUGACAUAAAGUCAUUGAUUGACAUGUAUAUACAAAAUAAAUUAGAAUUGAAGACUGAUAUGUUCGCGUGAUACAUCAGGGAGAAAUACAUUGGGCUGCUAGGGUUUCCCCCAUGCACUAUCGUCCUACUAAAUUUUGAUUAAGUUAUUACUCGCUAACUAUCAGUUGGUUUCAUAUGUCGUUGAACCAAGGUGGAUUUUAGAAUAAUGUCUUUAAAGUAUUAAUGAUAGCAUUGUGUAAAAGAACAAUUGAAUACUCUAAUGUAUGUUCAAGUGUGCAAAACCAUAAAAUUAAAUUAUGAUUUAAAUGCCCAGUUUUGGUUGAUACAUCAUGCUCUAAACAUAAAGGAAAUCAUUUUGGUACUAAAGAAACACAUUGGAAACUUCUGAAGAUUUAGAAGAUGAUCUGACGAUAAGUUAAGAAAAAUCCAAAGCUCUCAUCAAAUAAAGGAUGCAUCAAGUCUUGAAGAGUGACGAGAACAAGAUCUUAUGGAUACAUGCUCCAAAGGAAGCAAGUUAUGAAGGAGUCAGAAUCAUCUCCAUUUACUAAAAAUAAAUAGAUAAUGUCAUUUGGUGAGAGAUAGAUACAAAAAAAAAUAUGUAGUGGGUCCCCCUGGUAUUAAUUAUUUUCAAAUUUAUUUGUGUCUUUAUCUCUCUAAAUGGAAGAAAUCGAAAUCGACAGACUAAUAAAUGGAGAUGAUCUUAACUCGUUAUGAAGGAUUCAAUGCAAAUAUCUGAUAGUACUAUUUGUAUUUUCAUGACCACUUGACGAAACAAAGAAAGAAAUUCAAUGGAAAAGAAUGUAACAGAACAUUCCAUAAGUAGCAAAGGAUUUCUCUACUACUAUUCAACGAUAAUAUCCAUUAAAGGAAUAGUUUUCAAAACUAAUUCAUCGCUUCUCAAGGACGAAAUUGAUGUGAUAGCCUUCUUAAAAUAAAAGUUCUCUCAUUUCUCUCCUAUAUGAAGGGAAAUCAUGAUUAUAAAGGCAACAAAAAUACUGAGAUGUAAAAAGUAUUUGAAUCUGCCUUUGCAGAAGACGCAAAGAACAACACAAAGAUUUUGCGAGAAAUCAGAAAACAUGGUUGUAUUUGCAGCAGAAGUUUUCAGACACAUAAGAAAGGCGGGGAGUUUGAAUUUUGAACUUGUGGCAGACAAAAGCCGUCGCAAAGACUCAACUCCUAGAAUUUAUUACCGUUGGCAUUAGCACCGGAUUGUAUGCCGCUGCAAAUGGCCAAUGGUUAGAUUUUUCUCCCUUUAUAAAUAGUCAAUUCUUUCAUUCAUUCUUUCACAUACACUUCUCUCUACUUCCUUCCAUCUCACCAUUUGUCUACAACUUUUCUUAUUUUUAACUUUUCUGUUCUUUUAAUAGUUUGGUAAGUAUUGUUUUUAUAUUUAAAUAUUAAUUAAAUUUAAUUGAUAUUAACCUCAUUAUAGAAUUGUUGUAUUUACUAUUUAAAAUUGUUUUAUCAGAAAAAAGUAUUUAUAAUAAUUUUUUAUUAAUAUUAAAUUUGAAAAUAUAUGUGUAUGUUUAAAGAAAAUCGCAAAUGCGCAUAUAUAUAUAUCAUCCUUAAAAAAAAGGGUUAAUAGGUCUUUACCUCCCUGUAAUAUAGGUCAUUUCCGGUUUUCCAAACAAAAACCAAUUUUUUUUCAAGAAUUUUUCGUUUUUGUUUGGCCUAUUAGGGGGUAAAUCAAAACAAUUUUAUUUUUACAGAGGGUAAAUCAAAAAAAAUAUUUUACAGAGGAAAAAAAAUUGUUUUAAUUUAUAAAUCUCAUACAUUAAAUUUUUACAGAGAUGACAAUCAAAAAAAAAAUUUAGAGAGGGAAAAAAUUUAAAAAAUAAAGUAUCAAAAGUAUAUUUUAACUAGAGAUGACAAUGUACAUUCACGAGUACGGAUAGUAGGAAUCUGUUAUCUAAUAUGUUGAAUUCAAAUAAAGUUAAUGUUCGUUUCAUACUCAGAUGAGUAUUUCACAAUUUUUAAGAUGUCUAUAUGUAUUUGCAGUUAUCCAAGGAUAAAUAUUUUUCUAAAAAUACAUUUAUGUAAAAAAAAUAAAAUUAUGUUGAAUGUUUCUUCUUCUUUUGACAACAAAUAUUUUUUUUUUUGGUACAAGACAACAAAUUUAUUUAUUAAUCAAAACAAGAACAGAAAUUGAGAAAUUGGGUUAGGAUUUCUUUCAUGUGGAUAACACUUAUAUUUUAAUGAUGAUAUUUUCGUAAAUUUACUAUUUUAAUACCGAUAUCCGUAGGCGUAGGUUUGACAUGUAGUUAAAAUAUUUCUUUCAUGUGGAUAACAUUUAUAUUUUAAUGAUGAUAUUUUCGUAAAUUUACUAAUCUUCUCUUUGUGGAUUGUCCACUCCUAACCUUAUUUGUUUUAAUUAAUAUGUAUUUGUGCAAGAAGCUUCCUUCACUAUGAGAAUCAAUGAACCUUAAGUAUUAUUUUUUUUCUAUAUAUUAGGUCCUCUUCUUUUCGUUGUAACUUUGGUACUCUUUAUCUAUAUAUAUUUCAACAAGUUAAAUUUAAUGUAUUGUAAGUAUGAAACUUGUAAACACAUUAAGUGCUAAAGAGGAUUAGCUUUCUACAGUUACUUGAUCCUAAAUUAUCUUUUGUUUUUUAAAUUAUUUUCCUCUUGUAUUGAAUUAUUUUAUCUUGUUUGCAGGAGUGGUAUCUGAUGAGGUACAAAUUAAUUUCCUCUUUGAUAGGUUUUAACAUUACUCUUUUUACCAAAAUGAAGAUUGUGGCCUCUAGAAACAGUAACAAGAGGAUUUUCAAAUUAAGUUCACAACCAAAUAAAUUCAUGUCCUGAAUAUGCUAAAUGCAUUUUUCUUUUUCCACCAGACUUGUUAACUGCAACCAUGAACUUAUAAAGUGAAUUUCACUACCUUCAGAGCAAAAUUUAAGUGCUCUAGAAAAAAAAAGGACUAAUAUAGAACAAGUAACAAUCAUCACUGUGGUCUCUUUGAUGUGAAGAUUGAUUUGUGUAUGUUAGUGUUGCCAAAUUGACAUUUUGCAGUUACAUUUUUUCUUGGAAUCUAGUAGACAAUGAUCAUCAUAGUUGCAUUUUGUUUUCACCAACAGUAUGCAGGUAUCCUCAAUUGCUUCGACAGGGAUGUAAUACUUGGACUUGGGAUAUGAGCUAGCAGCAACAUGGGAUUAUCAUGCUUGGAAUGACAUGCAAAGCAACAGCAAGAUUAAUGAUAUGUACCUCAUUUCUCUGCAUAAGUCUUUUGUCGCUUGGGUUAACCCAUGAUGAAAAUUGAGUUUGUAUGGUGAGGCGAUAUGAAACAGUGUGAACCUCGACUUGGGUGAGGAGCUUAUGGACAAAUGAGUUCACAGUAUUAAUUUUAGUGGAUAUUAGACCAUUAAUGUUGUUGGUGCCUUCAUAUCCAUCCGACAUGUAUCUAUAUUUGCACAUGUAGCACUUAGCCAUGUCCUAAUGUCAGAACUCAGGUUCCAAUACUCUUGAUGCUUUUCUACAGUUAAUUCUAGACACUCUUGUAUAACAGUACCAGGAACCUGUGUUCUGACUUGAGGACAUGGCUAUGUGCACUUGCAAAUACAGAUACGUGUCGGGUAGGUUUGAAGGGCACAAGUGGUAACUUAACGAUCUAAUAUCCAUUAAAAUUGACAAAGUGAAUAUAUUGAUCAACAAGCUCUUCACCCAAGUCCAAGUGCUCAUUGUUUCUGGUCCUUUCCUUCACUAUGCACAUCAAUUUUCUUCAUGGGUUGAACCACGGGACAAAAACAUAUGCAGAGAAAUGAGGUGCCUGUUAUAAAUGCAGUUGUUGCGUGCAUUUCAUGGCUAGUAUGAUGAUGAUCAAAUGGAGUUUCGUCUUCAUCUUCAAUAUUCUAAAACCAUGCGCUUAGCAAGGAAACAUCUUCUGAUAGGUCGUGUUCCGUUUGCUCCAUACUUUUUGUACUUAAUAGUUGGAUAUAAGACGCACAUUGCCCUUUAGCAAAAAUAUUGAAUACAUAAUGUCAUACUAGGCACGAUAGUGGACAAUAUCUUCUUUUCUUUGAUCAAGUCGAUGUUGACAAUGUCUAGUAUGGCAGAUAAAAAUGAUUAUACUGGUGAAGGUGAAGUUGAAGGUAAAAUAUAUAAAAAGCUUGAAGGAAAAGACUUACAUAGAUUGAGAAAGAAUAGGAUUUUACUGCUUAUCAAAGAAAAUUCAAAACCAUGUAGGCAACAUAGAACUCAUACACAAUAGAACUUGCUAAACACUAAUCAAUACAUUUUAUAACAAUCUUUCUGCUAAUUGAAAGUAUGUUUGGUUCUAAAACAAUAACUAAAGCUGGUAUUGUCACUGUUUCAUAUAUGGAAAAGUCAGACAGCUCAUCAAGAAAAGUUAGCUGCAAAUCAAAUUGAUUUGCAUGACCUUUUGCAAACAACAUACAUUCCUCCCUUAGUGUUCCUUUUCUAUGAUCUUUAUAACAAUCUUCAUGAAAAAGCUUGAAAGUCAAUCACAAUCUUCACCACAAAUGCCCUGAUACUUCUUCACAAUCUUUCACUCUUAGAAUUCAUUCCUCAUGUGACUUCAAAACUAGCAAUUUGCAACCAAAUGCAAGUCAAUCACAUAUCUUUCAUGUAAAAUCUCUUUCUAAUCAUGAAAAGUAUAAAAACAACAAUGGCAUAUUCAAAAAAUAUAGAAUCUUAAGGGGAAAAAAAUGAACAUUUCAGCACAGUAUAGCUAACUUCUCUCCUACUACAAUUUUAGUUCUUCUGGUCAUAAUAUUUGGAAUUACAUAGCCCUAAAAUAUCCCUAAAGGUUGAAAGAUUUCAUACAACAGACCUAAAUAUUCGAUGGGGGAUAAAAAGAUUCAUAAUCCACCCAAAAUAUCGCCAAAAUUAUAACAAGAACAAGAGCAAGAAUACAACAUUGAACACCAAUCCAAUAUAAAUAAUUCUUCUUAGAAACAUGUUAGCUUCAUUUCACAUUAACGAUUUUAGUGACCUUUCUUUCACGGGUUUCCUCAUUCUCCUCUUCCCAUUAUCAUCAUCAUAUUCAUCCUCAUAAUCUUCAAAAUAAUUCAAUCCCUCAGAACAAGGAACAACAUCAACACCAACAUUAACCUUAACAUCAUGACUACUACUACCUAAUGCUACAACACUCUUGUUAUCUUCACCAUCAUUUUUAUCACCUCUUCGUUUCCCUCGUGGUGGACCAAACCCAGAAUAAAAAUAGAAUUCAUUAUUAUUCGAACCUGAAGCUGAAUCCGCUUUCACCUUCUUCGGUCUGCCUCUACCACGCCGCGGCGCCUCAAUGUCUCCUCCCCCAUUUGAGUUUCUCUUCAAACCUUUGUUGCAGCCACCAUUAUUAUUAACUACCUUCUUAUUACCAUCACAUUGUUGAUUAUUGUCAAUCGCCAUGAUAGAAGAAUUUUCUAUCACAGUUUUAUUAUCAAUAUCAACAAUGUCAGUUUCCAUCAUCGAAGCCACACUUUCAUCAAGAGCUGCUAGAGAAUCUUCGAACUGGAUUGAGGAUUUGUCAAAGUGAAAGGGGAUGGCAUCCCAUGGAGAUUGGUUAAGCUGACAAACGUGCAUUUGAAAAGGUUCAACCGGUAAUGAAUCAUUUUGUAGUAGUGAAGACGAACAAGUGAAUAGAAGAGGGGAAAUCUUCGCGGCUUUUCGAAUCCUCAUAUCAAAGAAUCUAUGAAUGAAUAAUAUUAUUAUAAUAUCUGGAAUUUGAGGGAAAGGGAACACAAUCUUUUCAAACUCACAGAUACCAUCUCUCUUCACCUACUCAUGCACUAAAUAAACAAGUUUAUAACAUAAGUGUAAAAGUAUAUGUUGAACCAUGAAGCCUUUUAAUUAAGAAUUGAUGAGGUCUAUGACGCACAAACAUUCCUCAGAUUAGAUGUGUCCUAGUGUUGGACACGCGUUAGUGUCAGACACCGACACGACAAUGGCACAUAUGAUUACACUGAAUUAUGUCAUUUUCUCACAUUUAUUGUCAAUGUUCGCAUGUUAGUGUCUGUGUCGUGUCGAUGUCCGUGCUUCAUAGGAUGUGGUCAACUAUCAUAAGUUUCCAACUUGACAACUUUCAAAAAUGUAACGGCAACACAGAGCACAUACACAAUAGAACUUGCAAACACUAAACAAUCCAAUUAUAAUCUUUUUGCUAACUAUAAGCAUGAUAGAUUCUAAAACAAUAAAAUUGGACUUGUCACUGUUCCAUACAUGGCAGGAAGCAGAAUGUAAACAAACUAUUACACAACAUAGCAGUAGGUUACCAGAUAUCUUGAAGACUUGUCCUCUUUCCAGCUCAAAGUAGCUAGCUAUAUGGCAUCAGUUCUUAGCAUGUGAGAUAGUUGAAAAGAGCAACAAAAUAAGAUAUAAUCACUAGUAUAUCAUUAUAAAUAAUGACUUAAUCAAUAUAAAUAGCCUUAUUUUUUAGCUUAGGAAGAAUAGCUUAUGCAAAUUUGCAUAUAACUCAAAAAAAAGUUUCUAUGUUAAUUCAAAAGCUCUCACUAACAAAAAUGGUAUCUUUAUAAAAUGUGUUUUAAUAAACUACGCAGAAACCCAUGAAUAAUACAUAAAAGUUUCUUUAUUUACUUAAGUUUCUGUUUUUGACAAAUAAUCUAGGUAGAUUGUUUUGUAUAAACUCAAAAAUAAGUGAAUCCAAAAUGGGCCCAAUGUUAAUAUACUAGUUGGUUAAAACAUUAGUCUACACGUAAAAUAUGUGUAUAUUCAUGAAAUCUCCAACAAUAUAAGCUACAAUGAAAAUGAUUACCUGUUUGCAUUCCACCAUAUACUUGUUGAGCAGUUUUUGGUUCUUAUGAGUAGUCAGUACAUGCUUUGUUACAUUGACUAAGAAGUCAUUCAAGUAAAGUGGAGAUAAAAAUGAAGAACUGCUGUGAAGAAGCGGCUGGCAAAACAAUUGAAGAGGGAAUCUAGGGUUAUCUUUUUCAUUAUAUAUGCUAUUGGGCUAGGCCCAAUGAUGUAAUCCCACAAACCCAAUUAGAUUUGUUUUUAUUAAAAAGGUAGCUAAAAAGCUAAAAAUAUAUCUAUUUAUAUUGAUCAACUCAUUAUUAAACAUUAGUUUACAAAUCAUUUAUUUUUAUCAAAUAAUAUAAUGGUUAGAAUUUUAUCUUUAGGUGAAUAAAAGUAUCUUCAAUGGUGAACUCUACAAAUAGUUAUUUUUUGGGUCUCAUUGCAAUACAUUAUUUUGAAGUAAUACAUUCAUUUUUAACUUUCAGUAGUGAACUAAGAGCAUCCAUCAUUCUGACAUCCAAUUUUCGAUACCUAAUUGAGUUUCACUUAUACAAAUCACUUGGUUAUAAUUUUUUGGCUAAAAUAUGCUUUUGAUCCCUGCAAAUAUGGCGAGUUUAGGUUUUGGUCCCUGGUAAUUUUUUUCUUUUUGAAAUCCAUCCCUGCAAAAUUUUUUGUUUUUUAAAAUAGUCCUUGGCCCAACUUUACUGAUGAUUUGGCACAUUUAUGCCUACGUGGCAUUCGCUGACUGUGUAACUUUGCACAGUUGGUAGCCAUGUGGUAAUUAUUUAAAAACCUUUCUUAAAAAAGAAAAAAUAUAUUUUUGAAAUUAAAAUAAAACAUUUUAAAAAAUACGGAAAUUAAUUUUUCAAAAAUUUUAAAAAAUAAAAAAGUAAUUUUUAAAUUAAAAUUUUUCAAAAGAAUUCAUUUUUAUUUUCGAAAAAUAAAUUUUCAAUUUAUUUUUUUAAUUUUUGAAAAUUAAUUUCCAUAUUUUUUUAUUUCAAAAAAAAUGAAAAAAAUCUUUUUUUGGUCAAGAAUUUUUUGUCUUUCUAAUUUUCGGAAAAUAUUUUUUUUUCAAUUUUUUUAAUUCUGAAAAUAAAUAAAUUCUGUUCAAUUUUGAAAGCAAAAUCUGAAGAUAAAAUUCCUAAUUUUUUUAAAAUUUUAGAAAAAUGUUGGUGGAUUUUAGGGUGAGGGCUCUAUUAAGUACCUCACCGGUGUACCGUUUAAAUUGACCGUUAGAUAAAAAAAGGGUACAUGAUAUCUUUAGUGACAAACCACUGAAUUAUGCUUUUUCUCUCCCCCUUUACAAUCAGUCACUCUCUCUGCGGCUGCUCUUUUUCCAUUCACUCGACACAGCCUACAUUUUUUUCUCUCUUAAACUGAUCUAUUAUGCCUUUUUCACCCUAUUCCUCUCAUAUUGAAAAUGUUGGAAACAACUAUAAUAAAGGUUAGCAUAGCAGGGAUUUUGAUUGUCUUAGCACUACCGACCUAAUUCAUUGUAUCCAUGGUCACAAAACUUCACAUUAAAAUUAGUUUCAGAUUGAAAAUUUCUUAAAAUUCAUUGUACCCAUAACAAAAUUUUAAUACUUUGAAAAGAUAUAUUAAAAAAGAAGCUUACAAGACGGACGGGUAAUGGAAGAUAAGAGUGGUAAAACGAAAUUUAUUGAAUCCAAUCAUUUUUCAAGGGAAAUAAACUGAGACAGAAUGAAGGAUUAAAUUUUUGUGAUUUGGAAGAAGAUGAUGAUUUAGAACUGGUGGUGGUUGCUUGGAGCGUUAGAGAGAAAAAGCAUAAUCCUGUGUUAUUUAUGACUAAAGUUAUCAUGCACACUUUUUUCAUCUAAUGGCUAAUGCAAAUGGUACACCGGUGAGGGACUUAAUAGAACCCUCACCCUAGAAUCCACCAAAAAUGUUAUCUAACUUAUUUUUUUUUUUAAUUUAUAAAAAUUAAUUUUCAGGAAAAAAUAAAAUAACCUUUUUAAGUUCGAUAAAAACUGAUUUUUUUUUAUUUUGAUUUUGUUUUUCUAACUUUCGAAAAUUAUUCUCUUUUCAAUUUUGAAAAUUAAGUUCCAUAGUUUUUUAUUUAAAAAAAUAAACUGAUUUUUUUUAUUAAUUUCGUUUUUUUCAAAAAAUUUAUAUCGAAAAUUCAUUUCCAGAUUUUUUUAUUAAUUUCUUUUUUUUAUUUCGAAAAUAUUUUUUUUGUUUUUUAAAUAAUUAAAAUGAAAUGAGUUACACGUGGCUGCCACAUGUGCACAAUUAAACAGUUAGCAAGUGACAUCUAUGCAAAAAUCAGAACAUUGAGCUAACAAAUUUUAGAGAGAGAGAGAGAGAGAGAGUACUUAGUUGAGCACUCAUGUUCCACAAGCACCAAUAAUACAUUCAAAAGAGAGUGUUGCUAGCAUUAUCAUACUCUUACUUCCAAUAAAGAGUACUUAUUAGGUACCACUGUUUAAGGAGGCAAGCAUCCCCUAUUAGGGAUGGUUUAACUCUAUAGAACUUAUUUUAAGUCCCACAACUUUACAUCACAUAUUAAUACUCUAUUUAUAUUUAAUAUUGUCACAACUGAAAAUAUUAAUUUAAUUAUUUUAAAUGAAUAUUAAUAUGAAAAAAAUUAAAAAUAAAAUAAAACUUAAAUUUUUAUAGCAAUAAUUGAAAAGUUACAUUAAGUUCAUGACGUAUAUAAUUAAAAACGGUAAAAACAAAUCCCAUUUAAUAAUUAAUAAAAUCUAAACUUCGUUAUUCUUAUGUCCAAAGUGUUCUCAAAUAUAUAUGCUCCAUGAAAUAUGUUUGAAGUUGUCGAUGAACUCGUUUUUCAUAAAGAUUUGUGCUCCUUUGUAGUCUUGUUUACGAUUCGGAUGAGGACCGUUAGAUGUUUCAGUUGUUUAGACAUCAUUAAUCAUGUCAUCAAAAGAGUAAUCAAAAUCACCUUCAUAUAUUUGUUGUUCAUCUUUCACGAUCAUGUUAUGUAAUAUAAUGCAUGCAUAAAUUAUAUGCUUGAGAAUUUCCAUAUGCCAAGCAAAUGUUGGACCAAAUAUAAUCGCUAAUCGAGAUUGGAGCACGCGAAACUCAUGUUCCACAUAUUUUAUUGCCGAUUCUUGAUGUUGGAUAAAUAGUUUUAUUUUUUUCUCCCUGCGACAUUGGAAUGACGUCGACAAAUGCAUCCCACUCAGAUAUAUAUAAUUUGCUAGAUAACACCUCAUAUUAUAUGUAGUUUUAUUAAUUGCAUUGUGGGUGCUUAUCCUUCCAAAAUACUGUUAAACAUGUUGGACCGGUUUAGCACGUUAAUGUCAUUGUUUAAACCUACAAUGUCAAAUCCACAAGUCUCGUGAUGUCGCUGCUUCAAGCAAGAUUGUGAUUUUACCAUGAUCACCUCGACAAAAUUGGCAUUUCCAAGCAACCAGACAAUUUUUCCAUUCAUAUAGAUGAUAAAUAACUUAAUGGUUGAUGCUAAUGCUACAUAGACCAUCAAUAAAAUAAGUUUUGAUUUGAAUGAAUGUCCAAUAGAAAAUACUAUUUAGAAAAUGGUUGUUGAUAAAUAAUUAUUAAGCAUUUUGAUCAUGAUUUAGUGGAAAUGACUUGUAGAAGUUGAUAAAAUUGGAAGCGUUGAUAAAGAAAACUUUGUUUCAAGUCUGAAUAUUGCAACAAAUGAAGACGUUGAUAAAGAUGAAACUUUUAAUGAGACAAAUUAUGUUCUCUUUGUUGGUCGAAUUUUUUUUAGUGAAAAAGAAGCAUGUCUUUUUAUAAGAGAUAUGCUUAUCAACAAGGGUUCUCAAUAAAAAAAGGUAGAUUAAUAAAAAAAUUGUGUUAUUAUCAUAAAUGAUAUUUUUGUCGUCUUGAAUGUAAAGUCUCCUUGAUAAAAAAUAUUUUUAAGGAGACUUUACCUUCACAAUGAUAAAAAAUAUCACGUUUGCUAAUAACCCCAUUCUUUUUUACGAAUCUACCUUUUUUUAUUGACAAUUCUUGCUGAUAAGCAUAUCUCUUAUAAAAGACAUAUCCUUCUUCUUCACUAAGAAAAAUUUGACCAACAAAGGAAACAAAAUUUGUCUUGUUAAAAGUUUCAUCUUUAUCGUCUUCAUUUAUUGCAAUAUUUUUGUUGCAAUAUUAAGACUUGAAAAGGAGUUUUCUUUCUGAACACUUCCAAUUUUGUCAACUUCUAACAAAUCAUUUUCCACUCCCUUAAAAAAAAUCAUUUUCCAUUAAAUCAUGAUCAUAAUGAUUAAUAAUUAUUUGGCCUAAUUAUUUAUGAACAACCAUUUUUGUCCUUGGGUAUUUGGUUGUAGCCGGAGUAAGCGUCCAUAAAAGACAACAACUUGUAACCGGAGGAAUUGUCUACCAACUUGUCGAUGUUGGGAACCGGGUAUGCGUCUUUUAGGCAGGCUUUGCUCAAGUCCGUGUAGUUGACGCAUGUAACACCCUGUUUUCCCAAUAUCAAAAUUUCUUAAGCCAUUUAUCAGAGUAAGCAUCAUAAUCAACGAGGUAUCGCAUAAAACAUAGUCCAGAACUGUUAAAUAAUAAUUUAACCAAUUAUCUUAAACAUUGCAGCAGAAAAUCAUAUCAUAAUCAUAAAGUGUUUUGGCACGCAGGCCUCAUCAAGUAAUUCUCAAAGAGAUAGUUCAAUAACAUAAAACAUAAACAUGGCAGUCACGUAAGAGAAUGAAGCAUGCAAAUAACCCCAUCCCGUUACGUAUCAGAGCGACCUAGACGACACAGUGAGGCAAGGUCACUCACAACAGCAAACUGCACACUAAACACGAUCACCUGCAAGUUACCCAUACCAAGGGCAACAUUUUCAAGCAGAAGGGGUGAGAUUUCAUAACAAAAUAAUAUUAAUCAAAGUAAUUCGAAUCAUAAUUAACAUUAACAUCAUAUUCAUUCUUAAAUAACUUUGCAUAAUUCAAUAACAAAUAUCACGUAUUCACAUAUUCAAUCGUCAUCAACAACAUAGCAUUAUGGACAUGACAAUGUUGCAAUGCUCUUAGACUCUUUAUAUGCAUGUGGUACCAAUCGUCAUCAUAAGUAUUAAUAUACUUUAAUCGUGCGGAGGACAAAACUCCUAAUAAUCGUGCAGAGGACAAAGCUCCUAAUAAACGUGGUGAAGACUAAGCUCAAUGAAAUGCUAUGCAUGGACUCUUAUGAACAAAACAUCGUAAUCAACAUAUCAACAUGCAUCCAACAAUUUGGAGCUAAACGUCAUCAUUUCAUCAUAUAUAAAUAUAUACAAUGCACUUAGUUAAAUAACAGUAGCAUAAUCAAGUCACAUAACAGGAUGAUAUCAUUAUAUCAAUAGCACAUCAAUUAUAUCAUAAUUAAACUUUCAUAUCUUACAUAAAUGUACAAUACAUUAAUCAUAGUCGAUCAAUAUCAACAUAUCUUAAACAGCUUUACAGAUUGCAUUAAACGUCAUCAUUAGGUCUUAUUAUCAUAAGGGGGUUCGCUCUUGAUCAAAACGUGCGACACAUAUCGCACAAACACUCAAAAUACUCAAAGCUGGAGGAGCUCGCGAGGCGAGAGUCCUCACUCGCCAUGGCGAGUACCACUCAAAUCCCAAACUAAAGUUGUUCUGGUCUAAUCUUGCCCUACAUUUGUUCCUAAUCAUUACUAGGUAUGUUCAGGCACUCAAAGGCACUCAAGGUCCAACUAAAAAGUCGAAAACACAAAAUCCAACAUGCUCUCUGCCUAAGCUCGCGAGGCGAGGAAAGGUUGUUCGCUAUGGCGAGCGAUACCAGAAACACUCGCGAGGCGAGCGAUGAAGAUCAUCACUCGCGAGGCGAGAUUCAUGGCUCGCCGUGGCGAGCGAUGAAUGUCGCUACGACCAGGUUUUCUAAUUUCACAAAAAUCCGACGAUCCACAUGGUUCUAAGCCUAGUAUUGAUUCCAAAGUUGAUCCUAAACAUAAUCUAAGGUCCAGGAACACUUUUUACAGCAAUCUAAUCAAUUCCUACCGUUUAAUCUCAAAUUCUAGGGAUUUGACCUAGUUUUCGUUUUCUCCAAUUAAUCCUAAUUCUUGCUAAUUACUCAUCAGAAUUACAACAACUAAUAUUACUGAGUUAUUAGUCUCACCCUUACCUUAAAUUUGCAUAAAAUCGCAGCCCUCUUGGUCUUUUGCUCCUCUCUAAGCUUUUUCUCCCUUUUUCCAAAAAUUUUCACGUACAAUCCGUUUUUCUAACAAUUAGGUCUUCUCUAUUUAUAUCUCUUCCUAAUUACUUAUCUUAUCUCACUUUCUCCCCCAAAACUAUCUAAAAUAUCAAAACAGCCCUUAACUAAAUAUUUUAUAUUAUUUUCAAAUCUUUAUUUUAUUUAACAAUAAAAUAAUUCUCAUAUCCUUAUCAAAUCUUCCAAAACUCAUAACUUAUCACGUCAUCAGUCAAAUCAUCCAAAUCAUCGUAAAUCAUCAAAUUGUACUAAAAUCAUGCAUAUAUUAUAUAAAUAUAAUAUAAUCGCCUAAACUCGAUUAAAUAAACAAUUAACGAAAUUGGGCGUUACAUCAACGUUGCAGAUCCGGAAGCAUGGGUAUUUCGGUGACUUAAGUUUUAUCAUAUUAUUUGUAGGCAUUUUGCCGUUGUAUGCUAUUAACUUGGGUGUUGUGAGUUUGUUUGCAGAUUCAUCCUUUAUGUUUUUAGUGAUGUUUGUAUCUGAUGUACUCUAUCGAUUUGGUUGAAUGAAUAUCGUUUUAUUUUUGUCAAAAAAAAAAAAAAAGGUUAUGGCCUUAUGUUUCAUUUUCAUGUUUUAAGUUUUUUUUUUUUGUUGAACCAUUGAAAUAUCAUCAUGUACUCUUAAUUAGAAAUGAGUGGAAAAUAUUUUGGUUCAAACAAAUUCUGUUUCUUUUUUAUACCUUAAUUUUGUUUUCGAAAAUUAAGGGGGAGUAAUUAAUUUAUUAUUAUUAUUAUUAUUAUUAUUAUUAUUAUUAUUAUUAUUUUUAUUAUUAUUAUUAUUAUUAUUAUUAUUAUUUUUAUUGGUGCUUUUCAUUAAUAUUGUUAUGUUGUGAAAGAGCGAAUGAACCAAAGUAGUUAAAGAACUCAAGAUGAGUGUUAGACAAUAACAUAUAAGGUGUAAAAAAAUGAAUAAAGAAUAUGAUCGUAAACGAUGAGAAGAUCGUUAAGACGAAAUGUAAGAGAAGGUAAGGAGUUGUAUAUUAAGGACUGAAAACAUAACAGGAAUGAUGAUAACGAUGAAUAAGAAGAGGAUUGAUUAGCAGGGAGCAAGAUGCAUAUGAAAGACGAUAAGAGGUAGUAGUUGUAAUGAGUGACGAAUAUAAUAACGACCGGUAUCAAGUGAAUGAAACCUCGAAUUAUAAUGAAGUAUUAGGUUAGAUAAUAACUUUAAAAUUAAAAUGAAGUUAAGAUUAGGGGACGAACGAUGUAUAGAUGACGACGAACGUGAGAACAAGUAAUAAGAUAUAAAGUCGUUUUAUUGAGGAGAAUAAGUAGGAAAGAGUUAAUAACAAUUGUGAGGAAAAACCUAGAUAUAUAGAACGAAGAUUUUGCAUGUAAUGAUAGCGAAUAAGAAAACAACUUGAGACCAAGAAUGAGGAAUAGGGUAUGAUAUUAGGAAUAAAGUUUAUAGAGUCUAUAAUAGAUGAGAGAAUAUUGUAUGUUCGUAAAAGGAAUAAUAAAAUAAAAUAUAAGGAAGUUGACGUAGAAUUGAAUUACGCGUAAGGGUUGGAUUAGUGAAGAGAUACAAUGGUGAUAUAAACGGUUGAUAGAGAUGAAUAAUGAGGAAUCCAUAAUGUGACGAAGAGUGAUGACGAAGAUAAUAUAUAUAUGUAAUUAAAUAAAUACGAUGAGAAAUGAUAAUGUUUAUAUGUUAGUGAUGAUGGUGAUGACGAUAACUAUAUCAGUAUGAUGAUGAUAGUAAUGAUGUUUAUCUAUGAUGAUGAUGAGGGUAGUGUGUAAAUAUAUAUAUAUAUAUUGACUAUGAGAAUGACGACGUAUAAUUAUGAUGAUAACUUGAAUGAUGGUGUCUAAUAUACAUUGAUGAUGAGAAUGACGAUGUUGACUUAUGAUGAUGUGAAUGACGAUUAUGUGUUUGUCUUGAUGUCGUGCAUAAUGGGAAGAGUCUGAAUUUAUGAUUCUGAUUUGUUGAUGAUGUUAUGAUCUUUUAAUACUUGAAGAGUCUGUCUCAUGCAUGCAUAUAGAGUCGUGUCUAGGAAUCAUGAUGACGAAAUGACGAUGAAAGUCCAGUAACAUAUCUCUGGCAAAUUAUGACGAUGAAAGUCCAGUAACAUACCUCUGGCAAAUUAUGACGAUAGGUGUGGUACCACAAUCAUAUAGGUCAUUAGGAGAGUCCAUAUGCAUAUAUAUGAUGAUGUUGUAUGGGGUGUUUGAGUGUGAAUAUGAUGUGUUGCUGUGACAUGUAAAAUGAAGAGAUUAUACAUAGUAACUGUUGAGAAUGAUGAGAUAGUGGAGACUAUAUUCUUUUGAUAUUUAUUUAAUGUGCAUGCUUUUCCCUAUUAUUUUGUUAUGGCAUGAUUUCUCACCCCUUAUUUUGUUGUGUUGUUUUCUAUACGGUGACUGUACCUUGAGUACAGAUACUCAGGUUGACAAGGAGUAGCUGUGGGAUGUUUUAGAGGAUGGAGAUGAUGGGAUGCCCUCCGUUUGGUUUGGUUAUUUAGUAGUUGAAUAAGUUGUAGUCACUACGAGCUCUGAUAUUGUAACACUAGGGUGGAGUUGGUGAUUUAAUUUUUUAUUGCAGUUUAAGUUGAAUCUUGGAAACUUUGUUACUUUGCUUUUAUGAUGUUAAAUAACGUGAAUAAUCUUAUUAAUACAAUCAUGAAUUGUUUUCCUCUGUUUGACAAUCUUUACUAUAAAAAAAAAAGAAAAAAAAGAAGUGGUAGUACUUUUAUAUGAUUAAUGAUGAAUUUGUAACAUCCUCUCUAUUAAAUAUAUUUUUAUUAUUUAAUAAUUAUUGUUGGGAAUUAGGGUGUUACACUUUCGCUGUCGGUGUUUCAUCCAUUCGCUCUCUGUCGGCAGCGUUCCGUGAAAGCCUUCAGUUAUAGUUUUGAUGAUGUUAGACGUUUUGAUUACAUCUACUUUAUAGUCAUUGUUUGUUAGUUUAAAUGAUGUCUAGUAUAGAUCUUUAUUUUGUAGAAUCUUAAAGCACUUUAGUGAACCUUGAAAUCUUUUUCGCUGCAUUCCAAGUUUGGCAUGAAUCGUCUCACAACAUGUAUGAAUCGAUUCAAAUAAGUCUCUGACUUAGCUUGAAUUGAUUCACCACGAGCAUGAAUCGAUUCAUGUUUGUAUCGUGUCAUUUAUCCUUGAGUCGUCUCACAAAUCUCUCUGUUUCUAUUUGAAUCGAUUCAAUUAUGAUAUGAAUCGAUUCAAUCCUUCAUCUGGGUAACUUGAAUCGUUUCAAAUAUCUCUUGACUUGUGUUAUACCCUGAUUUUGGACCUAAAAAUACUCGUUUCAAAUUUCUUUUUUAACACUAAUAUUUGUCAAUUCUCUGUUAUUUUACUCUCAAUCUUUACUCUCUUUUUAAACGUAUUAUACUGCCUCUGUCUUUUCUGACAUUACAAGUCAUUUAAGAACUCUCUGAAAUGUCGCGUUACUUUUCUUGCACUUUAUUUCAAAAAAUCAUACAAAAGGGUAUUUUGGUCAUUUCCUGCAGUGGAACCCAUUUUUGUCCCUGUAUUUGUCUCUAAGUCUCUUCAACUUGUCUGUACAAAUCAUCGUUGAUUCUUUGUUAAAAAUCAUUUCAAAAUCGCAUCUGAGUCAAUUUGGGUCAGUUUAGUCCCUAGGGGCAUUUUGGUCUUUUCCUGUCAAAAUUUUGACAGGGAGGUAUUUUGAAAUACCUCAUGUCAGUAUUUGGUUCGUUUUAGUCCUUUUGUUGAUUUUAUUUUAGGUUUCACUUUACGUUUUGUCAGGUUACCCAUUUUAUUCCAAUUUUAUUUUUAUUUUUAUUUUGCAUUUUGGUCCUCAAAGAAGUCCAAAAUUGCUUUUCAGUCCAGAACUUUUUAUUUUACAUUUCAGUCCUUUUUGGUUAAUUGCAGUUUAGUCCUUAAGUUUUUGUUUUUGCAGAAAGGUCCCAAAUUCAUUUCAAGUCCAAGGCCGUGCCAUUUUCAUACAAGUCCAGGUGUCACCUUUUCAUUGGGUCUCAAGUACACAUGUCAGAUUAUAAAUAGUGCACAGUGCCACACAAAGCCAUUAAUCACACGCCAACUCAACAAACACAAUCAAGCUUUCUCUCUCCUUUCUGUUAGGAUCAAAAGAUCAAAAAUUCCCAAGAACACGAAGAACAUAAACCCUAAUUUUCUGCAGAAAUCAUAGAAAUUCAUUAGAAAUCAACGAAUUUCACAUCAAUCCUCAGAGAUUCGUAUGAACCUUCAUCACUGGAUUGGAGAUUUCCCUACAAUUCCAAGUGCGAGCUCACAUUGAAGCAAGCUCAAGCACUGAUCACAGGAAUUCUCACGUGGAUCUAAGAAGCAAGAAACAAGCUCAAGCACGUAAUCACAGAGAAAGAAUCGGAGAAGAUGAAGAAACCAAGCCAGUAAACCGAUUUAUUUUCGGUUCAAAAAGCAACCAGAAAUCAUCAAGAACAAAUCGAAGUUUUCCGAAGAAACUCAGCAGAAUCUCCAUUAAAACUCAGGUAAAACUCAUUUUUUCUCUUUAAUGGCGUUAAUCAUAGUUGAACCUGCAUGCAAACGAACAAACCAGAUCUAAAAAGUUUCCAGAACAGAAAACGAACUGAACCGUAUGCGUAAGAUCUAGAUCCAUAAGGACUUAGACUUUGCAAGCAAGAACAAGCACCAGAGAAGUAACAAACACGAAACGAUGUAGAUCCUUAAGAGUUUGAACGUACUCAUUCAAAACCCUAAAAAAAAAAAAAAUUCAAAACCGUAUGAAAAUUCUCCGAUCUACGUCGUUUCAGGCUUUGUUUGUGAAAAUCAAUGUCAGAUUCGUGUUUAGGGUUUAAAAACGAACAAGAAAAUGUAAAAAAAUUUGAAUUCUGGGUGUUUUGCUCGUCGGAACCCUAACUUCUCACCGGAGAAGAUGAAGUUUCCGGUGGAACCUUCAUCUUCUCCGGCCAACAACCACCGGAGAAGGGAGGAGAGAGGUGAGAGGUCUGAGAGAAGAGAGAGGUUUAGAGAGAGAGAGAGAUGAAAGAAAUGAAUUGGACCGGUGUCCAUAUGCUUAUAUAGACGCCUGAACCGGUCCGGUUCAUUUUGUUUUCAUCCUGGAUCGUAGGAUUUAGGGUUUUGUUAUUUGAAUGGCUGUGAUGCUUUGUUCCAUGUGCUUGAUCUGUGUUACCAUGCGCUGCUUGUUUUGAACCGUCAGAUCUAGGUCUGGAUCAAUCUAACGCCUCUGAGGCCUUUGGAUGAUCCAGGCCCAGUCUGCAUUGGGUUUUGGGUUGGGCUUAAGGUUCCUUUUACAUUUUUACCUUUUUCUUGCUAUCUGUACCCCUACUUUUUGCUAUCUGAACCUGUUUCUUGCUCACAUAUUUUUACAAAAAUUCCUAAAAAUCCUAGGUGUUUCUUGAUACAUUUUUGGUAUUUUUAUGGUGUUUUGCAUGUAAAAAAAAAUGGUAAAAUGGCAUGAAUUAAUUCCCAUGUGUUUUUACAUUUUUGGUAUUCUUUUGGUUAUGUUUUUUUGUUCUUGACACUUUGAUAUGUGACAUGGAUGAUUGAUAUACAAUAUUGUGAUGAAUAUGCCUCUGAUCAUGUGUCCUUUUUGCUGUUUUUGGAUAUGAUUUUGUAAAUUUCUUGUUUUGCAAACAAUAAGUGUUUGUCUUAAGGAAUAAAGUGUCAAAUUUCUCUAUGAAUUUGGUGUGAUACUUUGCUUGCAUAUGUCUCUAUUAAUUUCAUGUCAUGGCUUGAAACAAAAUCUCUUUCAAAAUUGCCAUGAUGUGAGAAUUAUGGGUCACAAGCACAUUUAGGUAUCAUAUCAAAUUUUUUAGGUUUUUACCACUUUAUUACUUUCCUUUUUUGCCAUUCUUAUGCAAUUUCUUUUUGUUUAUUUCCUACUAUUUUGUGCCUUAUGAUUACUAACCGUUUCAUUUCAUGUGCCAUACAUUUCAUAAGCAUUUCACAAUUCCAUUCCUAUUCCUCAUAGUUUAGGGUUUAUUUCUUUUAUUUCAAUGUUACUUUGGCAUGUAAUAUUUUAGAUAGUUUUAAUUUCUUUUAAGAUUUUUGCAAGACCAUAGAAUGUAUCUAGGACAAUGUAAAGGACUAUGGACUCUCUAAUAAUGUACACCGACACAAACACCGACACUCGCACACACGUUGCAUGAUUAUCGAUUUAGGUGUAUGUUUAGGAAUUCGACGCCUAGUGAAAUUUCUCCUUCGAAAUAGGCUAAAUUUUCCAAACAAACUUUGGAGUCAAAACUCCAAUGCCUUUUUGUGAAAUAAAAAUAAAGAUCAAAUUCGACAUUUUUCUUCUAUGCCUUACGGCUUCUCUCCUCCUUUUCAAAAAUCAUUUUCCAAGUAAAAUAAAAACCUCAAUCAUCUUCUCCCCUCAUUCUUCACUCAAAUAAAAUAUCUUCUUUUCAAUAAGUAGGCAAUAAAAAAUAAAGCGUAGAAAUAAGCUUAGGAGAACGGUUCUUAUGGAGUACCAUAAUCGCUCCGGGUGCCUAACACCUUCCCGUAGCGAAAACGACCCCCGAACUUAGAAUCUAAGGGUUUUUUCUCAAUUUUGCCCUUCCCAAAAAAAAUAGAGAAUAUCAAAGAUUGAAAGGUUCAAGCCAAAUUAAUGACUUGACACCCGAAAAUCGCGAUAACAGAAAUGGCGACUUCACUGGGGACUUUUUUUAGCGGGUCGCGCCUAGUUUUCCUUAGUUUAUAUUUACGCUUUGUUUUAUUGCUUACAUAUGUGAAUACUUGUUUACUUUCAUUUGACGUGUGGGGUGAGAAUAUCAAAAGUCCUAUACCCGGGCUGAGUGAACUUAUGUUUAGGUAGAGAUAUAAUCGACAAUUCGAUCCGGGGGUUGCCUCGUGUAUUGGAUUAUGCGAUCAAUCUCACAUAGCUGAGGCAUUUUGGAGGUAAUAUUGUCGGCGUGUGUUGUCAUGCUUAGGCACUUUGCUUUCAAUUGUUCGACGAUGCUAUGGACCGUAGUUACCAAACCCAUCCUAGCCUUUUUAGGACGUAGUGCGGUGGCUAAAUUGAGUGUUGUCUCAAACUUUAGUCGUCACGCGAUACUACACUCAAACUAGACCUUCUCACAAAUAAUCAUGGAACGGGUGUCGUCCUGUACUACCAUGAUAUAUGUGAGAGAGGUUGCAGUUUGGGAACUGUGUUAGAACCUUGGUUACUACUAUCCAAAGCCUUAGUUCACCGGACGCCGUGUCCAUCCGUGGCCCUGUUACUUUGAAUCUCAACCCACCUUGUUCUUUGUAACUAAACAACACAAUCAUGCAUACAUACAUUCAUGCAUAAACAUUUUUCAUGCAUUCAUCGAAGGGCUUAAACAAAUGGAAAUUUUUGUAAAUAAUCACAGGUAUGAAGAAGACUAAGUGCUACAAGUUCAAGGAAGUGGAUUUGGUCAGUUUAAGAGAGUUGGCACUCAAGGUCAAGAGUCAAACAGGGUUCCGACUCCGGUAUGGGGGAUUGCUUACUUUGCUCCGAACCGAUGUGGAAGAGAAGCUAGUGCACACUCUAGUGCAAUUUUAUGAUCCGAGCUUCCGUUGCUUCACUUUCCCGGACUUCCAGUUGGUUCCUACUCUCGAGGCUUACUCCAAUCUAGUGGGUUUACCUAUAGCCGAGAAGACGCCUUUCACCGGUCCCGGGACUUCUCUUACUCCUCUGGUUAUUGCUAAGGAUCUCUACCUCAAGACUUCCGACGUCUCCAACCAUCUUAUUACCAAGUCUCACAUCCGGGGGUUCACUUCAAAGUAUCUUCUUGAGCAGGCUAAUCUCAGUACUACUUGUCAGGAUACACUCGAGGCUAUUCUUGCUUUGCUUAUCUACGGGCUCAUUCUCUUUCCGAACCUCGACAACUUCGUGGACAUGAAUGCUAUCGAGGUCUUCCAUUCUAAGAACCCGGUUCCUACUUUGCUAGCGGAUACCUACCACGCCAUUCAUGACAGGACUCUCAAGGGCCGUGGGUAUAUUCUUUGCUGCAUAUCUCUUUUGUAUAGGUGGUUUAUUUCGCACCUUCCGAGUUCCUUCCAUGACAACUCGGAGAACUGGUCCUACUCGCAGCGGAUUAUGGCCCUCACUCCUAAUGAGGUCGUCUGGCUCACUCCCGCCGCUCAAGUCAAGGAGAUUAUUACUGGUUGUGGAGACUUUCUCAAUGUACCUCUUCUUGGUACUCGUGGAGGGAUUAACUACAACCCCGAGCUUGCUAUGAGACAGUUUGGUUUCCCUAUGAAGUCGAAGCCCAUCAAUCUUGCUACAUCUCCAGAGUUCUUCUUCUACACGAAUGCUCCUACCGAACAAAGGAAAGCUUUCAUGGAUGCUUGGUCCAAGGUUCGAAGGAAGAGUGUGAAGCAUCUAGGUGUGAGAUCCGGUGUUGCUCAUGAGGCCUAUACUCAGUGGGUGAUAGAUCGAGCUGAGGAGAUUGGUAUGCCUUAUCCAGCUAUGAGAUACGUGUCUUCAUCUGCCCCAUCUAUGCCUCUACCUCUACUCCCCACGACUCAGGAUAUGUAUCAGGAGCAUCUAACUAUGGAGAGUCGUGAGAAGCAAGUGUGGAAAGCUCGGUACAAUCAAGCUGAGAAUCUAAUCAUGACUUUGGAUGGUAGAGAUGAGCAGAAGACUCAUGAGAACCUGAUGUUGAAGAAGGAGCUAGCUAAGGUCCGGAGGGAAUUGGAAGAGAAAGACGAGCUGCUUAUGAGGGAUUCCAAGAGAGCCAGAGGACGACGAGACUUCUUUGCCAGAUACUGUGAUUCAGAUUCCGAGUCCGAUGAUUCUCCGACUACUUCCUAUGCUUGAGGGCUUCAUUUGUUUAUCUUGCUGAAAUUUCGAAGUCUUCCUUUUGAAAAUACUAUGUAGUUUUGAUUAUUUGCAAGAUUUCUAAUUUGUUUAAAAAUCCUUCGAUGAAAAAAGAAGUCUUUUGCAUUUGCAUUUGCAUAUCAUGCAUCAUAUGCAUCAUGCAUUGGUCACAAAGGCUUCCAAGUACUCACUACCUCCUGGUUCCUCUGCCACAGUUUGAAAAGUGGCUCGUGCUCAGAAGGUCUACGAACCUGACAGAAUCGAUCGAACCAGAGAAUACAGAAGAAGGAAAAAGGCUAUGGAAGAAGAGAACGCUCAGCUCCGUACCGAGUUAGCCACUCUAAGGGAGGAAUUGGCUAAAGCUAAUGAUGUCAUGACUGCUCUGCUAGCCGCUCAAGAACAAUCAGCUACGGCUAUCCCUAUAGCCACAGCUGUACCGGUGACUACAAGCGUGCUCCCAACCACAUCUGCAGACGCUCGCUUUGCUCUGCCAGCUGGGUUUCCGUAUGGGCUUCCACCGUUCUUCACUCCCAGUACUGCAGCGGGCACUUCGGGCACUGCUAACAAUGUUCUGAUCCCUGCAACAAAUGCUGCCUCCAUCAAUGCUACUUUGCCACAAACAACGGCAGCUGUCACUGAGCCUCUUGUGCAUACCCUGCCUCAAGGUAUUAACAUCAACACACAGCACGGAAACAUCCCCGUGACCAAGACCAUGGAAGAGAUGAUGGAGGAACUUGCUAAAGAACUCCGUCAUGAGAUCAAAGCCAAUCGAGGGAAUGCGGACUCUUUCAAAACUCAAGAUCUCUGCUUGGUGUCAAAAGUGGAUGUCCCUAAGAAGUUCAAAAUCCCGGAUUUCGACCGGUACAACGGGCUAACUUGUCCACAAAACCACAUCAUCAAAUACGUCCGAAAGAUGGGCAAUUACAAAGACAAUGAUUCCCUUAUGAUCCACUGCUUUCAGGAUAGUUUGAUGGAAGAUGCCGCAGAGUGGUAUACUAGUUUGAGCAAAAAUGAUAUCCAUACCUUCGAUGAAUUAGCCGCUGCUUUCAAGAGCAACUACGGGUUUAACACUCGAUUGAAGCCGAACAGGGAAUUCCUCAGAUCUCUCUCCCAGAAGAAGGAGGAAAGCUUCCGUGAAUACGCACAAAGAUGGAGGGGGGCAGCUGCCCGCAUUACUCCCGCUCUUGAUGAAGAAGAAAUGACCCAGACAUUCUUAAAGACCUUGAAGAAGGAUUAUGUUGAGAGAAUGAUCAUAGGUGCCCCGAAUAACUUUUCGGAGAUGGUCACCAUGGGAACCCGUCUGGAGGAAGCCGUCAGGGAUGGAAUCAUUGUGUUCGAGAAAGCUGAAUCCUCUGUGAAUGCAUCGAAGAGGUAUGGUAAUGGACACCACAAGAAGAAAGAAACGGAAGUAGGGAUGGUGUCAGCUGGAGCCGGUCAAUCCAUGGCUACUGUUGCUCCUAUCAAUGCAGCUCAAAUGCCUCCGUCAUACCCAUAUGUGCCGUAUUCUCAGCAUCUUUUCUUUCCGCCAUUUUAUCAUCAGUACCCUCUGCCACCGGGUCAACCUCAAGUACCCGUCAAUGCAAUUGCUCAACAGAUAAAACAACAGUUGCCAGUUCAACAACAACAACAAAAUCAGCAAGCUAGACCUACUUUCCCUCCGAUACCGAUGUUAUAUGCUGAGUUGCUUCCAACUUUACUCCAUAGAGGGCAUUGUACAACCAGACAGGGCAAGCCCCCACCUGAUCCGCUGCCUCCAAGGUUCAGGUCCGACCUCAAAUGUGAUUUUCAUCAAGGCGCCCUGGGUCAUGAUGUCGAGGGGUGCUACACUUUGAAGUAUAUCGUGAAAAAUCUCAUUGAUCAAGGAAAGCUGACUUUUUAGAAUAAUGUCCCACAUGUCCUCGACAAUCCUCUUCCAAAUCAUGCCGUUGUGAAUAUGAUCGAAGUAUGUGAGGAAGCUCCUAGACUCGAUGUCCGUAACGUCGCAACUCCUCUGGUGCCUCUACACAUCAAGCUGUGCAAAGCUUCUCUGUUCAGCCAUGAUCAUGCCAAGUGCCUAGGAUGCCUUCGUAAUCCUUUGGGUUGCUACACUGUUCAAGAUGACAUCCAAAGCUUGAUGAAUGAUAAUUUUUUGACUGUCAGUGAUGUCUGCGUGAUUGUGCCAGUUUUUCACGAUCCGCCUGUCAAGAGUAUACCUUUGAAGAAGAAUGCUGAGCCUUUGGUGAUAAGGUUGCCUGGACCGGUGCCGUACACUUCAGAUAGGGCUAUCCCGUACAAAUAUAAUGCUACCAUAAUCGAAAACGGAGUAGAAGUGCCUCUGGUGUCCUUGGCUAUGUUGAACAAUACUGCCGAAGGAACUUCAGCAGCCCUAAGAAGCGGAAGAGUCCGUCCACCAUUGUUUCAAAAGAAGGCAGCUACGCCUACCGUGCCAUCCAUUGACAAGCCAACCCCGACUGAUGUUUCUCCCGUUAACAGAGACGCGAGCCAACCAGGCCGGUCUAUAGAGGAUUCUAAUCUAGACGAGAUUUUGAGGUUGAUCAAAAGAAGUGAUUAUAAGAUUGUGGAUCAGCUGUUGCAAACUCCGUCGAAGAUAUCCAUUUUAUCUCUACUCCUGAGUUCCGCUGCCCACAGAGAUACCCUUUUGAAAGUAUUGGAGCAGGCUUAUGUGGAUCAUGAAGUAACUGUGGAUUACUUUGGUAGCAUAGUGGGAAACAUUACCGCCUGCAGCAAUCUGUGAUUCAGUGAAGAUGAAUUGCCCGAAGCAGGAAAGCAUCAUAAUCUGGCCUUGCAUAUCUCCGUGAAUUGCAAGUCUGACAUGAUCUCAAAUGUGUUAGUAGACACUGGCUCAUCUUUGAACGUGAUGCCCAAGUCAACGCUGGAUCAGCUGAGUUACCGGGGAACUCCUUUGAGGAAAAACACUUUUCUAGUCAAAGCCUUUGAUGGAACCCGCAAGAGCGUUCUCGGGGAGAUAGACUUGCCAAUAACUAUCGGCCCCGAAACCUUUCUAAUCACCUUUCAGGUCAUGGAUAUUAAUGCCUCUUACAGCUGUCUCUUGGGGAGACCGUGGAUACAUGAUGCGGGGGCGGUGACCUCUACUUUGCACCAAAAGUUGAAAUUUGCAAAAAGUGGAAAGCUUGUUACCAUUCAUGGAGAGGAGGCAUACCUGGUUAGCCAGCUAUCAUCUUUCUCUUGCAUAGAGGCAGGGUCUGUAGAGGGGACCGCUUUUCAAGGAUUAACUGUCGAAGGUACGGAGCCCAAGAGGGAUGGAACUGCCAUGGCUUCUUUGAAGGAUGCACAGAGAGCCGUCCAAGAGGGUCAAGCUGCCGGCUGGGGCAGGUUAAUACAGCUUCGUGAGAACAAGCAUAAGGAAGGUCUUGGCUUUUCCCCAACUUCAGGAGUUUCCACCGGGGCAUUCUGUAGUGCUGGGUUUGUCAACGCAAUCACAGAAGAAGCAACUGGAUUUGGCCCGAGGCCUGCAUUUGUUACACCAGGAGGCUUUGCGAGAGAUUGGGAUGCCAUUGACAUUCCCUCAAUCAUGCAUGUUUCUGAGUAAUAUACCUUGUUGCUUAAGUAUCUUGUUUUUUCAAAAUAACAAUCAUCUCGCUCUGCCCAAAGCGAGAAUGAUAUUUUCUAUAAGGGCAUGUUUGUUUCGGCAUUGCCGUUGAUUAAUAAAAAAUUGUCGUUUCUUUCACGACUGCUUUUUUUUUAGUACCUUUUUUUCUUGGAAAUAAUGGUAAUGCCAGAAAAAACCAAAAUAUCUGUAUUUUCUUAUUAAUUUCAAAAAUCUGCAUAAAAAACCCUCUUUCUAAAAUCAUCCAACCAUUUUACGCAGAUUGAACUAUAAUAAACCCGUUGGGCACAGUAAUCCUGCAUUCCCUCCGAAUUUUGAGUUCCCAGUGUAUGAAGCCGAAGAUGAGGAAGGUGAUGAUAUACCAUAUGAGAUCACUCGGCUACUUGAGCAAGAAAAGAAAGCCAUUCAGCCUCACCAGGAAGAGAUUGAGCUUAUCAACAUAGGUACCGAUGAGAACAAGCGAGAAAUCAAGAUCGGUGCUGCUCUAGAGGAAGGGGUUAAAAAGAAGAUCAUCCAACUCCUCCGGGAAUAUCCGGAUAUUUUUGCAUGGUCGUAUGAAGAUAUGCCAGGUCUAGAUCCUAUGAUUGUGGAACAUCGGAUCCCCACCAAGCCUGAAUGCCCUCCCGUCAGGCAGAAAUUGAGAAGGACUCAUCCAGAUAUGGCUCUCAAGAUUAAGAGUGAGGUUCAAAAACAGAUUGAUGCGGGUUUCCUCAUGACAGUUGAGUACCCUGAAUGGGUUGCCAAUAUUGUACCUGUGCCAAAGAAGGAUGGUAAAGUCCGGAUGUGUGUUGACUUCAGAGACCUGAACAAAGCCAGUCCAAAAGACAACUUUCCAUUACCUCAUAUUGAUGUGCUUGUUGAUAAUACUGCUCAGUCUAAGGUGUUUUCCUUCAUGGACGGUUUCUCCGGUUACAAUCAGAUCAAAAUGUCUCCUGAAGAUAGAGAAAAGACGUCUUUUAUCACUCCAUGGGGUACUUUCUGCUACAAAGUGAUGCCGUUCGGCCUAAUAAAUGCUGGUGCUACCUACCAAAGAGGAAUGACUACUCUGUUUCAUGACAUGAUUCACAAAGAAGUCGAAGUAUAUGUGGAUGAUAUGAUUGUGAAGUCAACAGAUGAGGAGCAACAUGUUGAAUAUUUGACAAAGAUGUUUGAAAGGUUGAGAAAAUACAAGCUUCGAUUGAAUCCCAACAAAUGUACAUUCGGCGUCAGAUCCGGGAAGUUAUUAGGCUUCAUUGUCAGCCAAAAGGGCAUUGAAGUCGAUCCUGAUAAAGUCCGGGCCAUCCGAGAAAUGCCAGCUCCACAGACUGAGAAGCAAGUCAGAGGUUUCCUCGGGCGUUUGAAUUACAUCUCCCGAUUCAUAUCUCACAUGACCGCAACCUGCGGGCCGAUCUUCAAGCUACUCAGAAAGAAUCAGCCUAUUGUAUGGAAUGAUGAAUGCCAAGAAGCUUUUGAUAGCAUCAAGAAUUACCUGCUGAAACCACCUAUCCUUGUUCCACCCGUGGAAGGAAGGCCCUUGAUUAUGUAUUUGGCAGUAUUUGAUGAAUCCAUGGGAUGCGUACUUGGUCAACAAGAUGAGACUGGAAAGAAAGAACAUGUUAUCUACUAUCUAAGCAAGAAGUUCACCGAUUGUGAAACUCGGUAUACAAUGCUUGAGAAGACUUGUUGUGCUUUGGCCUGGGCCGCUAAACGCCUGCGUCAUUAUUUGGUGAAUCAUACAACUUGGUUGAUAUCCAGAAUGGAUCCGAUAAAGUAUAUCUUUGAGAAAGCUGCUGUUACUGGGAAGAUUGCACGCUGGCAGAUGCUUUUGUCUGAAUAUGAUAUUGUGUUCAAAACUCAAAAGGAAAUCAAAGGUAGCAUUCUUGCCGAUCAUCUUGCUUACCAACCUCUUGAUGAUUAUCAACCAAUUGAGUUCGAUUUCCCCGAUGAAGAGAUCAUGUAUUUAAAAUCAAAAGACUGCGAAGAACCGUUGAUUGAUGAAGGUCCAGAUCCCAGUAGCAAGUGGGGUUUAGUCUUUGAUGGUGCUAUCAAUGCUUAUGGUAAAGGAAUUGGGGUAGUCAUUGUAUCCCCGCAGGGGCAUCACAUUCCUUUUACCGCCCGAAUUCUGUUCGAAUGUACAAACAAUAUGGCUGAGCAUGAAGCAUGUAUCUUUGGGAUCGAGGAAGCAAUUGACAUGAGAAUCAAACACCUCGACAUCUAUGGAGAUUCUGCGCUCGUCAUCAAUCAGAUAAAAGGUGAAUGGGAGACUCACCAUGCUAAGUUGAUUCCUAUCGCGAUUAUGCGAGACGUCUGCUGACAUAUUUUACAAAGGUUGAGUUGCACCAUAUUCCUCGUGAUGAGAACCAAAUGGCUGAUGCUCUUGCUACUCUAUCUUCCAUGUUUCGAGUAAACCAUUGGAAUGAUGUGCCAUUAAUCAAAGUGAAACGCCUUGAAAGACCUUCACAUGUGUUUGCUAUUGGGGAUGUGAUCGAUCAGGCUGGUGAAAAUGUGGUUGACUAUAAACCCUGGUACUACGACAUCAAACAGUUCUUGCUGAGCCGUGAGUAUCCGCUGGGUGCUUCCAAACAAGACAAGAAGACCUUGAGAAGAUUGGCCAGUAGAUUCCUGUUAGAUGGAGAUAUUCUGUACAAGAGAAACUAUGACAUGGUAUUGUUAAGAUGUGUUGAUGAACAUGAAGCGGAGCAGUUAAUGCAUGAUGUACAUGACGGUACCUUCGGGACCCAUGCUACAGGGCAUACUAUGUCAAGGAAGUUGUUACGAGGAGGUUACUACUGGAUGGCCAUGGAGCAUGAUUGCUACCAGCAUGCCAGAAAGUGCCACAAAUGUCAAAUCUAUGCUGAUAAGAUUCAUGUGCCUCCGCACGCUCUCAAUGUUAUUUCAUCCCCAUGGCCGUUCUCAAUGUGGGGCAUCGACAUGAUUGGAAGAAUUGAACCGAAGGCUUCAAAUGGUCAUCGUUUCAUCUUAGUGGCAAUUGACUACUUCACCAAGUGGGUUGAAGCAGCAUCUUAUACCAAUGUGACCAAGCAAGUGGUAGCUAAGUUCAUCAAGAACAACAUCAUCUGUCGAUAUGGUGUUCCCAGCAAGAUUAUUACCGACAAUGGUACCAACCUGAACAACAAUGUGGUGCAAGCUCUUUGUGAAGAAUUCAAGAUUGAGCAUCAUAACUCUUCUCCGUAUAGACCUCAGAUGAAUGGUGCAGUUGAGGCCGCCAACAAGAAUAUCAAGAGAAUUGUCCAGAAGAUGGUAACCACUUACAAGGACUGGCAUGAGAUGUUACCUUAUGCUCUGCAUGGUUACCGUACUACAGUGCGCAGUUCAACCGGGGCAACCCCUUCCUCUCUUGUAUAUGGUAUGGAAGCAGUUCUCCCUUUGGAAGUGGAGAUCCCAUCUCUCCGUGUGAUCAUGGAAGCAAAGUUAUCUGAGGCUGAAUGGUGCCAAAGCCGGUAUGAUCAGUUGAAUUUGAUUGAGGAAAAACGUAUGGAUGCCAUGGCUCGUGGAUAGUCAUAUCAAGCAAGAAUGAAGACUGCUUUUGACAAGAAAGUCCAUCCUCGAGAAUUCAAGGUAGGGGAGCUCGUAUUGAAAAGGAGGGUAAGCCAGCAACCCGACCCAAGGGGCAAGUGGACGCCUAACUAUGAAGGUCCUUAUGUUGUCAAGAAGGCCUUCUCCGGUGGUGCUUUAAUCCUUACACACAUGGAUGGCGUAGAACUUCCAAAUCCAGUGAAUGCCGAUAUAGUCAAGAAAUACUUUGCCUAGAAAUGUGAAAAGAACAGCGUGGUAGGUCGAAAACCUGAAAGGGCGGCCUAGGCAAAAAUGCGCUUCCCGGUGGAUCGAAAACCCGAAAGGGCGGUCCAGGCAAAAAUAAGGGACAAAAAAAAUAUAUCUAUAUGAAAAAGCUCGCUGAGAUUGCACGCAACUCAGGCAAGAAUGAGCGUCUCGAUGAAUCGAAAACCCGGAAGGGCGGUUCAUGCAAAAAUGGGAUUGAAACAAAAGGCAAGUAACUAUAUCUGGCUAACCACCGUCCCCCUUGGGGCAUCUGCAGCUGUUAAUGACUAUCUUCAUCAAAAGCUCCUACGCUUGCAAAUUCAAAGUUUCUAGGAAAUGUGAUGAUUACUGUGUUCAAUGUACCACCAACCAAUAAAAUUACCAUUUUCCAAGCUUUGUAAAUCCGUGGAGUCACGCCUUCGGCUGACCACCACUCUUAUACAUCAAUUUGAGCUUGUGCUUUUGUUUGAAACUCUGCUUUCUUUUUACUUUCAAAGCUAUAUACAAAACAUUUUCUUUCUAUUUUUAAUAAUGACAAAUGCUCGAAACAAACAUCUUGAAAAUUGAAAAAGUUUUUUUGAAAAGCAAACCUGAGCAACAGGGUACAUUCAAAUGAACAUGCAUGAGCGAGUGUGUGUUGGUGUCUAUUUCAAUAUAUGUUACAAGCAGGCUCUUCCCCAGGAUGGUCUGUGGUCAAUGGCAAGAAUGGAAAAAACAGAAUGAAAAUGCAUGAAAAUGAAUAGGCUCGCUAAGUUGAAAACCCGAAAGGGCGGCUUAGGCAAAAAUGAGCACCCUGCUGGAUUGACAACCCGAAAGGGCAGUUCAGGCAAAAAUGGGGCAUUAAAAAUUUAUUUCCCCGGUGGAUCGAAAACCCGAAAGGGCGAUCCAGGUAAAAAUGGGAUGCAAAAAAUGAAUGAAUGAAAAUUGAGAAAAUAACAUGCAAAAAGCAUUGACCACAGAUGCGACGUCCACGAUACAUCCGGCAUUAUUCCCAGUAGAGUCUCCCAAGAUUCUAUCCCCAGCAAGUUGCAUAGCUACCUGCCCUCAGCCAUGGUUCCGACACGUCUCCCAACGACGUCAUCUCCAAAGAGGAUUUCCAAGAAUGUGUAAUAUAGCACGAGCCACUACGUGCCCAAUACUCCAAUGUCUUGUCUGUCUCUGCGAAACUGUGUCUACAAAUCGCCAACAGUCAUGCAUUACAAGCAUUCAUACAUACAUAAUCAUGCAUAUUACGUGCCCAUGCAUUUAAUGAAAUUGUUAUAUCAUUCAUGCAUGUUGCAUUUCCAAUGUCAACAUCAGUCUCAAUUCAAUACUCAUGUCGGGUUCUCUGUCAAAACCUUGUGAGCCUAUAAUAUUGGUCAAUUUCUACCUUUCAAAUCAAAUCGACGCCAAGUCAAUUUCAACCUAUGUUGUCAAAAAAACUAAUCCCCUGUGAAUUUGUUUCUGUUCGGUCAAGUGACUAGUUCAAGUCCAAGAACAGCUUGUACCUAUCAUUUUGCUUAUGUUAUCGGUCGAGUGCCCAGCUUAAUCCAAGAGCAGCUUGUACCUGUCAAUAUGUUUCUGUUUGGUCAAGUUACCAGUUCGCAUCCAAGAACGACUUGUACCCGUUUACUUUUCAAUGUUAUCGGUCGAGUUACCAGUUCGAAUCCAAGAACAGCUCGUACCUGUCUAUGUGUCUAUGAUUUUGGUCAAGUGGCUAGUUCAAGUCCAAGAACAGCUUGUACCCGUCUAUCUGUUUCUGUUCGCUCAAGUGGUUAGCUCGAUCCAAGAGCAGCUUGCACCUGUCUAUUUUGUCUUUGUCUCCGGUGGAGUAACCAGUUCACAUCCAAGAACAAGCUCGCACCUGUCUAUUUGCCUUGCUUUCAGUCGAGUGACUAGUUCAAAUCAAGAACAACUCGUACUUGUCUAUUUGCCUUUGCUUUCAGUCGAGUGACCAGUUCGAAUCAAGAACAACUCGUACCUGUCUACCUUUUCUAUGUCCCCGGUCGAGUGACCAGUUCGAAUCCAAGAACAACUCGCACCUGUUUGUCUGCUUUUAUCCCCGGUCAAGUGCCCAGCUCAAUCCAAGAGCAGCUUGUACCCGUCAAUUUGUUCCUAGUCUCCUAUCUACCCUGUUAUCUGUUAACUUACCAAUGUCUACCAAUCCCGCAAUGGAUACGACAUCUUUUGUUAAUUCCAGCUUUCGUUUGUCUCGCACUCAUAAUCCAAAUGUUGCAUGGCAUUCAUGAUAUUUGAAAAUGUACAAGCGUAUUUUUACGUCCAAACACAGUGCAAAUGUUAAUAUUUAAGUAUCUUCGUCACGUCAAGCCAAAGACUCCGUCUCUUGACCCUCCAGACAAAGAAACUUAAAUAGGGGCAGCUGUUAUACCCUGAUUUUGGACCUAAAAAUACUCGUUUCAAAUUUCUUUUUUAACACUAAUAUUUGUCAAUUCUCUGUUAUUUUACUCUGAAUCUUUACUCUCUUUUUAAACGUAUUAUACUGCCUCUGUCUUUUCUGACAUUACAAGUCAUUUAAGAACUCUCUGAAAUGUCGCGUUACUUUUCUUGCACUUUAUUUCAAAAAAUCAUACAAAAGGGUAUUUUGGUCAUUUCCUGCAGUGGAACCCAUUUUUGUCCCUGUAUUUGUCUCUAAGUCUCUUCAACUUGUCUGUACAAAUCAUCGUUGAUUCUUUGUUAAAAAUCAUUUCAAAAUCGCAUCUGAGUCAAUUUGGGUCAGUUUAGUCCCUAGGGGCAUUUUGGUCUUUUCCUGUCAAAAUUUUGACAGGGAGGUAUUUUGAAAUACCUCAUGUCAGUAUUUGGUUCGUUUUAGUCCUUUUGUUGAUUUUAUUUUAGGUUUCACUUUACGUUUUGUCAGGUUACCCAUUUUAUUCCAAUUUUAUUUUUAUUUUUAUUUUGCAUUUUGGUCCUCAAAGAAGUCCAAAAUUGCUUUUCAGUCCAGAACUUUUUAUUUUACAUUUCAGUCCUUUUUGGUUAAUUGCAGUUUAGUCCUUAAGUUUUUGUUUUUGCAGAAAGGUCCCAAAUUCAUUUCAAGUCCAAGGCCGUGCCAUUUUCAUACAAGUCCAGGUGUCACCUUUUCAUUGGGUCUCAAGUACACAUGUCAGAUUAUAAAUAGUGCACAGUGCCACACAAAGCCAUUAAUCACACGCCAACUCAACAAACACAAUCAAGCUUUCUCUCUCCUUUCUGUUAGGAUCAAAAGAUCAAAAAUUCCCAAGAACACGAAGAACAUAAACCCUAAUUUUCUGCAGAAAUCAUAGAAAUUCAUCAGAAAUCAACGAAUUUCACAUCAAUCCUCAGAGAUUCGUAUGAACCUUCAUCACUGGAUUGGAGAUUUCCCUACAAUUCCAAGUGCGAGCUCACAUUGAAGCAAGCUCAAGCACUGAUCACAGGAAUUCUCACGUGGAUCUAAGAAGCAAGAAGCAAGCUCAAGCACGUAAUCACAUAGAAAGAAUCGGAGAAGAUGAAGAAACCAAGCCAGUAAACCGAUUUAUUUUCGGUUCAAAAAGCAACCAGAAAUCAUCAAGAACAAAUCGAAGUUUUCCGAAGAAACUCAGCAGAAUCUCCAUUAAAACUCAGGUAAAACUCAUUUUUUCUCUUUAAUGGCGUUAAUCAUAGUUGAACCUGCAUGCAAACGAACAAACCAGAUCUAAAAAGUUUCCAGAACAGAAAACGAACUGAACCGUAUGCGUAAGAUCUAGAUCCAUAAGGACUUAGACUUUGCAAGCAAGAACAAGCACCAGAGAAGUAACAAACACGAAACGAUGUAGAUCCUUAAGAGUUUGAACGUACUCAUUCAAAACCCUAAAAAAAAAAAAAUUUCAAAACCGUAUGAAAAUUCUCCGAUCUACGUCGUUUCAGGCUUUGUUUGUGAAAAUCAAUGUCAGAUUCGUGUUUAGGGUUUAAAAACGAACAAGAAAAUGUAAAAAAAUUUGAAUUCUGGGUGUUUUGCUCGUCGGAACCCUAACUUCUCACCGGAGAAGAUGAAGUUUCCGGUGGAACCUUCAUCUUCUCCGGCCAACAACCACCGGAGAAGGGAGGAGAGAGGUGAGAGGUCUGAGAGAAGAGAGAGGUUUAGAGAGAGAGAGAGAUGAAAGAAAUGAAUUGGACCGGUGUCCAUAUGCUUAUAUAGACGCCUGAAUCGGUCCGGUUCAUUUUGUUUUCAUCCUGGACCGUAGGAUUUAGGGUUUUGUUAUUUGAAUGGCUGUGAUGCUUUGUUCCAUGUGCUUGAUCUGUGUUACCAUGCGCUGCUUGUUUUGAACCGUCAGAUCUAGGUCUGGAUCAAUCUAACGCCUCUGAGGCCUUUGGAUGAUCCAGGCCCAGUCUGCAUUGGGUUUUUGGUUGGGCUUAAGGUUCCUUUUACGUUUUUACCUUUUUCUUGCUAUCUGUACCCCUACUUUUUGCUAUCUGAACCUGUUUCUUGCUCACAUAUUUUUACAAAAAUUCCUAAAAAUCCUAGGUGUUUCUUGAUACAUUUUUGGUAUUUUUAUGGUGUUUUGCAUGUAAAAAAAAAUGGUAAAAUGGCAUGAAUUAAUUCCCAUGUGUUUUUACAUUUUUGGUAUUCUUUUGGUUAUGUUUUUUUGUUCUUGACACUUUGAUAUGUGACAUGGAUGAUUGAUAUACAAUAUUGUGAUGAAUAUGCCUCUGAUCAUGUGUCCUUUUUGCUGUUUUUGGAUAUGAUUUUGUAAAUUUCUUGUUUUGCAAACAAUAAGUGUUUGUCUUAAGGAAUAAAGUGUCAAAUUUCUCUAUGAAUUUGGUGUGAUACUUUGCUUGCAUAUGUCUCUAUUAAUUUCAUGUCAUGGCUUGAAACAAAAUCUCUUUCAAAAUUGCCAUGAUGUGAGAAUUAUGGGUCACAAGCACAUUUAGGUAUCAUAUCAAAUUUUUUAGGUUUUUACCACUUUAUUACUUUCCUUUUUUGCCAUUCUUAUGCAAUUUCUUUUUGUUUAUUUCCUACUAUUUUGUGCCUUAUGAUUACUAACCGUUUCAUUUCAUGUGCCAUACAUUUCAUAAGCAUUUCACAAUUCCAUUCCUAUUCCUCAUAGUUUAGGGUUUAUUUCUUUUAUUUCAAUGUUACUUUGGCAUGUAAUAUUUUAGAUAGUUUUAAUUUCUUUUAAGAUUUUUGCAAGACCAUAGAAUGUAUCUAGGACAAUGUAAAGGACUAUGGACUCUCUAAUAAUGUACACCGACACAAACACCGACACUCGCACACACGUUGCAUGAUUAUCGAUUUAGGUGUAUGUUUAGGAAUUCGACGCCUAGUGAAAUUUCUCCUUCGAAAUAGGCUAAAUUUUCCAAACAAACUUUGGAGUCAAAACUCCAAUGCCUUUUUGUGAAAUAAAAAUAAAGAUCAAAUUCGAUAUUUUUCUUCUAUGCCUUACGGCUUCUCUCCUCCUUUUCAAAAAUCAUUUUCCAAGUAAAAUAAAAACCUCAAUCAUCUUCUCCCCUCAUUCUUCACUCAAAUAAAAUAUCUUCUUUUCAAUAAGUAGGCAAUAAAAAAUAAAGCGUAGAAAUAAGCUUAGGAGAACGGUUCUUAUGGAGUACCAUAAUCGCUCCGGGUGCCUAACACCUUCCCGUAGCGAAAACAACCCCCGAACUUAGAAUCUAAGGGUUUUUUCUCAAUUUUGCCCUUCCCAAAAAAAUAGAGAAUAUCAAAGAUUGAAAGGUUCAAGCCAAAUUAAUGACUUGACACCCGAAAAUCGCGAUAACAACUUGCAUUAAUCCUCAUUCCAUCUUCCUUGCCUAAGCUUCUGUUUUUUCAGUAUCUGAAUCGAUUCAAUAUGUUGUUUUGGUGCGAAAAUUGUGUCCAUUUUUCCCUUACUAUAUAUAAUCUCCUCUUUCCACAACUUCAAAAUUAUUGAAUCAUUUGCAUCUAUUCUCUCUAGGUCUCAAAAACCCAUUGCUCAUACAUUCUUCAAGAUUAAACACUUUUUCUUAGAAUCACUUUGUCUUUGAGUGUGUAGAUUCUCUAGGGUGCUAGUAGGAAUUGUAAGUUGGUUCUCUCAAGAAGAUUGAUUGGGCUUAAUCAAGGCUUCAAAGGAAGUGAAUAAUCUCAUUCCACUUCCAAAGGACUUAGGGGUCUUUCUAACCGUUCUUGAUAUCGAAGGGGGUUCUUUUACCGGACGUAGCAUUGAAGACUCGAGUGAAGAGAUCGAAGGAGUGCACGGGUAAUUCAAGGAUCCGAAGAUUCAAGGAGCACCAAAUUCAAGGGGUACUUGAAGUUUGGGGGAGGUUUAUUUUACAUUGGAGGUGAAGAAUUAGUGCUUUAAUUUGAAGUAACUACUAUAAACAUUGGUGUUCUCUCUCUCUCUCUCUCUCUCUACUUUUGAUAUAGCACUUGCUUAUUUGAAUAAUUGAUUAGUGAAUUGCUAGUUUUGAUCUAAGUAGUAUUUUCUCAAUAGAUUAAUCUAAAUCCUUUUGAUUUAGGUUAAAACAACUUCAUAUUGGAUCAAUUAAUUGCAAUACCAAUUCAAUUAAUCAAAUUCAUGUGUUUUGUGUUUUCAAUUGAUAAUUAGGUUUAUUGUCAUAUAGAUUUGGUUUGAAAUUGUAUAUUGUUUUGUAUCUUGUUUAAGGAUUGUUAAUAAUUGAUUGUGACAAAAGAUUUGUAUCGUGAAUCUCUUAAUCUAAGAUAAAAUUUUAUUCAACAUAUAUUUGACAUUUGUUAAUUCAUUGUUUGUGAUUGUUCAAGCAAAUUUCAAUAAAACUUGUUUUUAUCAAAUCUCCAUAAAAGUUUUUUAAAAGCGUUGUUCUUAUAAAAUUUUAUUCCACAUAAAGUUUGUUAAUCCCAUGGUAGCAGCACUACUUCGCCUUGUCGGUUCUUGCCGAUUAUUUAAGCAAUUGUGGUUUGUUUGCAAUCAAUUUCUCUAUAACCAGAAAUUCUUGUAAUGUUGUUUUAAUUCUUGUUUUCGGCUAGAUAGGUUGUUCAUAAGUAGUGAAAAUUCACCAUGGAAGAUAUGGAGUGGUUACUACAAGCAAAUAAUGAUGAAAUAAAACUAAGUUCAUCUUUUGUUGCUCAAAUCACAUGGCAGAGAAGCUGAGAUCCCAGUUCUCGAUGCAUUUGAAAACAUCAAAGUCUACCAAAUCUCACAAUGGUGAUACAUUCAAAAAUAAGAUAAGACACAAUUCAGUUAUAAUAUUAUUUAGUGCCUAAUUUCAUUUUAUUAUCAACAUCUUUGAGUGUAGAGUCAUAGUUUCAACAUCCAUGAAGUUGUAAAAAGAAAAAAAAUAAAAGAUACAAUUAUUGGAUGCUACUAAAAAGAUUAAAUGGCAACUCACGGUAUAACUAUAAGGUAUGUUGCAUAGAUUUUUUGCUAGUGCAAGAACUCACUCCUCCUUGCAUGGCGUUUGUGUACCCUCUUCGGCGAGAUACUUAUAUCCAAUCAAAAGGAAACGGAAUCCUCGUAAACACUAUACAUUUGUUGUAAAUGCACUUAUAAAGUAAAGGAUACAAAUCCUUUGGACAAUCAGCCACAUCUAUACAGAAAAUUUUUACUGCAAUGAAAGAAGAGAAUAAAAUAAUGUUACUAAAAUGAUAUAAAAUUUUAUGUAUGAAGUACAAAUUAAAGAAGGAAAUUUGAAAAUGGUUUUAAAAAAAAUGCUUGCUAUAAUCAACCCCGUUGGCAACAAGAAACAGGGAAAGAAAUAAAAUCAUAGAAUAAACAAACUUGAGAGUUCUAGCCAUAUUUUUCUUUGUUGUACCAAAUAGAAUAUGAUUUAGUCAAUUUAUAGUGUAUUAAGGUCAUGUAAUAUUGUUGUGUGUUUGUAUUGAACACUUAAGUAGAUGAAUAUGUUGUGUUUACCCUUUUAUCACACGAAGUAAAGGAGUAACACUAAAAAAAAGAUAAAAAAAAAUAUUGUAUAUAUAUAACACUUAAGUAGAUGAUUAUGUUGUGUUUGUCCCUUUAUCACACUUAGUAAAGGGGUAACAAAAAAGAAGGAAAUUUGAAAAUGGUUUUAAAAUAAGGGUUAAUUAAGUUUUUGGUCCCUAUAAAUAUCUGCAGUUUUGUAUUUAGUCUCUAUAAAAAUAAAUCACACUUUUUAGUCCCUGCAAAAUUUUCUGUUAGUGUUUUUAGUCCCUUUAAAUUAAAAUUUGUUUAAUUACGCUUAAACUUCUAAAUUUUUGAAAGAUUUUUUACAUACAUGUUCAUAACAUCGUAAGACACUCUUUUAUAAUUUUUUUUAGUUUUUUAACGUGUAAUGAAUUAAAUAUGAAUAUUUCUAAAAAUCAUAUUUUUCAAGAUUAUAUUAAUGAAAAUUUGGACCUAAUAAUAAAAUUUUAAGUUACUUUUUUGCGGAGGAACUUUGUAUAAUAUUCUAAAUAAGUAUGUGAAAAAUAUGUUACAAAUUUAAAAGUUUAAGCACAAUUAAGCAAAUUUUAAUUUUACAAGAACAAAAAGUAUGUGUUGGUCCCUAUUAAAUUGAAAUUUGUUUAAUUAUACUUAAACUUUUAUAUUUUUAACAGACAUGUUAAGAACAUUAUAAUAAUCUCUUUUAUAAAAAAUUAGAAUUUUUUAACAUCUAAUGAAUUAAAUAUAUAUUUUUUAAAACGCCAAAAAUUCAAAAUAAAACUAACAAAAUUUUGAACUUAAAAAUAAAAUUUUGAGCUAAUUUAUUAUGGCGGAACAUGUUAUAAUGUUUUAAACAAGUAUGUAAAAAAUCAUUAAAAAAUUUAAAAUUUUAAGCAUAAUUAAACAAAUUUUAAAUUAACAGGGACUAAAAACACUAAUGGAAAAUUUUGUAGGGACUAAAAAGUGUGAUUUAUUUUUAUAUGGACUAAAAAUAAAACUGCAUAUAUUUAUAGAGACCAAAAACUUAAUUAACCCUUAAAAAAAAAUGCUUACUGUCAUCCCCCUUGGCAACAUAAAAUAGGAAAAGAAAUAAAAUCAUAGCAUAAACAAACUUGCCCCUUUAUCACACGAAGUAAAAGGUUAACAUUAAAAAAAUUGAUAAUCAUUAUAACUUAUUUUAUUUUAUUUUUAUAACUUUUCAACCUUUCAUGAUAGAAAGGGGUAAAAAAAAGAUAAAAAAAAUUGUGUGUAUAUAUAUAUAUAUAUAUAUAUAUAUAACACUUAAGUAGAUGAAUAUGUUGUGUUUGUUCCUUUAUCACACUUAGUAAAGAGGUAACGAAAAAAAAUUGGUAAUCAUUAUAACGUACUUUUUUUUUAAACUUUUCAACCUUUCAUGAGAGAAAAUGGUAAAAAAAACAAGAAUUUAAAAUUGUUCAACCACGAUGAAUUUAUUUGUACAAAUAAUGCACCAUCAACAUGACAACAUAAUUAUGCAUUAGUUGAACAGUUUGUAGGAUAUUUUCUUAUAAAAUUAUUUGAUCAUAUGUAAUUAGUAUCAUAUUUUUGUUGUUGCAUGCUUUUUUCUGACAUUAUUAUUCAUGUCAUUUCAUUAGGGACACCAAAGCCCGCCCAUCCGUUUAGGCCCACCCUGCUUAAGUUGUUAAUCUUAAUAAGUUGUAAACUUCUCAUCCCACAAUUAAUAGCGAAACACUCUACCUGGACAAAUUUGUAGAUAACUAAUAGCAUACACCAAGUAAGGUAAACUUUAUUAUGAUGCAAAAUUUAUGGUAUCAUGUCUUGUACACUUAUGAUAACCAUUAUUGAAUUUUCAAAUGCUACAUGGUGUAUAUAAUCAAGUAUUAUAAAAUGCAAAAGUUGAAUGACAGAUAUAUAAUGGCAAAAGAUCCGAACACAUUUCCUUGAUGUCCAAAAUAGAUAGCAUUGGUUCAGGACCAUUUCAUCAUAUUGAGUAGUGAGCAUUACAGAACCCUUAAAAUAAAAAGUGCUCAUUAGAACAUGAUAUUAAGUUUAAGACUUACGUAUUCUACAUCCAUCUCAACCAUGUAUAUACGAUACUUAACACGAAGCUUAUUGAUCUUCCUCUCCAUAGCAUUAGUUGGGGUAGGGAUCAAAGGUGCUGCACAAAACAUGAAAUGGUUAAUAGCUAGAAAGAUGACAAACAAUUAAUGGCAAUGAUUAAAGAACGAUGAAAUAUAAUGGUUUGACAUAAAAAAAAUUAAAGAAAUCAGAAGUAAAAAAAUUCACCAAUUAACAUAUGAUAGAAGAACAUUGCCUGAAAGUUAUGGUGGUGAGCCAUCACUGGAUACAAAAACGGCAACUCCAUAACUGAAAGCUUGAAUAUAUAUAGUGGGUGCAACCUUUGAUAUGAAACCACAAAACCUUGGAAAAUUGAAAGGAAUUCAAUAUCGGUUGGGAAUCCAAUAGUUGGGGGCGUUUUGAUUAGUAUAACCGCCAUUUAAUUUUUGUUGUGAAUCUAAUCAGAAAGGCAUACUCAGCAGAUUUUGUAUCACGUCUUGGGAAUUGUGAUAGCAAUAACUACGUAUGCCAAAAUAAAAGGGAAGUCAAGUUAAGCGGUUCCAAAAAAAAAAGGAACACCAAGGCGCCAAAAGAAGUAGAAAUAGAAAGAUUAUGUUUAUUGGGAAUAGAUGGAAUGGGUGGAGAUCAACACAGAUGCAUCCAAUGGCCAUAACAGUUUGGAGCCAAAACCAUUAGAAUUAGGGUUGGCACAAUUUGUUAGCAAUGUUAUUCAUAUUAGAAAUAAGUAUGAUGUACUUCAAAUUCUUGGAUGUCUUUUCCUAUGUUUCUUUAUGGAAUGUCUAUAUCAAAUUUUAUGUGUUUUGAAAGACAAAUUUAAGAUACAAGAGUUUCUAUAAGUUUAGAUGACCAUUUUAUUGUUUUUAUUUUCUUUCUAGGUUCGCCUUUAAAAAUUGUGAUAAUUUACGCAACAUCAACUAAAAUUGGAAACAUAGAGUUCACAAAUAUAUAAGGUAUUUACCCACAAGCAAGGAUAGAAAUACUACAGUUGGCUAGUCUGAUUGACCCCACUUCCAAAACGUGGAAUUAGGACAUUAUCACGAGUAGUAACAAUUGAAGCUAUACUAAAAAACCACCCGUUCAACAAGUUACCGACGAUAGGUUGGUGUGGAAGGCGGAGAAAAAUGGACAUUACUCGGUUAAGAGUGCUUAUCGACUAUGUAUUAACGAUUUGUCAAGUUAGGGUAUGAGCUUUAGUGAUUUGUGAACUUGAUAAGAUCUAGAAUGACCCUGAUCCAGGUAUUUAUAGUGGGUGUGACCUAGAGGAAGGCACAAUGACUUCCCGGUUCAUCUCGGACAUGGGCUGCCAACUUCCUCCUUUUCAGGGAUUGUGGACAGUGACGUCUUAUGAGCCCUUUGUCUGUUUCUCCAACUCCUUUGUGAUUGAGUCAAUACCCCAUGUGUUCCUUAGGGGGAUUUAACAUAAGUGUAUCGUGCGAUUGAACCCUUUCUCGGGCCAGUGCUACUAUGCCGAGAACGUGACUAAUCCACUCUAUGUUACACUAUGCUUCCCACGUGACUUUUGAUCAUCAACUUAAUUUAUUAUGACGGUACACAACCCUGCAAUCACGAGGCCUAUAAGGACAAAGUGGUUUGAAUGACAAUUUAUUAUAAUGGCUUUACAUUUCUCACCCUGCGUUUCUCACGUGCCCUAUUUCCUUUUUCAAAAUACCCUUUGCUCGAUUAUAUACUUUGAACACCUUUUUUCAUAUUAUAUAAUAGAACUAUUCUCUGGUUUUUCCAAAAACUUGUAAAUAUAUGGUUCAAAAACUAUAAUCUGAAAACUUUCAUAACAUUUCAGGAAAAAUAUAACCCAAAACAUCAAACACCUCAUUUUGAGGCGAACUAUAGUGUACAUAUUGACGCAUUUUGGAUUAUAUUUGCUGAACUAUUAAUAAAUAGUUCAGAUUACAUAAUCCGAACUAUGUCAGGUCAGAAACAGACCCCGUGUUGUUAAAAUGGACACCCUUUUUUGUUAAAUUUAGGCAACAAUAUUGAUUUGAACAUGCAUCAAAACAAAUGAUAUACAAAAAAAAGGAAACACACAUGAAACAACAAAAAUACAUUAAAAACUUAAAUCAUCGGAAUAUUACAUCAACAAAUUCAAACAUACAUAAAAAACUGAAAUUAUCUAAAUGUCACAUUAACAUCAGAAAAUCAGAUAACUACUAGGUAGAAGCACCACCCCUACCACUCGUACACCUUUGACGGUAAGUCAUCUCACCCUGAGCCUCUUUCAAAAUCAAAUCCAAACUAAGCUAAGUUGGACUUCCCUGCUCCAUCUGACCACUGACCAUGAUAGUUCUGGAAGUCUCUGAUGUGUCCUAACUGUCCACUAAAGUCUAGUGGAUGGUUGCUUCAGGUUGCUCAGAAGCAACCUCAUCAAGAGCCUCCUACUCAGGUGGCCUCGAGAUAUGACCAUUAUCCAGAGAUGGUAUCAUGUAUGGAUGUGAAAUGUUUAAAUAAGAUCUCAUGUACCCAACAAUCGUCAUCGCAGUACCAAAUCCUGCAGUCUCAACAUAUGAUCAAGAUAAUGCAAGAAGCGGUGAUUGGCCUCAUGUCGGGUUGUCAUGGGAGGUGAAAAAUAAUGUGCAUGUCUAAAGAUGACCUCGACGUGACAAAACUAGAGCGCCACCCUCUCCGUCAGAUAUCAGACCAUAUGAGGUUUGUCUCUGAGCCAUCUAGAGCAAAGACUGAUUCUCUCAAACAGACGUAUUUGGAGGUGUUGCUGAUUUGAGUCCAUGACAACAGAACUAAGAUUCAUGUGAUGCAUAUGCGAUCCUAUAUGAUCUGUCACAGCCUGACCCUUUGGGGAAACAAACAUCGCGGCACGGGGUGGCGAUCCUCCCUAUAUCUACCCCAGAAAUCCCUAGCCUUGACAGACUUAAAGAGCUAAAAUAUCCAAGCCUACAUCAAUAUAUACCUAUCAAUAGAAAGCACAUAGAAAAAAAAAACAAGUUUAACAGUUAACUAAAUAAGAAUUUCGUUAUUAUACAUGAAAGAUGGUCAAUAUCCUGCCAACUCUGAAGUCUUAUAAUGACAUCCACUAUUAAGAUCCCUAUUGAGGUGAGCAAGGGCAACCUAUCCCCACGCAUAAUCAGCGACCAACUCAAGGUCACGGAAGUACCUGAGGUAUCUCACGUCAACAUAGUUGGCGCUCAUGUAUGUGAAGAGUAUUACACCCAGCAACUACUGUAGAUAAAUUAUGUGUUUAAAUUUUUUCAGAAUUUUACUAUUUAAAUCAAUCAAUAAGCAUAUUGCACACUUAUAAAAUUCUUUUUUAAAGGAACACACUUAUAUCAAUUUAUAAAAUUAUGUACUGAUAUUUUCUAAACACGUAUUAUAAUCAAACUCUUGCAACAUAUGAGCUUUCCACCCAGUAUAUAAUCAUAGCUAGCUUGAAACAUCUUGACUUUGGUAAAUAGAACAACAACCAGAACAUUAUCAGUCUCAUCGCAUGCAAAAAAACAAUACAUUUAACUCAUUGACAUAAGUUUCAAACAAAGUAACAUUGAAACGAAAUCUAACAUAAUAUUAGAAAAACAAUAUAUUUCAGUAAAAUAACUUACUUCGUCGUGGCGUUAUUGAUCAAGCAUCCAGGUUGUGUGUGUCUGAUUGUGGCUCGUUGGAAUCAUCUCAACACUUAUUUUUACAUUGUAAUUUUUUUGGAUCUGUUUGGCACUUCAUUUAUAGGUGGUUAGGCUUGUCAGUGGCUGCCCCUUUAUAGGUGUCGGAUCAUUUUACUCAGUUUACCGGUAGCGGUGGUACCACAAAGGUGCACCGCUCUAUUCUUCAGGUUAUUUGGUUUGUUGUAGUUUGAGAAAUAUGGAAGGAAAGAAACAAUAGGUUGUUUAAUGUCAAAGAUUGCUCGGUUAUCUAGGUGGUCGAUAAGAUUAAGUCGCUUGCUUUUACGUGGUUGAAGACGAAGUAUAUUUCUCUUCCCUUCAAUUACCAUGGGUGAUGGCUUAGUCCGUUUACCAUUUUAGGCAUAGGCUAAGAGUUUCUUUUCUGUUUUUUAUGCUCUGUUCAGGCAACUAUUGUAUAUAUUGUUCUUGACUCUGAUGUCCUUUCCUGAGUACGUCUUGUGCUCGAAAAGACUCUUUUGAGGUAGUAUUAUAAUUCAUUUUAGCUUCUUAAAAAAAAAGUAAAAUAAUUAUAAAAUAAGUAGGAAAUAAAAUUUCAACCUUGUAGACCACCAUUUGAAGAUCUUCAAGAAAACAUUAUGUGUGGUGAAGAAGGACUUUAUAUUUUUUUUAUUAAUAUUAAUACGAAAUCAAACAAUGCAGGUUGCCUGUAAGAAGACUUUUUCAAUUAGAAGACCAAUAACACAACAAGUAUGAAAAUGACUAGUAUUGAGUAACUUUGUGCAGGGAAAGUCAUCAUGUUUUUGUCUUUUUUUAGCAAAAACAAAGUUAAUUCAUUUCAUUCAUAAUUAAAAAGUAUAAAGUAGUCGGUACAUCACAAAAAAUAUGGGGGCUAGGGUUGGAUAAAGAUGCUCUAGCAAUACUAUGAGCAACUUUAUUAGCGUGCCUCCUAACAUACGACACAACAAAGUAGUUUCUAGAAAGUAAGAGACUUCUACAAUGAGAAACAAGGUCACCAAACUCGUUAGCAAGAAUAGAGGUGGUGUGGAGCGCAUCAGAUAAAACUUUGGAAUCAGUUUCGAACAUAACAUCUCGCAUGUCAUUUAAGAUGGCCACCUUAAUAGCUUCUAGUAAGCCUAAUGAUUCAUCUUCAAGAACGGUGGUAGAAGAUGCAAAGUAAUAUGAUUUUCCUAGCAAGAAUAGGCCUGUAGAGUCUCGAAAACACAUACUGUAUCCCAUAAUGGAAUUACCGUUGAAAGAGGCUGCGUCAACAUUACACUUGAUCAUGCCUGGUGACGGUUUGAUCCAAGGUUGUUCCGUAUGAUCACUUCGGGACCGUACUUUUCCUCUUUGCAUACAUCCCCAUUCAACUAGUGUGUCUUUAGCUCAGCUCACAAUAGCAAAAGGAGAGGUGUCAAUAUCUUCCCAAAGUUUUGUAUUACGACUCUUGCAUAAGCUCCAGAGGGUCAUUGUCGUUAGAGUUAGCUGCUGCACUUGUAACCUGUCAAAUAAAGCAAAUAACAUUGCUGUAAAAUUGUUAGCAGAUGGGAGGAGCGCUUGGAUGGUGCCAUUGAGCCCAAGUAGAUUCCAACAUUGAUUUACCGUAAGAUCUUCAAAGUUUUGCAACGGCAGGGAUGACGGUUUUAGGGAAGGAAGGUUUGAUGUAAGAUUUUUACAUGUAUUAAAACUAUUUACACGUGAGUAUAAUAGGAUCGUUUCCGCAGGGAGUUGCGUAUUUCAUAAGCAUUUUCACAAUAUUUGUCACAUUAAGUGUUUGGGUAUAAAUUGUUUUUUUGUGUAAAACUAUUUUCCUAAUCUACAUAAAAGUAAAACGAGAAGAGAUAGGGCUAUUCCGCUUGCGGUCAGAGACAUCAACCAAGCGUAAUAGCUGCAAUCUCUCGAUCGAUUAACGGAUUCUAGCUUUUUAAAACGAUAUUAUCACAAUCACUCGAAAAUAUCAUUCGUGACCAAAUGAUAUCGUUAUUUCUAAGGGAUCGUUUAAACAUCGAUUUCCCAAACAUUUAAACGAUCACAAAGUCGAUUGGAUAGUUUAAUCGACAAUUUCCAAACCGAUUAAAUUACCCAAAAGCAUUAAGUUCUAGAUUAAAAGUGAUUAUUAAAUAUUAACAUCCAUGUCUAGAGUGAUAACUUAAGAUAGAUUGUUAUUCUAUUUCUAGAUUCAAAAGUAUGUGUCCAUAUCAUUUUGAAUCUCAAUAAACAAUAAAAGCAAGAAUAACAACAAUAUUGAAUAAAUAGCUAGAACCAUAUAUUAAUGAUCAAAAGAUUACAUAAUAGCUUGUUUGAAUACCUCAAAACUACAAGAGUAGAUGUAGCUACAUAUGUCUAUGAUAGCUUUGCAAACGAUGAAGAAAAGAUGAAGAUUUCAUGACAAGAUCCAUGAUCUCUCAACAAAUCUUGGCUUGAAUCUACUUCUUGAAGGUGAAAAACACAAGAAGGGGGGGGGUUGAAUUGUGUUUUCUUUUUCUCUUAAAAAAGGAUUCUUCUUCUGAUAAAACUUCAGAAGCAGUUUGAUUGCUUCUGAUGAAAUGAUCAGAGUCAGAUUGCAGCGGAAAAGAACAGAGCAGAGAAAAGAAAGACAAAGACACAGGCAGUUAUCCUGGUUCCUUCCACAACACGGAAGUAGUCCAGUCCCCCUUGCACUUCCAAGGAGAUUUCACUAUAAUCACAAGAUUACAACUGCUCAAUACUUUCAAAGUAUGAGACUUCACAAAACAAUGCUCAAGCACACACGCAAGAGUCUUCCAAUGCUCAAGCACUAAGCAAGAGACUUCUAAUGCUCAAGCACGCAGGCAAGAGACUUCUAAUCAAACAAAAAUACAGAGAAUUGAGUUUGAAUUGAACACUUGAUAUACAAUCAGUGGUGUUCACAAUACAAUACAGAAAAGACUCUAGACUUUGAAUUUCUAAGAUGUAUCAAAUCAGUGCAGAAAUUCAGUGUGCUUUUUAGAAUCAAAUUGACAGAGUUUUGGCGCUUUUAAACUUAUGUAUCUCUCUCUAUUAUCUUCAAGUCUUCACUCCUUUAUAUAGAGGCGUGAAAGAGACGUUGAGAUAAUCAGCACGUCUAAAGAGUCGUUUGAAAUCCUUUGAUUAUCCACCAGUGAUCCUUUGCCUGAUUUGGGUGUAGUCCUUUGAAGAAUAAACUUCAAAUUCAUUCCCAUCUUGAGUGUACAAUUCUGCAGGCAUGGCUGUUGUUUUGUCUUGUAGCGUAGACAGAAAACAGAGUAGUGGAGGUAGUGGUUGUACACUUGUACUUUGUCAACUCUAUUAACGAGAGACAAGAGCUCAGUGCUAUCCAUAUAUCCGUUGAUACCUCCCUUUCAAUUCUUCGUUCUUCUUUGAUAAGACUGAAUUGAAAAUCAGCUACUUUGAAUCUUCAGUUUGAUUAAAGGAUCAAACGUAGCUUCUGGUGAAGAUAUUGCUUCUGAUGAAAACUUUUGCUUCUGAUGACCUUCUGCUUCUGAUGACGUCAUCUCUUCAGGAGCAGUUUAGCUUCAGGAGCAGUUUUCUUCAGAUGCUCAGAAUUUCUUUUUUCUUUCCAUUGUUCUUCCAAGACCUAUUGAAAUAACUUAAGUAGCCUUUGGUCCUGUACACUUGAACAAUUAUUAGUAAUAACCAAUUGACAAUUUUUAAUACCUUGUUAUCAUCAAAACUCAAUAAGGUUCAUUGUGAAACACACUUUGUUCCAACAAUCUCCCCCUUUUUGAUGAUGACAAACAAUAGUAUUUAAAAUGUUCAAUUGUUGUUGAUCUAAUUAAUAAGUUGACUACUGGGACAGAGGUUUGUAAGCUCCCCCUGAGUCUAAUAGAUCUUUAAGGUGAGGUUUGUAAGCUCCCCCUAAGUUCUAUUCUUAUUAAUUAAAUUUCAAUAAAAUACUUAUAAAAUCAAAUCAGAAGUAUUUAAAAGAAAUUUAGAAGUGGUUAUAGUAGGGCUCAGUGCCUUAAAAAAAUACUAUACAUUUACUCCCCCUUUUGUCAUCAACAAAAAGAAUAGAAACAAAAGAAAGAGUAUCAGAGCAAGCAGCAUUAAAAACAGUAAAUAUCAUCAGAGUUAAAGCUUGUAAAACAUAUUGAAGGUGAAAAAGCACAAGAUUCAGAAACAAUGAUAAUAUAUAUAAAGAAAGAUUAAGAUACAAAGACACAGCUACUAAGAACAAAAGUAAAAAACAAGCUAGAGUUGGGUGUGCAACUAAGGUUGGGCUUGCUUAUACAACUGUUCUAAGAGAUACUUGAUCUGAUCAUCCUUCUUCUGAAGUAGCUCAUCCUUUUCCCUCAUUCUUCUUUUAUAUCCAGCCUGAAUUCUAGCAGCCCUAGUGAUGUACUCUUCUUCUGGAUAGAAAGGAGUGAUGUCCAGCAGAGGCACAAAAUUCAGCUCUUUCUCCUUAGCUGCUUCAUGCAUAUCAUCCAAAAGCUUCUUCAGCAUAGCAGAGUGAGAUGACACACAUUUAGUUCUAAGCUAAUCCAGCAGCUCAUCAAAGCUCUUCUGUAGAUCCAUCCACUGAUCAUAAUAGUGAAUAGGAGGUGCAGGAACUGUUCUGCGAAGAAUCAGUGCCUGAAUCUCAUCACUAAGUCUGAUCAGUUGUUCCUCUAUAUACUCAGACUCCAGGAUAUGGUCAGGGAUGGGUGAAGGUUCAGUUUGAGUUGUAUUUGAUGUGGAAGGUUGGUCAGAGGUUAAGUCUAUUAUAGUGGGUGAAUCUGGUUGUUGUUGUUCUGUUGUUUGGUCAGAAGGUAUAUGUUGGUCAGAAGUUGUUUGGUCAGGAGCAACUUGUUCAGAAGCAGUUUGCUCCUGAACAGUUUGCUCAGGGAUGGUUUGGGUUUCUGUUUGGGUUUCUGUUUGGGUUUCCAAGACAGUCUUUUCAGAAACUGUCUUAGAGGCCUUAGUGGGUGUUGGUUGCAUUUCACCACCUAGAUGUUUUUCUAAGUUGUGAAGGGUUGAGGAUUCUUGGUGUUGGGGGGUUUCUGAAGUAGUUGCAUCUGAAGCUACUUCAGAGGCUUUUUGUGGAGAUUGGUUAUUUGGUGAGUUUGUUUGGGUAGGUUCAGGUUGUUGUAUACUAACAGGUUCUGGAGUAUCUGGAUAUAGUGGAUGAGUAGUAGGCAAAUUGAAUUUCUCACAAAGUUUUAUCCUAUUUUUUGAAAAUUCUAUUUGAGUACUCUCAUAGUCAAGUGUUCCAUACUCUGUUAGUUUGGUAGGUUUGGUUUUUAGAAGCUUGUUUAUAUGUUGGCUAAGGGGUUGGUCAUCUGAUUCUGUGGAUGAUGAAGAGGGUGAAGAGGGUAGAGAUAGAGACUGAGUAUUAGUUGGAGCUUUAGAUGGAUUACCUGAGGACUGAGCUUCUGGAUGAAUUGCUUCUGGAGCUGUUGAAAUUGGAUCUGAUGAAGUUGCUCCUGAAGCUUGCUUAUUCUUCAAGGCUUGAGAAAGCAGAGUUGCUCCAUACUGAACUGUUUCUAACUCAGACGCUAAAGCAGCAAUGUCAGGAGUAGGCACAUACCCUGCAGCCUUGAGACGCUCAUCCCUUUCUUUCUCAAACACUUCCUUCAACCUUUUCUUUUCUGCUAUCUUGGAUGCAGAAACCUCUCUAGCGUACUGCCUCAUUUCUUCAGUCAUUUCAAAACUGGGCAUGACUAUGGGCUCAGAAGUUGCAGUCCUUUUUGCCUUCUUGGGGCUUGAGUCUUCAUCCCAGUUCUCUUCCAGUUCUUUCAACAUUUCUUCCCUUCUUCCUUCAGCUGUCUUCAGAUUUCUUGUUAAAUUAGACCUCUUCCUUUGGAUGGUCUGAAGAGCAGCUUCUCUUUUAUUUUUGGGACUUUAAGGCUUUUCAGAAGCAGCUUGAUCAGAAGCAGCUUGUUCAGAACCAGCUUGUUCAGAAGCAGGCUGUUCUGCUGUUUCUUGAGUACUCCUUGUCCUUUUUCUGAUAAGAGGGACAUCAUCCAAAUCCUCCACUUCCUCAAGAAUGGUGGACAUAGCAGAUUUUUCCUUCUUAGCUUUCUUAUGCUUCUGAGCACCCACCUCAGUAGCAUCUUCAGCAAGGUAUUCUUCCUUGGUGAUCUGCUUCUUUUUAGAUUUUCUGCCUUUGGCCACAGGCAGAUCACCACCAUACAUUUCUUCUGGGAUAUCUUUCAGGCUGAUUUUCUUGUUGUAGCUCUUGUAGUAGUCCAAGAUGUAGGCCCUCUGCACAUCCAGGGGAUCUUUCUUGCAGAUAGGGAUGUGAUGAGUGACUAGAUCAGAUAUGACAUCAGAUUCAUGCAUAUCUGUAUCUAGUUUCUUGCAAGUUGAAAUCAGCCUCAUCUUGACUAGAGUUGCCCCAUUGAUUAUUUUUCCUGUGACUGCUCCCAGCUUCUGAUUAUCAUAAAUACCCACGUCUUUCAGGGCACUUAGGAGUCCUCCUUCUUGAAAGAUUAUGGAGAGCAGCCUUCCAUAGGGAACAAACUUCCUGUUCUCCAUCUGGCUCUUCUUGAGUUCCUUGAUCAUGUAUUUAAACAUAUACUUGGGAACAUUCAUUGUUGUUUCCUGAGAGAUGGUGUGAUGCAGAAAGACUUUGUGACCAAGUGAAGGUUGAUCAUUUCCUCCACCUUUGGGAAAAAUGUUUUCAUUUUGGAUCUUCAGCAGCAUUUUCUUUUCCAUGCUUAAGGUGCUGUAAGGCUUAGCAUCCUUUGAUCCGUAGAUAGUGUUGUUUACUAUCUCCUUCCAUGGGCUUGUUCUGGGGUUAGGAAUCUCUUCUCCAUCGUAUGUCCCAGAAGCAUCCCUUCUCAUGGCUUGAGCAAUCACAUGCUCAUUGAUUGUUACAGGAAUCCCCAUGACGUUUGAUCUAAUCUCAGUCCCAGUGAAGGCGAGUAGACCCAUUUCUUCUCUGGUUUUUCCCUCCAAAGUAGGAUCAACCAGAAUCAUCUGAGCUUCUUCCUGUUUAGCAGCAACUUUGUCAAACACUGAAGCUCUUACCCAGAAUUGUCUGACAAGCACUUCAUAAGUAGGACCGUUGAGAAGACUGAAGUAACUCAUCAGCUUCUGCUUUUUGUAGAAUCUUACCAAGUCGCAUCCAUGAUGAGUUAGAGAAGUGAAAUCCACUGGAUUUUCCGCUUGAAUGAUUAGAUCCCAUUCCUCAAUCGACAUAGUUCUUCCUUUGAUUUCAUAAGCAGGAGUAUCUAUAUCCAUAUUCGAUGAAGAACCACCGGCAGAACUUGAAGAUGCCAUUGAUUUUAAGUAGAAUUAGGGUUCUAAGGUGUUUUGAGAGGUUGAGAGAAUGUGCUUACUUACACAGAGGGUUGAGAAGAAAUUAGAAAGUGUUUGUUGUGAAGUGAGAAGUGUGUGAAAUGACUUAGUGUUUUUUAUUAAAACGUUUGUAAUUCAGAAGGGACAAACAAACACAGCAUUAAUGACAAAUUGGGGGCGCGUGUAAGUAUGUUAAAAAGCGAAUAAAACAUCAUUGCCCUUUUUGUUAUACUCCAAUACAAAUAGACCACGUCAGAGACUCUUCAGAAAACUACUUUUUGGGUAAUGGGACAGCUGUUUACAUAAAGUAACUACCAACGUUCCCACUAACCAAGCUAUUCAGAAGCAAAGAAUAACACUUCUGAAGUUUUAGUGCUGACGUCAUCUUCAGAAGCACAUUUUCCUCAGAACCUCAGUUAAGAGCUUCUGAUGAACCAAAAUGCUCCUGAAUAAACUUCAGAACCAAACUUCUUAUUCAGAGGCAAGCAAUUUUUCAAUCAGACACAAAAUGCAUGUUCAAAUUUUUCUUAAUAAAAUCAAAUCUUUCAACAGACAAAGGUUUUGUAAAUAUAUCAGCCCAUUGAUGUUCAGUAUCAAUGAAUUGUAUAUCUAAAAUUCCUUUUUGAACAUAGUCUCUGAUAAAAUGGUGUUUGAUUUCAAUAUGCUUGGCUCUUGAAUGUAGAAUUGGAUUCUUUGACAAACAAAUAGCAGCAGUAUUAUCACAAUAAAUGGGAAUACUGUUAGCAUUGAUCUGAUAGUCUUCCAACUGAUGUUUCAUCCAAAGUAGUUGUGUGCAACAACUUGCAGCUGAAAUGUACUCUGCUUCUGCUGUAGACAUAGCAAUAGUUGCUUGUCUUUUGCUUGCCCAGGAUAUCAGAUUCUCUCCCAGGAAUUGACAAUUUCCACUGGUUGAUUUUCUUUCAAUCCUAUCACCAGCAUAAUCAGCAUCACAGAAUCCAAUCAACUUAUAAUCUAGGGAUUUCCUAUACAGGAGUCCAAGAUUAGUUGUUCCUUUCAGAUACCUGAAGAUUCUCUUAACUGCAGUUAAAUGAGAUUCUCUAGGAUCUGAUUGAAAUCUUGCACACAAGCAUACACUGAAUAAAAUAUCAGGUCUAGAUGCAGUGAGGUAUGACAGAGAACCAAUCAUACCUCUGUAUAGCUUCUGGUCUACUACUGUUCCAGUAUCUUCUUUGCUUAAGGUGCAGGUUGGAUGCAUUGGAGUGUUCAUCACUUUACAAUCUUCUAGCUUGAACUUCUUCAGAAGCUCCUUUGUAUAUUUUGUUUGAUGAACAUAUACUCCUUCUUUACUUUGGUUGAUUUGAAUUCCCAGAAAGAAUUUCAAUUCUCCCAUCAUACUCAUUUCAAAUUCAUCCUGCAUUAACUUAGAAAAUUCUUUGCAAAGAGAUGCAUUAGUAGAACCAAAUAUUAUAUCAUCAACAUAUAUUUGCACAAUCAAAAUAUCUUUCUUAAGAGUCCUUCUGAAGAGUGUUGUGUCAACUUGUCCUCUUUCAAAAUCAUUUUUAAUUAAGAAAUUACUUAGUCUAUCAUACCAAGCUCUGGGAGCUUGUUUCAAGCCAUAUAGUGAUUUCUUAAGUUUAUAAACAUGGUCAGGAUGCUUAAGAUCCUCAAACCCAGGAGGUUGUUUAACAUACACUUCUUCUUCAAUGACACCAUUAAGAAAAGCACUUUUGACAUCCAUUUGAUAUAAUAUUAUGCCAUGAUUAAUUGCGUAGGAUAGAAGUAACCUGAUUGCUUCCAAUCUUGCAACUGGAGCAAAUGUUUCAGUGUAAUCAAUGCCUUCUUGUUGACUGUAGCCUUGAGCAACAAGUCUGGCUUUGUUUCUGGUUACUUCUCCUUGUUCAUUCAGCUUGUUUCUGAAUACCCAUUUUGUUCCAAUAAUGUUCUUCUGAGAAGGUUUGGGUACCAGAUCCCACACAUCAUUCCUUUGGAAUUGAUUUAGCUCUUCUUGCAUAGCUAAUAUCCAUCCAUCAUCUGAGAGAGCUUCUUCAACAGUUUUAGGCUCAAUUAUUGAAAGCAGUCCUAUUAAAGACUCUUCUUGUCUAAAAUGUGAUCUUGUUCUUCUAGGACUAUCUUUGCUUCCAAUGAUUAACUCCUCAGGAUGUGAAGAUUUGUGCUUGAAUUUAGGUUGAAUAACCUGCUGAGUGUUAUCUUGAAAGUCCUCAGAAGCACUUUCAUUCUGUACUUUUGGGCUAGGUUCUGCUUCUGAAUUAGACUCAGCUUCUGGAGUGAUUUCAGCUUCUGGACAAGAUUCAACUUCUGUAUACUUUUCAGAAUCAGAAGGUUGAUCAGAUUCUGAUGCAUCUUCAGAAUCAGUUGUACCUGCAUUACUUUCACUUUGCUCUGAAGUUUUACUUCCAGGCUCUCUAUCAUCAAAUUUUACAUGCAUAGAUUCUUCAACACGUUGUGUUUCUGAAUUAUACACUCUGUAUGCCUUUGACCUUUCAGAGUAACCUAAAAAGAUUCCUCUUUGAGCCUUGGCAUCAAAUUUCUUCAGAUAGUCUUUAGUGUUUAAGAUGUAACAAGUACAUCCAAACUGAUGAAAGUAAGAGAUAUUGGGUCUUCUUCCUUUAAAGAGUUCAUAUGCUGUUUUCUCCAACAUAGGUCUGAUAUAGAUCCUAUUUUGAAUAUAACAUGAAGUAUUGACUGCUUCUGCCCAAAAAUGUUUAGCUAAGUUGUUUUCAUGGAUCAUGGUUCUGGCCAUUUCUUGUAAGGUUCUGUUCUUUCUUUCUACAACCCCAUUUUGUUGUGGAGUUCUAGGAGAAGAAAACUCAUGGAGAAUCCCAUGUUUUUCACAAAAAAGUUCAAAUGGCUCAUUUUCAAAUUCUCCACCAUGAUCACUUCUGACUUUCAAAAUUUUCAAUUCUUUUUCAGAUUGUAUUUGAGUGCAGAAGCUGCUAAACACUUCACAUGCAUAGUCUUUACUUUUAAUGAAUUUUACCCAAGUCCAUCUGCUGUAAUCAUCAACAAUGACUAAUCCGUAUUUACUUCCAUAUAAAGAUGCAGUGUUAACUGGACCAAAAAGAUCAAUAUGGAGUAAUUCUAAGGGUCUGGAGGUUGAUACAAUGUCUUUAGAUUUGAAAGAACUUUUCACAAUUUUCCCUUUCUGACAUGCACCACAAAGUGCAUCUGAAUGAUAAUCAAUGUUAGGCAAUCCUUUGACCAGUUGUAACUUGCUAAUUUUAGAAAUUAAUCUCCAAUUAGCAUGUCCCAACCUUUUAUGCCAUACCCAUUUUUUAUCAUUCAUUGACAGAAGGCAAACUACCUUCUGAUCAGCCAGAUCAGAGAAAUUUAUUUUAUAGACAUUCUCAACUCUCUUUCCCUUGAAUGUAAUGGAUUUGUCAUCCUUGUUGACUAGUGUGCAGUUGGUCUUACUGAACGUUACAUCAUACCCAUUGUCACAAAAUUGACUAAUGCUCAAUAGGUUAUGCUUCAGACCAUCUACUAGCCACACAUUAUUAAUUGAGAUGGAGGAAUUACCAAUAGUACCUGUACCAAUGAUCUUUCCAGUUUGGUUGCCACCAAACUUCACUUCUCCUCCAUCUUUCAUUGUAAGGGUAAGGAACAAAGCUUUCUCUCCAGUCAUGUGCCUUGAACAUCCGCUGUCUAGGUACCAUGACCUUUGUUUCUCUCUUGCCCUUAAGCACACCUGCAUUUUUGGCCAAUUCAGAUUUAGGUACCCAUAUCUUCAUGGGUCCUUUUGGGUUAGUUUUGGAGGUUUUACUUUUCCUCCCUUGUACCUUAGGGUGAAUGCUGAGUGGCUUCUGAUCAUUCAAUACUUUAGGUUUGACACCUUUUGGUAUUGUUUUCUCAGAAGCAGUAGCUGCUUUGUUCUUCUGAUCCUUUUGUUUUGGAAUUUUAGAUUCUGGUUUAAUCAGAUUCUGAUGAACAGGUUCUGAUCUUUUCAGAAUUUUAAUCUUUUGACUCUUAGGAUCAGAUUUUGUCAUUACCUUGAUCUUAAGAUUCUUUGGCUUUGAUGUGAUCUUAGCCUGUGAACCUGAAGCUUCAGGUUUUGACUGAACAGCAGUUAUAGCAUUUGUACCUUCAGGCACAAAGGUGGAUUUCAAUCCAUCCUUGAUACAAUCACAGUAGCUCUUGAGACUGUAUUCUUUGGAUUUCUCCUCAGAAUAUCCAAUCCCUUUGCCUUUGUUCUUGUAUGUGCUGUAGAUCAUAGAAGCAACUUUGCUUCUGUCUAUUCCAGCCAUAAUAAAAUCAUCCAAGGCAAUCUCAUGUUUAUUGCCUGAACCUUUAUCACAUUUUUCUUGUAGCUUCUGACAAAGACUCUUGAGUCUAUCUUCAUAUGUUGUUGAUAUGAGGUUAAACCCUUUGAGUUCUUCUUCAGAAGCUUUCAGUUCCAAUAGAGUUGAUUUUUGUUGUUUCAUCAAAUCAACAUAUUUUUCUUUUAAAUCUGUCAACUCAUUGGUUCUGUGUUCAAACAGUGAUAAAAGUUCUUUUAGAGAAUCAACAAGUUCUUGUCUAGGGAUUUUGGAAUAUACCUCAUUUUCAUCUUCUGAAUCUGAUUCAGCUUCUGAUACUGCUUCUGAUGAUACUGUUGCCACUAACCCAACGGCUGCCUUAGCAUCAUCAUCAGCUUCUUCUUUAUCAGAACCAGAUUCACUAUCCAAAUCUUCCCAGGUCGCCAUCAAGCUCUUUUUGAUUUGCUUUCUGAAUUUACUGGAGUUGAAGCUUGAUUUCUUGGAUUUGCCUUUAAACUUCUCCUUCUGAAGAUCAGGGCAAUCAGCAAUGAAAUGACCAGGCUUCUUACAAUUGAAGCAUCCCUUCUGAUCUUCUUUCUUGAAGUUCUUGUAGCUACCUCUCUUGCUCAAAAAUUUCUUCUGCUUCCUUGCCAGAUACUCAAGCUUGUUGGACAGCAUAGCCAUCUUUACAGAUUGAUCUUCAUCAGAAUCUCCAUCAGGUGAUUCUUCUUCAGAUUCACUGGCUUUGUAGGCUUUGGAAGACUUUGAGGUCUUUCCUUUAGAUGGUAAAGCAAUGGAUUUACUCUUCUUAGAGGUUUCAUGCUCAUUUAAACUCAUUUCAUGCACUUUGAGUGAGCUAACAAGAUCUUCAACACUUAAAGUAUUUAGAUCCUUAGCUUCCUCAAUAGCAGUUACUUUGGGUCUCCAUCUUGAAGGUAAGCUUCUCAAAAUCUUACUAACAUGAUCAGAAGCAACAUAGCUUUUCUUCAGUAUCUGCAAUCCAGAAACUAAAGUUUGAAAUCUUGAGUACAUUUCUUCUAUACUCUCAUCAUCCUUCAUUCUGAAAAGUUCAUACUGAUGAACUAGCAUCAAAGCUUUAGCCUCUUUUACUUUCUUGCUGCCUUCAAAGUUUGCACAUAGAGAAGCAAACAUAGCCUUCGCAGUAGAUUUGUCACUCAUUUUCAUGUAUUCGGUGCGAGGUAUAGAAGCCACAAUGAUUCCUCUUAUCUUGUGAUGUUUCUUAUAAAGCUUCUUCUGAGCAGGAGUAUGUAUUCUUCUGUCUAUAGCAGCUCCUUCUUCAUCCAAAUCCAGAUCAUCAACUCCAUCUUCCAGUAUAUCCCAUAGCUCUUCAUCCAAUCCCAUGAUAAAGCUGUACAUAUUAGUUUUCCACCAUGAAAACUCUUCUGGAUCUCCAUUAAACUUUGGAGCUUUUCCAGAGUCUGUUUUCUUGUCAGCAGUAUCAUAGUCAUGCUUGACACUUGUGUAUUUUGUAGUAACUGAUUCCUCAUCUCCAGACAUGUUUUUCUAAUAGAUCUUGAACUGUAACACGGUUAAGUGCUGUGAUAACAGAGCAAGCUCUGAUACCAAUUGAAGGUGAAAAACACAAGAAGGGGGGGGGGUUGAAUUGUGUUUUCUUUUUCUCUUAAAAAAGGAUUCUUCUUCUGAUAAAACUUCAGAAGCAGUUUGAUUGCUUCUGAUGAAAUGAUCAGAGUCAGAUUGCAGCGGAAAAGAACAGAGCAGAGAAAAGAAAGACAAAGACACAGGCAGUUAUCCUGGUUCCUUCCACAACACGGAAGUAGUCCAGUCCCCCUUGCACUUCCAAGGAGAUUUCACUAUAAUCACAAGAUUACAACUGCUCAAUACUUUCAAAGUAUGAGACUUCACAAAACAAUGCUCAAGCACACACGCAAGAGUCUUCCAAUGCUCAAGCACUAAGCAAGAGACUUCUAAUGCUCAAGCACGCAGGCAAGAGACUUCUAAUCAAACAAAAAUACAGAGAAUUGAGUUUGAAUUGAACACUUGAUAUACAAUCAGUGGUGUUCACAAUACAAUACAGAAAAGACUCUAGACUUUGAAUUUCUAAGAUGUAUCAAAUCAGUGCAGAAAUUCAGUGUGCUUUUUAGAAUCAAAUUGACAGAGUUUUGGCGCUUUUAAACUUAUGUAUCUCUCUCUAUUAUCUUCAAGUCUUCACUCCUUUAUAUAGAGGCGUGAAAGAGACGUUGAGUAAUCAGCACGUCUAAAGAGUCGUUUGAAAUCCUUUGAUUAUCCACCAGUGAUCCUUUGCCUGAUUUGGGUGUAGUCCUUUGAAAAAUAACUUCAAAUUCAUUCCCAUCUUGAGUGUACAAUUCUGCAGGCAUGGCUGUUGUUUUGUCUUGUAGCGUAGACAGAAAACAGAGUAGUGGAGGUAGUGGUUGUACACUUGUACUUUGUCAACUCUAUUAACGAGAGACAAGAGCUCAGUGCUAUCCAUAUAUCCGUUGAUACCUCCCUUUCAAUUCUUCGUUCUUCUUUGAUAAGACUGAAUUGAAAAUCAGCUACUUUGAAUCUUCAGUUUGAUUAAAGGAUCAAACGUAGCUUCUGGUGAAGAUAUUGCUUCUGAUGAAAACUUUUGCUUCUGAUGACCUUCUGCUUCUGAUGACGUCAUCUCUUCAGGAGCAGUUUAGCUUCAGGAGCAGUUUUCUUCAGAUGCUCAGAAUUUCUUUUUUCUUUCCAUUGUUCUUCCAAGACCUAUUGAAAUAACUUAAGUAGCCUUUGGUCCUGUACACUUGAACAAUUAUUAGUAAUAACCAAUUGACAAUUUUUAAUACCUUGUUAUCAUCAAAACUCAAUAAGGUUCAUUGUGAAACACACUUUGUUCCAACACUUCUAACUACCUUGCUUUGUGUUUCUCUCUAGAAAAGCCCUAGUCUCUCUCUAAAAACCAGAAAAAUGUAAAAGACAAUGUAAUAAUCUGGAAAGAGGAGAAAAAACUAUUUAUAUGAGCUGAAAACGUGUCGUUCGCUUAAGCGAAGAAGCGUUCGCUUAAGCGAACUUCCAGAAAAUCUUCUAUUGGCCAUUGAGGAGCUGCCACGUGGUCCUUAUCUUCUGAAGAUUGAUGAACUUCGCUCAAGCGAACUGGGAGCGAACUUGUGAGCGAACUUCCUGGAGCUCUCUGGAACUGGUUCGCUUAAGCGAACUUGAGGUCGCUUAAGCGAACUGGCCUUUCUUCAUGAGCGAACUGGAAGCGUGCUAGUAAGCGAACUAAUCCGGUGCUCUCUGUAACAGGUUCGCUUAAGCGAACAGGGGUUCGCUUAAGCGAACUGACCUUGGUUCAAGAUCUCCCUUCUUUUGGUCUUUGCUUGUCAUUUCCUGCAUAAAUUGGGUAGAAUCAGGCAUGUAAGGCAUAAAUGGUAAAAAUACACUCAAAUGGUAACUUUUCCUUAGAUAACUUGCAAAACAAGUCACUAAUUUGCCUAAUUUAACACAUGAAAUAUGUUACUUUUGAGCACUUAUCAAGGUUGCAGAUCCAAGGUAUUCUCCACACGUUGAUUUUAGAAACAUCACCAAUCUUCCAUCUAUGGCCUAUGAUAAGUAAAUUUUGGGUACUCCAAAGACUCCUCCAUGUAUAGCUUGGAUUAUAGCCAAGGUUGGCAUCCAAAAAAUCCCGUCGGAGAAAAUAUUUAACUUUAAAAACUCUAGCAAGUAAAGAGGUAGAGUUGGUGAGAAGCUUCCAACUUUGCUUACCAAGCACUUUGCUUACCAAGCAUUGAGAGGGAGGGAAAGUCAUAAUGACUUUCUAUUUCGUAUAUUACUUUCUCUCUAAUCUUAACUGUUAUUUAUUUUUCAUGAAACACUAUAAUAUAUAUUAAACUCAUCAUAACUUUUCCUCCAUUCAAUCUCAAUGAUCAUCUCAAAAUGGAUGUGUUAGAGCAAGUGUAUUUAGCAUUAACUCUUUUUGGUAAACUUCAAAAACAAAAUUAAAUAACAGAAAUUAUAUACACACUCCCUCCCUCGUCCACAAUGAGUGAUCUGUUUAGAAAAUAAAUUGUCUCAAAAGGAUUGAUUCUUUUACUUUUCCAGACAAAAUUAUUUGUUAGUCUUUCAAUUCUACCAUCUAAUUAAUACUACCUUCGUAACUCUAAAAUCAAUAUAUUACAUGUAUAUUUAUGGUAAUGAGAUUACAUUAAUACAAAAUAUUUCUUCCGUUCCAAAUUAUAUGUCGCUUUGAAAUUUUUUUUGUCUCAAAUUAUAUGUCGCUUUAAGAUACCAAUGAAACAUUAAUAUUAUUUUUCCUAUUAUAUCCUUAACUAUUUAUUACUCUUUCUUUUUUCAAUUCUUUAAUUUAUCUUUUCAAUUUAUUUAAUAAGGACAAUUUUGUAAAAUAACUCGUAAUAUCUUUUUUUCAUACUAAAUUAAUUACAUUUCUUAAUACAUGUGAAAUUGUCAAAACGUCAUAUAAUUUAGAACGGAAUAAGUAAAAGACAUUUUAGUAAAACUAUAAAAAAAAAUUUUGACAAAAUUUUAGUAAAACUAUAAUCUCACUCAUUUAUUUAUACAUUUUUAUUUUAUUUUUACAGAAAGUUUAUACAUUUUCUAAAUCAGUGUGAAAUGAUCAAAAUGACCACUCAUUAUAAAAUAGAGGGAAUAAUAGGUAUCCCACGCUUAAAGCAUGGUGACCUUCAAAAACGUUUAAAUAAUAGAGACUUCAUAUAACCCAAAAAAAUGUAUUUAAUAGAGACGACAUAUAAUAUAUAAUAGGAAAUUUGUACCAUAAGAUACAAGAUAAAAAUCUAAAAAUUAAAUUGAAAAAUAAAUGUUUUAUUGAAAAAAAAAACAAGUUUUUAAGAUAAUCAAUGCACAAUUUCUAAAAUUAUAUGAGUAAAUUACACUCCUCUCCCCUCAAAGAUGUUUGAAUUACACUCUCCUCCCCUCUUAAGUUAAAAUAUACACUCCCAUCCCCUCUUAUUCAAAACAUAUUAGAAAAAAUUUCACUCCCCUCCCCUAAGAGAAGCUUGAAUUACAUUCUCCUCCACUCUUAUGUUAAAAUCUACACUUUACUCCCUCAAUAUUCUUUUUUAUUAUUUCUAAUAUUCUAGCAAAAAUUAAUAAUUUAACACACUUAAAAAAAUAGUAUUGCGGGUCUAUUUUAAUAUAAUAAAAAAUUGAAUACAUAUUUUUCGCUAUUUUUUAUUCACAAUUUCAUUAACAUGUAGUUUUAAACCCUAUUAUAAAAUAUGAAACAAGCCAAAACAAAAUUAAAAUAUGUGAAAAAUUACUAAAAUCAUUAAAGCAUGAUUAUUUAAAAGUUAAUUUUAUACUCUAAUUUAUAAAAUCAAUAGCAAUAUAUUUAAAUUUAAUUAUCAUAGACAUUUAAACUAGGCUUAAUUACAUUUUUGGUCCUCUAACUAUUUAGUUGGAAUCGGAUUGGUCCUCUAACUAAAAAUUGAUUUAUUUUGGUCCUCUAAGUUUCUCACCAUUACUACAUUUAUUCUUUUCUGUUAGUUUUAUUCAAAUAAACGUUAGGGUUUGUGUUAUGUGGGUAUCUGACCUCCUAUUUCACACAUACAUAUGAACCAUAACAGUUACCAAUAAUAUCGGUCACUAUUUGAUCAUAAUUCUUAUCAAGGAAUAGAACCAAAAUGAUGCUAAUAAAUAAAGUUAGAGGACCCACAUAACACAAACCCUAACGUUUAUUUGAAUAAAACUAACAGAAAGGACUAAAUGUAGUAACGGUGAGAAACUUAGAGGACCGAAAUAAAUCAAUUUUUAGUUAGAGGACCAAUCCGAUACCAACUAAAUAGUUAGAGGACCAAAAAUGUAAUUAAGCCUUUAAACUAUAAAGAAAUGAAUUAAUUUUUCUUAAAUGGUGAUUCAAAAUUAAUAUAUAUUAUAAGAAUAUUUAUUUAUGUUCAAAUAGAUUAAAGUGUAGUGCAUAUUUAAUUAUUAAGGGAGGAGUUUGUAAUUCAAGCAUCUUAUAAGAGAGGGGAGUAUAAAUUUUAACAUAAAAAAAAUAUUGAGGGAGUAAAGUGUAUAUGGGGAGUGUAAUUCAAACAUUUUUGAGGGGAGGGGCGUGUAAUUUACUCAAAUUAUAUUUAUAAAUUUAGUUUUUAUCAUGUACUCUUAAAACACAAGUUAUUAUGACCAUAUUUAAUAUGUAUUCUUAAGACACAAGUUAUUAUGACCAUAUUUAAUAUGUAUUUAUUUUUUUUUUUUUUUGUGAUACACCCUACUAAUAAGUAUACCAACAACCAAAUACCAUUCAUUAAAAAAGAAGGGACCAAUAUUUGGUUGAAGUUGCACAGAGCAUUUGUAGUGCUAGGCAUUAAAGAUGACGUAGGUUCAACGGCGUAUCCAGGAUCUUGGAUAGGGGUGCAAAAAAUUUAACUUAAUUUAAUAUUUAUUUUAUAUAUUUAACUAUAUAAGUAAUAAAACCAUAAAUUUUAAUAAAUAUAAUAAAAUUUAUUGCACACAUAUCUUAGAAAUAUUUCCAUGAUGGACUAAGUAUUGGGCGAUGCAGAACGUGAUAAGGUUGAACUCAUUAGAGGCUUUUAGAUAGAUUUCAAAACGAUGUAGAAGAUUACUAUUAUUGUGGAAGUGAAUAUGUUAUAAAAAGAGAUAAAUAGAGAGAGGAGCAUUCAUAAACUUUUGUAUGACUAACUCAUGUACAAUAUUAUGAAACUCAAACCAAUCAACUAGUCAAUAACAUGUAACUAGUAAAACCCAUAUGUUAAAUUAAAAAAGGGACCAAUAUAUGGUUGAAGUUGUUAACACGGUAGAUAAAACUUCAUUGUGCAGUAAAUAUUUGCGUGGUGGGCAUUCGUUAAAAUGUUACUUCAUCCGUUUUAAAAUGAGUGUCGCUUUAGUAAAAAGAAAUUGUUUUAAAAUAAAUGUCACUUUCACUUUCCAAUGCAAUAAUAACUUUUUCUUUUCAAUUGUACCUUUCAAUUAAUACUCUGCACACUACUUUUAAAGUACUACCUCCGUCCCUAAUUAUAAGACCCUUUUGAAAAAAAUAACGCGAAUUAAGAUAGUGGAUAUUUGUAUUAAAUAUGUUUGUAAUUACUAUUGUUUUUACAAUUUUAUCCUUUAAGAAAGAGGGUUUGGCUUAUGUUUUCAACAUUCUAUUUAUUGCUGAUUGAAGAAAAAGAUGUAUAAUAAAUAGGGGCAUGUAUGUAAAAAAAUAAUUAAUGUAGUUGGAAAUAGAAAAAGGAUCUUAUAAAAAGGGACAAAAAAAAUUCUCAAAAGGGUCUUAUAAUUAGGGACGGAGGUAGUAUUACUUUUAAAACUAACCAAUAGUUAAUAAGGAUAAUUUGGUAAAAUAACCAUUCGCUUUCUUUUAAUCAUUGCUUUUCUUAAUAUGUGUAUAAACACCUAAAACGACACUCAUUUUAAAAUGGAGGGAGUAUUAUUUCUCAUUUUUCUAAUUAUUGUUGUCAACUUUUGUUGGUUCAAAAGUUGCAUGCAUGCUAUCAAGGCGUUGAAUAAACAGGACAAGUCGGAACAAGUGGCUGUAUUUAGCCAGACACAAGCCAAUUCCAUUUACAAUAACUCGUUUGUGUUUGUAUUUUUUUAUGAAAAAGGCAUUUUAGUUUUUCAUGAAACUUGUACCAAAAAAACAAAAGUUUUUCAUGAAACAAGAAUCAUUAAAAAUAUGAUUUUAAUUCUCUAUCUAAAAGGUGUCAACCUAAUGGUUAGAGCUUAAUUUAUAAUUGGAGAAUGCUAACCAUUGCAUUUGGAGCAUUGGAUAAAGGGAUAAAAAUAGAAAUAUAGCAUUGAAAAAUGGUGAAAAGUGAUAAAUUUAACUUUUUAAAAGUCAAAAUGUUGUUGAAACCAAUGCAAACAUGUUACUUUUGGCUUCCUUAAGUUAGCAAGACCCUUUAUAAUUUUAUGAACAGUUAUACCGCAACAAUUAGUGUCAAUGUAUUAAUAAAAUUUCUCCUUUCAUAAAUAUAUGAGAAAUGCUACAAUACAGCCGCUCGUCCCGUGAGCUUAACUCAGUUGAUAAAAAAAAAAAUACAAUGCAUAAUAUAUGCAAGGUCUGAGAUUCGAAUCCCGGUCACCACAAAAAAAAACAAUACAGCCACUCAAAUUUAUAACGAUGUAUUUUAAAAUCUUGCACCUUUUCAUUUUAACAAAAUUAAAGGUCAAAGCAUUGUGUAAAAGAGUUAAUCAGUUCAAUUAUUUUGGGGAAAAAGAAAAAAAAAACAUCUUCCUUCUAUACAAAAAAAAAAAAAUAUAUAUAUAUAUAUAUAUGGAAAAUGCUUGUUCCUACAAAUCUGUUAUCCACGAAAACCACGACUUGAUAUCCGCCAUCCAUUUUCAUAAACACAUGGCCAUGAUUUCCAUUAAAUCCGGAAUUAAUAGUUUUCCAUCUCUAUAAAGCAGAAAUGCAAUACAUUCUUGGUAUUCGUUGAAAAAAUCUUCGUGGAAAAUAGCACUUCUCUAUAUAUAUAGAAAUCAUACCAUUUUUUGGUGGUGUUUGCGGCAGUCAUGUGUCCGCCACUAUGGCACUUGGGGCUUUCCGGUGGUCCAAAUUCCUCGUAACGGUUUGCGAGGACUAUAUUUGCAUGGGACUUUUGUUUGCCGCAAAUAUGUCUUUGUGUUACCUUUUUCUUGUUUGCGUGGAAAAUUGGCCGACAUGUAAUCCAGGACAUUCAUGUAGUGAAUAUAUGGUUGCAUGUGAAAGCAUUAAUUCGUGUAAAGUUCAACAAUUAAGGGAUCAUCAACCUAAUUUCUAAUUUUCCAAAGAUCUAGUCCUAUAAAAAAUCUUGACUAUAAACCUAAUUUCUUAUUAUUUCUCUUGUGAAAGCAAGAAUAAAUCAUGAAUAUUUUUUUCUCAAAAUUUAGAUUUCAGGCCAAAGAAAUUUAAUUUCUUUUUUAUGAUAUUGAUAUAGCAAUAUAAGCCCAACAACCCAACUUAUUUGAGCAUCAUUUGAUUUUAGAGGCAUAUAGAGAUCAAACACCGUUAGGAAAGAAUGACCUCCGGUGUGAGGGUCAGCAAUAUGAGCAGGUUAAAUUUUCUUCUACCCCACAACCUACUAAUAUAGCUAAAGAAGUUUAAAUUUUUAGAUUUACUUGCAUAUUACAUUUUAAAGUUAUUCAAUUUACAAACUAAUAAAGGCUAAAAAUUUAUUAAAGCAUCUAUUAUCAUGCAAGCUUCACAAGAGUACAAUUAUCAAGUUUGUUAAGGUUAAAAGUCAAGAAUUUGGAAAUUCAUGAAUGGCGUGUAUACCGAUAAAACAGAUUUGGGCAUAAUUAUGAUUCUUGAUCUUCUAUAAUUGUUCCUUCGGAGCAAUGCUUCUAUAGUGCAUUCAAGAAAGUUACUUUUUUUAAAAAGUUAAUUUUGAUUUUAAUGUUUGAUUCAUUUUCAAAUUGUUGAUUUCUGAUUAAUGAUUAAUAGUAAUUCAUCUGGUAAUGUUUGCAACAUUUUGGACUUAUAGGUACUAUUUUAUUGUCGGAAUCUUUAACAUGCAAAUAUAGUUGAUGAUAUUAUGUGAUAGUCUUAAGUGUUAUACUUUGUGGGGGUGUUAUACUUAUAACAAGGUAGGAUAAAAUUAGAUUAAGUGUAGUCUUGUUAAUCAGAUGAGUUGAUGAUACUAUGAGGACUGAACUUUUGAUGUCAUUGUACAAACAGUGAAGUGUUACUCAUUACAUUUUUGAUAUUAUAGUAUUAACUUCACCAAAAAAAAGUCAAUCUCAUGAAUUCACCAUAGAAUUUUCCUUGUUACUAUUCUUGAAAUUGAAUGAAUUCAUUUAUAUAUUGAUUUAUUUUAUUUCUAAUCUAAGCAUUUCUCUUCAAAUUGCUAUCAUCCUUCAUCAUAUUUUCAGAAGACUUACAACUUUUACCUCUCAAUUUUACAUGGCUAAUAAAGCUUCAAGUUCAUCGGUUUGUAAUUCAAGUCGAAAAUCAUUGACCUUGGACGAGAAAGUAGAAUUAUUCUUUGCUGAGACUCCUCUCAAUCAGUAGGCUGAAGCAUUUUCUAUGACCCUUCAUCGAGUACUAGAAGGUAUGUACAAGACCAAUUUAGAGAACAAGAAGUUUGAAGAACCGUGUUUUGAACUAGAGAAACUCUCUAAUCAUGUCGAUUUUCCGACUGAACUUGUAAAAGAAACCAGAAGAAGAAAAUAAUUUUCUACUUGGUAUUUUGAGUCCAGUUUAAUACAUCUUUAUAGUGUCUCAACUAUUACUAGAUCAUGGUAUAUCGAUUGAUGUGUUAAGUCGUAGUAUUAUAUAGUAUUCCAGACCCAUCUCUGUUGUAUGAGUGAGUAUAUUUACUUUCCUCGUAUUAGCUUAAUUUCAUGGUAUUUUUGUAAGGGCAUCAAAAUUUGUAUUUUGUAUUUAGAAUCAAAACUAGGACAGUAAAUUUUCAGUUUUGAUACCAAAAAUCAACACUAUUUAGGCAAAAUCAUUCUCAACGUGGAUGUUAAUUAAGAGUCUCACAAGUAUUUUUUAGAGGAUAUAAUCUCAAAGUUUUCUUUUACUAAAGUUCGAUCAAACAUAUAUUAUAGACUUAUUUACGGUCUGAAAUGGCUAAGUAUAAAUCAAUCAAACCAAUCAAUCUCACACAAUCAUAAAAUUUAUUUAUUAUAAUCUAGUGUCACAAAUAAAAAUAUUUAAAAUCUGCAGUACAUAGCAUUCUUUCUUGUCAAGUAAUUUUUAUUCAUGACACAUACACACACAAAACACACAAACACACACACACACAGAGUUGCCAAGUAGGAGAGUACAUAUUACUAUAGAAAACAAACAGCUUGGUAACUAGGACCACUUAUUCAGUACAUAUACAUUUCAUAACUCUCAUUUCAUACUUUAGAAAUGAUUGUUAUCUUCUUUUGGAGGGUGGUGAGGAUGUGGUUUGGGUAAGUUGGUAGGAUGUAUAGGAUGAGAAUGAUCACCAAAUCCUUGAGUAGAUAGUGGAUGGUUUGGAUGAUGAUGAGGUUGAGAAGCAAAGCCUUGAGGGAUGAGAAUAAGAGAUGCAAGGAAAAACACAAGCAAGUAUGAGGAAAAAGAAGUCAUCUUAAUCUUAAUUAGUGUGAUUUUAGUAUUGGUGCAUAAAACAUAAGAAAUAAUAUCAUGUUUUAUACUAGUUAGAUUAGAGACAUUGGUGGUGAGUGGGAG